rnacentral:lncRNA from 1 species
UUUUUUUUGUGUCACAAUCAUCCUUGCUGCACACCUAGAUAGAGAGAGACAUGCACUCACUGGGAUUUUGUUGAGCUUCACUUAUAUCUUUUGGUAGACAAUUCAGCUCACAUGUGCUUCACUUAUAUCUUUUGAUCUAGAUACUUUUGCUCUGUGUGUUUCACUUAUAUCUUUUAGAGCAUAGCGGUGCGUGGCUUGGUAGUUGAUCUAUGCUAUGACAGUAGUUUCAAAAGGGGUAGUUAUCCAAAGGGAUACGAAAACUUCCACCUUCAUGUGCAUUGAAUAGUUAGAGAAGUUUAAUUCAUCUCAAUUAGUUUUGAGUUGUGGUUAUGGUAAUAUUGAAGUUAUGCUAGUAAGGUGUUGUGGAUCUAGAAAUACUUGUGUUGAAGUUAGUGAUUCCCGUAGCAUGCACGUAUGGUGAACCGCUAUGUGAUGAAAUCUGAGCAUGAUUAGUCUAUUGAUUGUCAUCCUUUGCGUGGCGGUCGGGAUCGCGCGAUGGUUUAUACCUACCAACCCUUCCCCUAGGAGUAUGCGUUGAAUGCUUUUUUCGAUUACUAAUAAAACUUUUGCAAUAAGUAUGUGAGUUCUUCAUGACUAAUGUUGAGUCCAUGGUUUAGAUGCACUUUCACCUUCCACUAUCACUAUCUUCUUAGUGCCGUGCAACUUUCGCCGGUGCACAAAACCCACCAUUAGCCUCCCUCGAAACAGCCACCAUACCUACCUACUAUGGCUUUUUCAAAGUCAUUCCGAGAUAUAUUUCCAUGCAACUACCACCAUGACAUGUGCCACCACGUCUACAUUGCCAAUGCAUGAUCGUAAGAUAGCUAGCAUGAUGUUUCCAUUAAUGUGCAUGCCAUGCUAGAUCAUUGUCAUGGUACACUACCGAAGGCAUUCCAUAUAGAGUCAUCGUUGCUCUAAGUUUUGAUUUGAAAGUGUAAUGAUCAUCAUUGAUGGAGCAUUGUCCCAUGUGAGGAAAUAAAAGAUGCCAAAGAUACCAACCAAAAAAAAGAGUCCAAAGAGCCCACUAAAAAAAGAGAGAGAAAGAGAGAAGGGACAAUGCUACCAUCUUUCCACACUUGUGCAUAUUAAGCACCAUGAUAUUCAUGAUUGAGAGUCUCUUGUUUUGUCACCACCAUAUAACUAGUGGCAAAUUUUCAUUAUAUAACUUGGCUUGUAUAUUCCAAUGAUAGGCAUCCUCAAAUUUGCGUUAGGUCUUCGUGAGCAAGCAAGUUGGAUGCACACCCACUAGUUUUCUUUAAGAGCUUUCGAAUACUCUUAGCUCUAGUGCAUCAUUUGUAUGGCAAUCCCUACUUGUUCACAUUGAUAUCUAUUGAUGAGCAUCUCCACAGCUCAUUGAUAUGCCUAGUUAAUGUGACCAUCUUCUCCUUUUUUGUCUUGCAAACUCCACCCCCUCCACACCACUUAUAGUGCUAAAACCAUGGCUCACGCUCAUGUAUUGCGUGAGAGUUGAAAAGGUUUGAGGAAGUAAAGGUGUGAAACAAUUACUUGGCAAAUACCGGGGUUGUGCAUGAUUUAAAUUCGUUGUGCAAUGAUGAUAGAGCAUAGCCAGACUAUAUGCCUUUGUAGGGAUAACUUUCUUUUGGCCUUGUUAUUUUGAAAGUUCAUGAUUACCUUGCUAGUUUGCUUGAAUUGUUAUUGUUUCCAGGUCAAUAGCAAACUAUUGUUUCAAAUCUAAUGGAUCUGAACAUUCACGUCACAUAAGAGGAGUUACAACGGACAUCUAUGCUAGGUAGCAUGAAAGCAUCAAAAAUUCAUUCUUUAUCACUUCCCUACUUGAGGACGAGCAGGAGUUAAGCUUGGGGAUGCUUGAUACGUCUCAAACGUAUCUAUAAUUUUGGAUGGUUUCAUGUUGUUAUCGUAUCAUAUUUGGAUGUUUUAUGUACCUUUUAUAUCUUUUUUGGGACUAACUUAUUAAUUCAGUGCCAAGUGCCAGUUCCUGUUUUUUCUGUGUUUUGGCUCUUUUCAGUUCUGAUUUUGGAACGGAGUCCCAACGGAAUAAAAUCCCCGAAAUUAUUUUUCCCGAACGGAAUAAGAUCAGGGGGCUUGUGGGACAAGGCAGGAGGGCUACAGGGAGCCCACAAGCCCCCACUCCGCCACCACGGGGGGCGGUGGUGGGCAGGCUUGUGGCCUCCCUGGCGCCCCCCUGACCUAGAUCUUGCGCCUACAUAUUCCCUAAAAAUCAGAAAAAAAUCAAGGGAUCCACGAAAAUACUUUUCCGCCAACGCAAGCUUCCGUUUCCGGGAGAUCUCAUCUAGAGACCCUUCCCGGUGCCCUGUCGGAGGGGACUUUGGAGUAGGAGGGCUUCUUCAUCAUCAUCAUCGCCCUUGCAAUGACUCGUGAGUAGUUCACUUCAGACCUACGAGUCCGUAGUUAGUAGCUAGAUGGCUUCUUCUCUCUCUUGGAUCCUCAAUACAAAGUUCGCCAUGAUCUUCAUGGAGAUCUAUCCAAUGUAAUCUUCUUUGGUGGUGUGUUUGUCGAGAUCUGAUGAAUUGUGGAUUUGUGAUCAGAUUAUCUAUGAUAUAUAUUUGAGUCUUUGCUGAUUUCUUAUAUGCAUGAUUUGAUAACCUUGUAAGUCUCUCCGAUUCUUGGGUUUUUUAUGGCCAACUUGAUCUAUGAUUCUUGAAAUGGGAUAAGUGCUUGGUUUUGGGUUCUUACCGUGUGGUGACCUUUCCCAGUGACAGUAGGGGCAGCAAGGCACACAUCGUGUAGUUGCCAUCAAGGGUAACAAGGUGGGAUCUGUCGUAGAUAUGAGAUUGUCCAUCUACAUCAUGUCAUCUUGCUUAAGGCGUUACUCUGUUCUUUUGGACUUAAUACACUAGAUGCAUGCUGGAUAGCGGUCGACGUGUGGAGUAAUAGUAGUAGAUGCAGAAAGUAUCGGUCUACUUGUUUUGGACGUGAUGAUUAUAGAUGUAAUCUUUGCCAUAGAUGACGUCACGACUUUGCGCGGUUCUAUCAAUUGCUCGACAGUAAUUUGUUCACCCGCCGUCUACUUGCUUUCAUGAGAGAAGCCACUAGUAAACACUACGGCCCCCGGGUCUAUUAACACCUAUCGUUUCAACUUUCGCUUUUACUUUGCUUUGUUACUUUGUUGCUUUCAGUUCUCACUUGGCGAACAAUCUAUAAGGGAUUGACAAUCCCUUCAUAGCGUUGGGAGCAAGCUUUUUGUGUUUGUGCAGGCUAUUGUGAUACUCCUUCACUGGAUCGAUACCUUGGUUCUCAAACUGAGGGAAAUACUUACCACCGCUAUGCUACAUCACCCUUUCCGCUUCGGGGGAACACCAACACAAGGUUCCAAGGCCACGGGGGAAAUCCUUUGCGUAUUUCCCUAGGAAGUCCCUUAAGGGGUAGCCGUAGGAGAAGGAUUCCUGGUGCCGUCAACACACAUAUUUCUGGCGCCGUUGGAAGGUCUUUUGUUGUAGUAGCAGGAUGCUUGAUACGUCUCCAACGUAUCUGUAAUUUUUUAUGGUUCCAUGCUAUUGUCUUGUCAAACUUUGGAUGUUUCGUAUGCCUUUUAUAUCUUUUUUGGGAAUAACUUAUUAACUCAGUGCGAAGUGCCAGUUCCUGUUUUUUCCGUGUUUUGACCCUUUUUAGAGGAGAAUAUUAAACGGAGUCCAAACAGAAUAAAACCUCCGAAAAGAUUUUUUUCCGGAACAGAAGAUGCGCAGGGGGCGUGAGAACCAAGGCAGAGGCCACCAGGGGAGGCCACAAGCCCCCUAGGCGCGACCAGGGGGCGCCUAGCAGGCUUGUGUGCCCCCUGUGGCUCGUCUGCCCUACUUCUUCCGCCUAUAAAUUCCCGAAAAAUCUAAAACCACGAGAGAGAUCCACGAAAAUACAUUUCCGCCGCUACUAGCUUAUGUCUCCGCAAGAUCCCAUCUGGGGCACAUUCCGAUGCCCUGUCGGAGGGGGAUUCGGAUACGAAGGGCUUCUUCAUCAACACCAUUGCAUCUCCGAUGAUGCGUGAGUAGUUCACCAUAGACCUUUGGGUCCAUAGCUAGUAGCUAGAUGGCUUCUUCUCUCUCUUGGAUCUUCAAUACAAAGUUCUCCAUGAUCUUCAUGGAGAUCUAUCCGAUGUAAUCUUGUUUUGCGGUGUGUUUGUCGAGAUCCGAUGAAUUGUGGAUUUAUGAUCAGAUUAUCUAUGAAUCUUAUUUCAGUUUCUUCUUAUCUUUUAUAUGCAUGAUUUCAUAUCCUUGUAAUUCUCUUCGAGUUGUGGCUUUUGUUUGGCCAACUUGAUCUAUGAUUCUUGCAAUGGGAGAAGUGCUUGGUUUUGGGUUCAUACCGUGCGGUGACCUCACCCAGUGACAGAAGGGGUAGCCAGGCACGCAUCGUGUUGUUGCCAUCAAGGGUAAAAAGAUGGGGUUUAUAUCUAUUGCAUGAAUUUAUCCCUCUACAUCAUGUCAUCUUGCUUAAGGCGUUACUCUAUUCGUCAUGAACUCAAUACACUAGAUGCAUGCUGGAUAGCGGUCGAUGUGUGGAGUAAUAGUAGUAGAUGCAGACAAUAUCGGUCAACUUGUCUCGGACGUGAUGCCUAUAUGUAUGAUCAUUGCCUUAGAUAUCAUCAUGACUUUGCGCGGUUCUAUCAAUUGCUCGACAGUAAUUCGUUCACCCACCGUAAUAUUUGCUAUUUUGAGAGAAGCCUCUAGUGAACACUAUGGCCCCGGGUCUAUUUCACAUCAUAUUUUCAGCCUUACAGUUUUACUUCGUUGCACUUUCCGCCUUCAUAUCUCACCUUGCAAUCAAUCGUGAAGGGAUUGACAACCCCUUUGUAGCAUUGGGUGCAAGUUUGCUGUUUUUGCGCAGGUACAUCGGCGCUUCAUCUUGAUACUCCUACUGUAUUGAUACCUUGGUUCUCAAAACUGAGGGAAAUACUUACUGCUACUGUGCUGCAUCACCCUUUCCUCUUCAAGGGAAAAAUCCAGCACAAGCUCAAGAGGUAGCAAGAAAGCACAAAGAGGCAUUUCCCCGUAAAGAGUUCUACUAAAGGCACACAACUAGGUUUCGAAUCCCACACAUAUAACGCAUUUCAUAACAUACACACAAUAUGCACGAUAUGUGUAGAUACAACAUGGCAUCACAACAUAACUCUAUGAAUAAAGAUUUCAUUAAGGACUCGUAAGAAUCAAUAUAGUAUGAUAUUACAAACAGGGGUAUCGUGACCCGACACUAAAGUCAUACAAACAUCAAGCGUAAGCAAAACAUGUCUGGGUACAGAGAUCUAUUAAAAAUGGAUGGAGGAGCCUGAUAAGUUACCACGACCCUACCAAAGGAACCAGACCUCUGUCUGGGAUUCCCAAGCUAUUCUAGUCAACAUCGAACACACCGCGUAGAAACCUUUAAUGAGAUUAAAAUAUUCUCUNNNNNNNNNNNNNNNNNNNNNNNNNNNNNNNNNNNNNNNNNNNNNNNNNNNNNNNNNNNNNNNNNNNNNNNNNNNNNNNNNNNNNNNNNNNNNNNNNNNNGUGGAUGGCCAGCGGGAAUGGCGCCUUCCCCUCGAGCUCGCGAGUGGCGCAAGGUAACAGGAGGCGCGGUAUGGAACACCGGUGGUAGCCGGUUUUUUGGGAUGUCUGGGGGAAUUUAUAUGCAGUGCAACACCUAAAAUUUGAGAGCUGAAAUUUGUGUGUUCUAAAGUUCGAUUUGUCUCAACUAUGCAGGUUCCAGGGGAAUUUAGGAGCUCAAAUUUCUGUGGUGUGAAGGUAUAUUAUGCAUCCUACUUCAUGCGUGUAGUGAUUUUGUUUUGUCAUUUAUUAUGUACAUGUUGUUGUGAUGUUUUAUUACGUAUCAAUGCUCUGAAUAAUUCAUGGACAAAUGUUGUGUGUGCAUUGUAGCUUAUUUCAUCAUGUCUCAACAAGAGUUGGUUGCCUACAUUACUGAAGAGAACAAAACAAGAAAAAUAAAGAGGAUAUUGUUGACAAAGAAGUAUUUUGAAACUUCAUGUCUAGCAUUUGCUUAUCUUAGUUCUCAGAGGGCACCGAGGAACCUCGGAUGCUUCGAUGAUGAUGAUGAAAAGGUUGCAUAUCGGAAGUAUAUAUUGAAGCAAACUUCUGAGGGGUCCGAGACAACUUGCUAUGAUAAGCUACGCUUAAAUAAAAGAAACUUCCAUGAUCUUUGUGCUAUGUUGCGUGAGAAGUGUGGUCCCAAACAUAGCACGUUUGUAACGGUAGAAGAAAAUGUUGCUAUGUUCUUACAUGUUGUUGGACAUGGACUUAAAAUGAGGAUGUUGGGCGGCACGUACCAGCGUUCUUUAGAGAAUACGAGUAGGCAUUCAUCUACUAUGUUAUCAGCCAUCCUAUCUUUAACCGGGGAGUUUAUCAAGCUUCCUAAUUCUUGUAUCACCCAACCCGAUGAUUACAAGUGGAAGUGGUUUCCUAAUGCACUUGGUGCACUGGAUGGGUGUCACAUUCCCGUGUUUGUUAAUGCCGCUGACAAAGGGAGGUAUAUGAAUAGGCACCAAGAUAUCAGCACUAACAUGGUAUGUGUUGUUGAUUGGAACAUGAAGUUUCUCUAUGUUCUACCUGGUUAGGAGGGUUCGACAUCGGACUCGAGUCCUAAAAUAUGCUAUGAGAAUCGACCGCGAAGAUGCAUUUGUUGUACCACAGGGUAUGACUCUUUCUCUUUGCGCUUCAUUUCUCAUAUUUAAUUGUUAGCUAACUGAUGUACUUGUCAAUAGGAAAAUACUAUCUUGUUGAUGCCGGCUAUACCAAUGGACCAGGAUUUCUAUCUCCAUUCAGAUCUAUUCGGUACCACUUUAAAGAGUGGGUUUCAAGUCAACAACACCCCCAAAAUGAAAAAGAGUUGUAUAACUUGCGGCGUGCUCGUGCUAGAAAUGUUGUGGAGAGAACCUUUGGAUUGUUAAAGAAAAAAUGGGCCAUCUUGCGUUCUUGUUCUUUCUUUGACAUAGAGGACCAGGUAACACAUGUCCAUUUGGUUGUUCAUAUGGACCAUCCUAUGUUCCUUCCUUGAUCAUCAACUAAAUAUUUGCAGGUUUGACUUAUUAAUGUGUGUCGUGUGUUACACAACUAUGCAAGGAAUAAGCACCAUAUGCGAGAUAAUUUGUUGCUUCCGGAAGUCGAUGUUGAGCUAGCGGCUAUGACUCCUGAACCUGCAAAUGAUGCUACUUUAAUUAGAAGUGCCCAACAAACAAAUGCAUGGUCCAAUUUUAGGCAGAAAUCUGCGGACAAGAUGUAUGCUGAGUACCUUGUGGUGCAUGGAGAAAAAUAGAUUGAGUAGAUAAGUAGUGAUGGAGUAUAUACCUAGCUGAUGGUGUCUUUUUUUUGUGCUAGCUUGGUGAUGGUGCCCUUUUUUGUGUGGUAGCAUGCUAGUCGUGACAUUUUGUACAUGCUUUUACGUUAUGUUCGUACUAAUAUAUAUGUUUUUACCUUACUCUUACUUGCUCUUCUGUACUUACUAUUGCUGAAGAAUCUCCGGAGUUGCCUAAGAAGAGGCAACACACUGGGGAUGCUAUCUUGUGCAUGAUGGGAGAGAUGAAGAUGUCUUUUCAUGAUGCUUUGAAGACAACCGAGCCACUUCCUAUGUCAAAGGUGACUCCUCCAUCUAAAAUCUUUCAUGCAAUAAAGAAGGUACCAAAGUUGGAUAAUAGUGAUAUCUUGAAAGUUUUUGAAAAAUUUAUCGUCGAUGAGCAUUUGUUCGAAGGACUCAUGGUGCUACCCGAGGAGUUUAGGAAGACAUGGCUCUUGAACUUGGAUUGAUUGUUGCUGUCAUGUUUGGUUGAUGUAUGGACUACUAUGUACUUUAUUGUUUAUGACAUAAACUAUCCAUUUGUGCUAUGUGUAAGAGACAAAAACUACUCAUUUGUGUUGUAUGUAAGAGAAAUAGACUACCAAAAGUAUUAUCCAUGAUGUGUUAUAGGCAUUUGAAAACUAUUUUAUGUGAUUUUUUAUUCCAUAUUUAUCUGUAAUUUUUUAUGUCUGCAAAACAAUAUAUAAAUAUUCAAGUAUACACAUAAUACUAUUUUUCAUACAUGUACAGAAGUUUAUAUUGUGCAAACUCCAAAAAACAUCUAAUUUCAUGGUAUGUACAUCCAAACAAUAAUUGGAAUUGGGUGCUACCGUGUGAUUCCAACAGUAAAAAUUCAUGCACAACCAAACAGUAGAAUUCGAAUUGGAGUCCAUUUCAUUUCCAUCUUGGAUUUGGAAUUAUCAGUCCAAUUUAAUUCCAAGCAAUUUUUUCCUACAUCCAAACACAUCGUUAUUGACAUCCUUCUCUCCGGGGUGGUAGUUUGCUUUGCUGAUCGCAACGCCGCCAUCUUCUAGUCUGCAUCGACGACUUACUAACCGUUGCUUCUACAAGCUCAUGGAUUUCAAAAAGUUAGGAUCGUCGAUACGGAGGCCCAGCAGCGCAAUCAAGCUAUGAUCACGAGGAUGCGGGAGGAAGAAGACUUGGGAAACCCCAAGAAUUUGAAUGUAUUUAUAUUUUUCUAUAGGAGUGUCUUUUUAUAAGUCGAUGAUUCUUGAUUUUAUGUCUUUCACAAAAAAUAAAUACAUAAAACCAUAUAUGCACUGUAAAAAUACUUUCUCCAUUGAAAAUAAGCAUCAUGCUUUUAGUUCAAGGAACUAAAACCACGACACUUAUUUUGAAAUACUGAUCACAACAAAGCGCAUGAUGCAGCUACUUACCAUACGACAAACAUGAUAGAGGCAUAGCAAAUCCGAUGUGUUAAUUAACCACAAGAUCGACAUGGCAUUACCUCCACGGAUCAUAGAGUUCUUGUUUACCCUCCAUUCCUAGUGAAAUAACUUCGACGAAAUGAUCCCUCCGCUCCAAUUUAAGUAUCAUGAUUUUAGUUAAAAAACACAACAUUUAUUUUUGAAUGGAGGGAGUAGACAUUACAAGUUAAGAAGGAGUCAACUCUCCCCCAAAAAGAGUCAAAUAUGUGUGUGCUUCUUUCCGAAGUGUGAAAUAUUGUGUUAGAAGAGAGAAAAAUAGUUUCUCCUUUUCUUUUUUUGCAUAAGGGAGAAAAAAUAGUUAGUAGUAGGGUUAUGCGAGAUUAUAUUUCGGUAGCCACUGAAACUACCGAAUUUUCAGAAGUUUGGUGAUUUUUUUAAUCAUAUUCUGCAGUUGUAAGAAAUCUCCCCUAAUAAUAAAGCGCGCAGCGCUUCUGUCGUGCGUCGCGCUAGUCGUGGCAUUUUUGCAAAAGCACCCCUCGCUUUUUCAGUAUUCAACCCGCAGUACGUUUCUAAGUUAAAAACGUUUCGGAUUUACAUAACCCCCUCCCCGGCUUAUCCAUUCCCGUCGGAGGCGAGGAGGCGAUGGGCGAUGCUUGGAGGCGAGGAGGCGAUGGACGGCGUGCUGAGGUGGAAAGGGCUGCGGCGACGCGGUCUCCUUCCCCCUUCUCUGUCUUCUCCGGCGACCUCAGCUCCACCUUCAGCCGAAGCUCUAGAGGAGAGGAGAGGAGAGGAGACAUAGGGAUGGCUGCAUCGGCGCUGCNNNNNNNNNNNNNNNNNNNNNNNNNNNNNNNNNNNNNNNNNNNNNNNNNNNNNNNNNNNNNNNNNNNNNNNNNNNNNNNNNNNNNNNNNNNNNNNNNNNNGGCCAACUUUUCCUAGCCCAAUUCCUGUACCACCCCCAACGGCAGAAUCCGGGCUCGCAAUUCCGGAUUGACAAUUCCAAGCUAAUUUUCCUACAUCCAAACAGGGUGUAAGGGAUUGUAUAAACUUUGAGUACCACGAAAGCCGACCAAAUCCAGGUAGAUCCACCGAAUACCUAAACCGUCUCGAUCCCGGAAGACCCGCCAAAGAUACAACUCCACAAGCCCUCCACUAGUGAAAUCACACGCCAGUGAAACGGGGAAUAGGGCAGAUAGAUUAUUAUUCCUACCUUGGGGUAACGACGUCGCUUCACCACCUAAAUAAAACACAAAAAUUCUAUAAAGAAGACAUGAAACAAAACAUCCAUGAUGUUGUACGAUAGGUCUAGGUCUGAUGUUGAACUCGUCACCGUUCAUAAUUGUGCACCGAAGCCCUCUUCUAUGAUGAUCCGCCCAGGUUGGGCCACAAAUGAAGACUCCAUGAUGGAUUCCUUCGGCCAAGGCCGGUUUCACUAACGCGGAUGUCGUGCACCGCCUGACAAAGGCUGGUGCUCGAGCACCCAUGCCAUUCCACAAGAACCCUCCACGCCUUAGGCCAACUUCACCGCACGACCCUAAACGGACGUCCGGUUUGGCCGGAUUUUGUCCGUUUGGGGCGGCAAUGGGUUCGCCCAUGUCUACUUCUGUCCGUUGGGUUGUGCGUGCGCCCACCGCGCGGCCGCACCCCAAAUCAUGUUUGUGUUGGACGUGAUUAAAAAAAUAGAAAAAAUUAAAUAAAAAUAAAUAAACGCAGCUAAAAAAACUUAAAACUAAAAAUUAAGGGUCACGGCCACAAAACGGCCCAGUUCCACCGUCGUUGACAUAAUUAACAUAAAAAAUAUUAAAAAACGCCCGUCGAUGCCGUGGACGUCACUCCACGGGACCGACGUCCUCGUAUCCCAGUAGCGCCCGCAUACCUCAGCGCUGAGCUACUGCCGAUCGCGCUGGCCGGCGGGCCUAGGGCCGAUGGUGAAGGGAGCNNNNNNNNNNNNNNNNNNNNNNNNNNNNNNNNNNNNNNNNNNNNNNNNNNNNNNNNNNNNNNNNNNNNNNNNNNNNNNNNNNNNNNNNNNNNNNNNNNNNUGACUUUGAUUCACUUGACACGUGCGAACCAUGCCUCAUGGGCAAGAUGACUAAGACUCCGUUCUCAGGAACAAUGGAGCGUGCAAGUGACUUGUUGGAAAUCAUACAUACCGAUGUGUGUGGUCCGAUGAGCGUGGAGGCACGCGGCGGAUAUCGUUAUUUUCUCACCUUCACUGGCGAUUUAAGUAGAUAUGGUUAUGUCUACUUGAUGAAGCACAAAUCAGAAACAUUUGAAAAGUUCAAGCAAUUUCAGAGUGAAGUGGAAAAUCAUCGCAACAAGAAGAUCAAGUUCCUACGGUCUGAUCGUGGGGGUGAAUAUCUGAGUUUCGAGUUUGGUGCUCACUUAAGACAAUGUGGAAUUGUUUCACAGCUAACACCGCUUGGAACACCACAGCGUAAUGGUGUGUCCGAACGUCGUAAUCGUACUCUAUUAGAGAUGGUGCGAUCUAUGAUGUCUCUUACUGAUUUGCCGUUAUCAUUUUGGGGCUAUGCAUUAGAAACAGCUGCAUUCACUUUAAAUAGGGCACCAUCAAAAUCCGUUGAGACGACACCAUACGAACUGUGGUAUGGCAAAAGGCCAAAGUUGNNNNNNNNNNNNNNNNNNNNNNNNNNNNNNNNNNNNNNNNNNNNNNNNNNNNNNNNNNNNNNNNNNNNNNNNNNNNNNNNNNNNNNNNNNNNNNNNNNNNGCCGGAAGCUGGCUGGAAGCCCAACCAAACACCCCUUAGAGCAUCUUCAACAGGUGUCUAAAAAGAGAUCCGCGCGCUAAAAAUCUGUUUUUUGGGCGCCAAACAGCUUCAACGGAUGCUGUAAAAUACUGCACGCGCUAAAAAGUUUUAGGCACGCGUUGAAAAACGCUAUCGCGUGCAUUAUAUUUUAGAUGCCGGAUUGGGUGCUUCAUAAUUUUAACUACGUGCAUUUUUGGACGCGCAUUUUUAAGGUUCUUUUAGGCGUUUGCUAAAGCAAUAUUGGUCUCUGUUGGAGAUGCGACUGUCUCCAGUGAGAUGGCCGUCGUCGUCGUUCCUGGCUCUCUAUGUGUACUGAUCCAGAUUUUGUUUUCAGAUUAACCCCUUUAGGAAAAAUAUAAGUAAAACAUACACUUGCACAAGACAAAGGGAGUUUUAAUUCCAGAGUUUACACACACGUUAAGAGGGUGCUUGGAUCCAAGGAACUAAAACUAGUCUGACUAAAAAUAGUCUUUUUAAGAGGCUAAAGUUCCAAGCACUCCUGACUAAAGAGAGGCUAAAACUAGUCUUGAGGCUAAAAUCUUUUAGUCAGGUAUACCCCUACUAAAAUGUGGAUUAGUCCUCCCUCUCAUCAUUUAACUCCUCUCCUUUAACACAUGUGAGUUCUGGAUUGAAGGGUUUGGAGGAUAAUAAAUGUUCAUUAACUUGAUUUUAGUCUCUUUAGUAUUUGGAUCCAAGCAUGAGUGAGGCUAGCAAGUUUUAAUCCUACUACUUUUAGUCAUGAGACUAAAACGUAUCAAGCACCCUCUAAGUAAUACCAAAAUAUGAUUUUGUGACUGCAACAGUUUACAUCCCAGAGGGAGACACAACACAGGAAGUACAACUAAAGCAAAGUAAGAACACCCCAGCAGUCUGUUGUGCCAAGAGUUAAACAUUAGAAUUUGGAUUUGUACUUUGAUUCCACCUACUGAUGUCUGAGCUCUUGACAUAAUUACUUCGCAAGUACUGGAAAUCAUCACAGAAGAGCAGUCAUCUUAUACGCAGCUUCGGUUCAACGACAGUAAGAGUCUUAUACUAUAUUGCAGCGUCAACUUCACCGGCAGUAAAAGAGCCUGCUGAAGCAUAAGAUAAAAUGCAGGUUAACAGCAGCAAUCAUAGCUACCAUGUGCCAGUUACGAUGAUAAUUGACAAAGGGUAAACAAGUUGUGUGAAGUAGUGACCUUUGAUUGCUGAAGCUGUUCCUCCUGCUGCUAGGCCUAGACCCUGUGAAGACUCACAACUGUUGAAACUGAACGAUCAUCACGCAUUGUUAGCCGAUAGCAUCCUCCGCGGUUGUUAGGAAAACAAUGAUUGCAACGCAUUUUGGCUCCAGUUUAUCCCUGAUGAUGGAAUCUAAUCCAACAGUAGAAAAGGUAACUAUACGCUUUCUGAUACGUAGUAAUAUACGAUGUAAUCCUACUGCUGCUGUUCUUGAGAAAACACAGUCGACUCUCCUCCGAGGCUUAGGGAUCAAUUGAGCUGGAACUUUGCUGUGUCUUGGGAGCAGGCGCAUCCUCCACCUCCACAAGAAGAGGGUUGAGAUAACCAGACAUCAGUAUUCUCUGCGCUUCAUUAUAACGCGCCCAAGUGACCAGGUAUAGACCAGCAAUGAUGAAGACUCCUCCAAUCAGGCUGCAAGUUGCAGUGCACAAGAUGGGUGUUUAGUUUUGCAUAAAUCCGUGGGAAUUCUGUAGUCUAAGUGAGGCAAACAAAUCAAGAGACAUCAUAUUUCAGUAACGGUAUCCAUGGAAAACAACAUCAUUUUACGCAAGCACCAUCGCCAUUACAACGUCUUCAAGGUCGCCGGCAUCGUCAUUAUGUCAGUAAUGGAUACCAUGGAAAACAACAUCAUUUUUCUUGAAAGAGUACCAAAGCUCAACUGAUAAUUGAUAAACACAAUGCAAAAUGACCAAUUCGAAUGAGCCGAAACUAGGCAACUCAUGAUGUCACGAUGUUCAAGUUUUUUUAUUUUUGAGGUCACGAUGUUGAAGUAGCACAUAGGGUAGAGUGUUAGUUGGCCCAUACCUUCCUAGAUAAAUUGGGGUACCAAGAAACAUAGUUGAGAGGAUGGUGGAACAUGCUGGUUGGAGCGGAUUGUAGAGGGCAACCAGAGACGGUCCGAGAAUUUUGUUCGCCCAAGUCAUGAUUGCGUAGUUCAGACAAGAUGCAACAACUCCCUGUUGGUGCAAGCAAGAAAUGUGGUUAGAACAAGCACAUCUUAGCAUGGUCAUCCAGCAGGCAGCAGCUCAUAUACUCACAGCGUAUAGAAUGGCUAUCAUUUCUGUCCCUGUCAGUGCCCACUCAUGGAGCCCAUUGGUUGCAAAUACCCCAGUCAACACCAUGAAGAUGGUGGCAAAUGAAUAAGAGUAGGCUGUCAAGGAUAAGCUCGCGGGAUAUUUUACUAACACCGGGGCCUGGAAUCAGUCACAGCAGAAAAGGACACACAUUCAGAUAUAAUUCUCAUUAAGAGCAAAAAACUAUCAUGACAUGAAGCUGAAAACAACCCAAUCUGCAUUACCUGUAUGACAAGAUAAGCCCCCAUGAGGAAGCAGUUGCCUAAGAGGCACAGAACGCCAAGGUUCCAGGUUCCCAAAUCGAACUGGAGCAUGGCUGGCGUCAGCCACUGAGCAGGAUAGGAACUGCCGCUCCAUGAUGCAUCGGCAAGCGCAUUGCCAUCGGCGGCAUUGGCGCCCCCAAGGCCAAUCAGGGAGGGGCCUCGGUAGAAGACCAUGAGGACGGCGCCGAAGACGCACACGGCCGUGCCGACGACCUUGAAGACACCGUCUUUGGUGAAGACGUUGAUCACUUCGACGCUGGAAUAAGAACAUUUUGGGAAUUCUGUUACGGGUUCGGCUUGGCAUUCGAAUCCAGGGCUUUGUCAGAGUCCAGAAAUGUAUCCAGGACAAUGAGACAUUUCUUCAGCUUGACAUUUGCAUCCAAGGCAAUGUCAGUACUUGAGAAACGGUGUAUGUGUACCCCGUUGAUUGGUUGUUUGGUUGCUCACCCGACGAUUGCUGCGAGGAGGAAGGUGAAGACGGGUAUGGCGGGCUGGAAAGCGGCGGCGUAGGAGGCGUUGGUGAAGCCGAGGCCGAGCAGGAAGAGGAGCUGGUUCCCGAAGAUCCUGCGGGGCAGCACACGCCGUCAGAAUGGAAGGCACUAACGAGACUGAAGAGAGUCGCUUAUUGCUCGCUCCAUCAGGCAUUAGCAGCAGCAUGAGAAUUACCCGGUGAAUCCAAGCAGCGCGNNNNNNNNNNNNNNNNNNNNNNNNNNNNNNNNNNNNNNNNNNNNNNNNNNNNNNNNNNNNNNNNNNNNNNNNNNNNNNNNNNNNNNNNNNNNNNNNNNNNUUUACUCGUUCCACUACGCAGUCUCCGAGAGAGGGAGAGUCCACGGGCGAGAUAAACAGAGCCGGCCGUUUGGUUGACAGGUGGGGCCGAGCUGUCAGACUACGGCCUCACAAGCUGCUCGCUCCCCGACCGCACCCAUGAGUGCUCUUUUGCUUUGGAACAGCAACUCCAACACCAAAUUCCACACCCCCUCAAAAAACACCAAAUUCCACUCACUUCAUUUUUUAUCAACUAGUACAAAUGCCCGUGCGUUGCACCGGACAAGAAAAAAAAAUAUAAUCUGCUUGUUGUGCCAUUAUGCGGCAUUAAAUUAGUGUUUUAAUCAAACAACAUUUGUUGAUUUAAAACUAUUUGACAUUGUUAAUUGUUUGUUAGUCUAUUCAGUUAGCGAAAGUUCUGUUCAGCAAAUUCAUGUUAUUACUUUGACAUUGCCCAUUGGUGGACAGAGUUAAUAUUUUUGGCAAAAGAUCUCUUUGUUAUAAAUGAUUCAAAUUUAUCUAUAUGUAUUAUGUAUGUCCCCAACAAUAGAAAAAACACUCUCGACCUCUUCAUCUCUAGCAAAUCUUAUUCAGUGACAGUGAUAUGCCAACGGCCUUUCUUUGAUUUCUGAGUUUGAGAGGUAGAGGGUGGAGCAAUUAGAAAGUCAAGAAAGGGCUAGAUAAAUCUGAUUGAAGAACAAAAAACAACAGAAUAUCUUGUUGUGCAUAAACAAUCAAUUAUAUGUCCAGUUAGUACUGUCCAGUUAAAGUUCGAAGCUAUAAUCAUAGAUCUUACAAUUGUACUUCUCAAAAGAACCAUUCAACGUCAGACUUUUAUCACUGCUAAACGUCGGGAUCUCAUAUUAUACAGUGAUAAUCCUCCUAGAUUAAGAUCAUACCAAAUUAGUGAACGAAUAGAAUAACUACGAUUUGGACAUUACCUUGGCGACCAGUGCCUGGGCGCCGACGAACUUGUCGUCCCAGGCCAGCGACUGCCGCACCCCGCCGACGUUGCUGGCGUCGGAGAUGUAGGCCUUGUACUCCUGGUCGCCGGUGGCGAUGUAGAGCCACACAGCUGCCCACAGCAGCUCGUCCUGUUCCAUUUCCAGCUAGCAUCUUUCAGUAUUUUUAUGUACAGAAAACAUUACUUACUAUUUUCUGCUUAUCAUGAUAUUAGUUAGUAGAGUAAGAUGCUACCUCGUCGCCGCUGCUGCUGUAGAAAUUUUUGCUUGAUGGAAUGCUGUUCUGGUAGAGCCCACGAUGGUUCUUGGUGAACUGGAACAACUGCACAAAAGUGACACAAGAAGUUAGCUCAUGCAGUUUCGUCUGCCUUUGUGCACAAAUACAAAUCCACCUUCAGUUUUCUAGCAAUAUUUUGCCAUUCGUUUUCAACCAUAUGAACGGUACCAUGACUUUGUGAAAUGGUUUGUCUAGAAGGAAGAACGAAUAACGUAUACCCACAUUUUAUUGUACACUACAGGUCAUCGUACGUAUAUAAUAUGCGGUGGAUACAAUGCAAGAACAUAGAAGGAGUAUAUAAUAUGAGGUGGGUACGCUCUAUUUUCUUGUCUAUUACUACACCAAUGCUUUUUGGCCCAUCCAUUGGAUUUGUAUCGAAUCGAUUGUGUAAUCUGUGUGUUGUGCAAAGCAAUGCAGUCCAUCAGUCUCUCUGAAUGUAAGCAAGUAUAUCGUGCACCUGUUUCGCGUGUUUCAGAAGCGUCGACGCGUACCUGGGUUCGCCGCGCGGCUCCGUAAACGCGAUGGAGGCNNNNNNNNNNNNNNNNNNNNNNNNNNNNNNNNNNNNNNNNNNNNNNNNNNNNNNNNNNNNNNNNNNNNNNNNNNNNNNNNNNNNNNNNNNNNNNNNNNNNUGUCAUUCAACUCAUUGAGCAAGUCAUUUUGAGCUUUAAGUACUUGUUCUACCUGAGUAGUAACCAUAGAGGCAUGUUUACUCAAGAGCUUAAUAUCAUUGACAAUUCUGUCCACACAAGCACUCAAAUGACUAAGCAUACGAGCAUUCUGUUCCAAUUGUCUGCUAACAUAAUCAUUGAAACUCUGUUGUUUGGCAACAAAGUUAUCAAAUUCAUCCAGGCAUAAACUAGCAGGUUUAUCAAAAGGAAUAUCACUCUCAUCAAACCUACACAGAGGAUUUACUUCUACUACCUGUAUCGGGUUAUCAAGACCAUGGAUCUCUUCGAUAGGUGGUAGAUUUUUGACAUCUUCAGAUUUAAUGCCUUUCUCUUGCAUAGAUUUCUUAGCUUCUUGCAUAUCUUCAGGACCGAGGAAUAGAAUACCUCUUUUCUUUGGAGUUGGCUUAGGAGGUGGUUCGGGAAUAGUCCAAGCAUUCUCAUUGCACAAGAUGUUAUUCAAUAGAAUCUCAACUUGUUCUACGGUUUGUUCCCUAAAAACACAACCAGCACAACUAUCUAGGUGGUCUCUAGAAGCAUCGGUAAGUCCAUUAUAGAAGAUAUCAAGUAUUUCAUUCUUCUCAAGAGGGUGAUCACGCAAAGCAUUCAGUAGUUGGACGAGCCUCCGCCAAGCUUGUGGGAGACUCUCUUCUCCAGCUUGAGCAAAGUUGUAUAUUUCCUGCAAGGCAGCUUGCUUCUUAUGGGCAUGGAAAUAUUUCUCAGAGAAGUAGUAGACCAUAUCCUGGGAGUGAUGACCCACAAUUAUAGGGGAUCAAUCGUAGUCCUUUCGAUAAGUAAGAGUGUCGAACCCAAGGAGGAGCAGAAGGCUCUGAUAAACGGAUUUCAGCAAGGUAAUAACUGCAAGCACUAAAAGUAGCGGUAACAGGUGAUUGUGUAGCGAGGUGAAACGUAGCAAGCAAAGAGUAACAAGUAACAAGUAGUAACAACGGUGCAGCAAGUGUCCCAAUCCCUUUUGUAGCAAGGUACAAGCCUGAACAAAGUCUUAUAGGAGGAAAAACGCUCCCGAGGACACNNNNNNNNNNNNNNNNNNNNNNNNNNNNNNNNNNNNNNNNNNNNNNNNNNNNNNNNNNNNNNNNNNNNNNNNNNNNNNNNNNNNNNNNNNNNNNNNNNNNGCUCCUAUUUAGGGGCUUCCGGCUGCAGCUGUGAGCCUGAAGCUUCUAAAUAUAAGCUUUUGGCUUAGAAGCCGGUAGACGGAAGCUGGCUGGAAGCCUAACCAAACACCCUCUAAGAGGGGAAGGGGGCAGCCGAUGACUGAAUCGUAAAACAGUUUCAGACACAAUGCACAAGCGGUCCUAUCUCUUACACGAUUCCUACAAUAUUUAUGCACUCCAAACAUAAGCAGCACAUGUUAGACCGAAGGGAAUUAAGUGAAUGCUAAGCUGCCUUCACCACGUUUUAAUCAAAUUAGUGGCGAAAGUCUCAAUCCGUGAAUCGACCUCCAGAUCACCAAUUUACUACUUACUUCAAUUGCAAACAUCAUUUCAGCAUCAAUUCAAUGCCAAAGGAAUGAUAAAAACUAAUCAACAUUGCUUCAAGCAUCAUGGAUUCCAUGCUAUCAGAGGCACUAUGGACGCUUUGAUUGUCAUAAUGUAAGAUAUUGUACUGCCUCUCCAGUGGGAGAUACAAUAACGAAAGUGCAUUUGCAAACACCCAGCUAUUCAUCAUUGUUAUAAAGUGCGGUGCUCAGUUAACCAACAUCAGUUACCACACUCUAGGUAGCAAGCAAAUUGACAGCAACCAGUUAUUUAGGCUCGGUUUAACUCAUCCCAGAUGUUCUGGAGCGCAUAAUAUAUCCGAUUACAAGACAACCAAAUAUCUUAAAACGACCGAUGAAACUGACAUAGUAGUCAUAACCAACUGCGAAGAGGCGCUUGAAGCUUUGGAGGCCUCAUUUCUGUUCAUCGCUGCAAUGACACAUUCAUUCAUCAUCAAACUGAGGGCAGCCAGGCUGCCAGUGGUACCACCAGGAGUAUGAACCAUACUCCCAAGAGACCAAUUCUGACCGAUCGAUCGAUGAUGCAUAAUGAGCAUGGCAUAAGGAGCAGCAUGGAACAAAGAAUAAGGAGGGGCGAGCAUUCUAAAUAAAGGAUUUGUGUAUGAAAUCUAUGUCGUCCCCUUGCUAAAAAAGGGACAAACUUCAUCAAUAGCAAAGAAUCGACGAGGAAAAACACUUCUUAUGGCGCACCGAGGACACUAGGAAAACACAAGCGCAAAUCCCCGACUCAUGCACUUUAGCGGCCAAUUGGAGGAACUGGAUCGACAGCAGAUCUUUCAGAUCGCUUGCGCGCCACUAGACAUUAAUAUCAGCAAACAAUUUACCAGCAUCUUUAAGAGUAGCAACAGGUAAUUAAACAUGGCAACGAGGACACGGCCUCAGGGUAUACAGGGGGAAGAAAAAUUCACGCGUCCAUCACACGACACACCACACGCAUCAGCAGCAGCAGCAGCAACAGCAUCAGUAUUUUAGAGCAGCAGCAGCAGCAGCAUCAGCGGCAGUAUAUAUAGUAAACUUAAGACAGCAGAUGCAGGCGACGACCAAGGCAGAUCGGACUGUAGAGGGUGUGAGAGGANNNNNNNNNNNNNNNNNNNNNNNNNNNNNNNNNNNNNNNNNNNNNNNNNNNNNNNNNNNNNNNNNNNNNNNNNNNNNNNNNNNNNNNNNNNNNNNNNNNNCUUUCUGAAGCUAGUCUUCUUGUGUGAGGAGGACUUUGAAGAUGAGGAUUUUGAAGAUUUCUUCUUCUUCUUUGAGUCAUCAGAACUGUCAUCCUUGUAUUUCUUCUUCUUUGAUUCCUUUCCCCAGCGAGGACAAUCAGCAAUGUAAUGGCCUGAUUUCUUGCACUUGUGACAGGUCCGUUUCUUGUAGUCCUCAGAUGCAGAUUCUGAUUUCCUCAUGUCUCUUCUUGAUGAUUUACCGAACUGGCCUCGUCGUGUAAAUCUCUGGAAUUUCCUCACUAGCAUUGCAAGUUCCUGACAAAAUUCUUCAGGGUCACAGCUGCUAUCAUCUGUGUCUUCUUCUUCAGAUGAGGAAAUUGCUCUUGCCUUCAGUGCACGUGGUCUGGAAUAGCUUUGUCCAUAUAGAUCUCUCUUUUCUUCUAGCUGAAAUUCAUGAGUAUUUAGCCUCUCGAGGAUAUCAGCAGGGUCUAACAUCUUGUAGUCUGGUCUUUCUUGAAUCAUCAGAACUAAAGUGUCAAAUGAAGAAUCCAAUGAUCUCAGCAGUUUCUUCACAACUUCGUGAUCAGUGAUGUCUCGAGCUCCCAGUGCUUGCAGUUCAUUUGAUAUGUCAGUGAGGCGAUCAAAGGUGUCUUGAUAGCUUUCAUUGUCAUGUCUCUUGAAGCGAUUGAAGAGAUUGCGAAGAAUAUCAACACGAGAGUCACGUUGGGUUGAUACUCCUUCAUUUACCUUGCACAGUCUCUCCCAGAUCAGUGUUGCAGAGCCUAAGGCACUUACUCUUCCAAGCUGGCCAGGGCUCAGAUGACCACAGAUGAUGUUCUUCGCUUGAGAAUCGAGUUGCUUGAAUUUCUUCACAUCAGCUUCAGUGACACUAGCAGAAAUGAUGGGAACACCAUUUUCCACAAUAUACCAGAGAUCAUUGUCUAUAGCUUGUAGAUGCAUUUGCAUUUUGUUCUUCCAGAAGGGAAAAUUCUUUCCCUCGUAGGUAGGACAUGCUGCAGUCACCUUAAACAUGCCUGCAGUCGAAAUAACUAAAACUCCAGGUGGUUAAACCAAAAUCACACAGAACAAGGGAGUACCUUGCUCUGAUACCAAUUGAAAGUGCGUUAUAUCGACUAGAGGGGGGUGAAUAGGAGAUUUUUAGNNNNNNNNNNNNNNNNNNNNNNNNNNNNNNNNNNNNNNNNNNNNNNNNNNNNNNNNNNNNNNNNNNNNNNNNNNNNNNNNNNNNNNNNNNNNNNNNNNNNCGCCGCCGUCAAGCAUCGUACCGCGGCCGAUCUGCUCGCUGCCAUCGACCACUGCGUCGCCGUUGACCACCUCGCUAUUUGCCAAGCACUCCGUCGCCGCCGAAGAUCUCUGCGCUCGACAAGACUUUCGUGCUCCUCCAACAGCCUCCGUCGCCGUCGACCACUUCCGACCGAAAUCGUCAGGUUAGGUCAACGCUCACUUAAGAACAGAUCCCAUCCCUGUUUGAAGUUUCAACAUCGCCAUGUUCUUGAUGCCCUUUGUGAAUAUCUGUUACCUGUUCUUGACUGAUUAAUGCAAAUGUCGAUGAGAUAGCCAAUGUUUUUAAUACCUUCAUUUAUCUGCCCUCGACUUGCGUGUUUAGAACAAUAUUUCAUCAAACGAAUGAUAUCAUCUUAUCUUGGUAGUAAAAUUGCUGCAUCCAGUCAUUUUUCUCAUGUUUUUCGACUUUCCAGUAGAUCCAUAGUUUACCUGCUCAUUGCGUAAAGCUAUUUGUAGUCUUCACACUUCACCGUUUUGAACAAAUGUCUUCGACAUCUUUAGAACAUAACUCUUGUGAAUAGCCAAACUUCGUAAAUCACCAAAGCAACCCAACCUGGAUCUUUAUAUGGCGGGUCAAGCUUUUCCCUUAGUCCGUGAACAAAUUACUUGGCGAGUCAAAUGAACUUAUUUCACCCCUUACGGUAGAUGUUCAAGGCGUGUAAAUUCACCCGUACUUUACUCCUUUGUAGCAUGGGCACCGUCUUCAAAAGUGACUGGCUCCCUACCAAAGUCGACGACACCAUACUAGCAGACUAUGUGAAAACGGGCAACUUGGACCCUCAGAAUGUUAUCGGUUGGCGUACCGGGUUCGGAGAAGAUCUCCCCAACCCCAAAGAAGGGGAGAUAGUUGUUUUCGUUGAACACCUUGAGCGAGGUUUUAAGCCACCCGGAUCAAAGUUUCUUAGAGACGCCAUGACUUUCAUGAACGUCCGCCUCCAGGAUCUGGGACCUAACUCGAUAAGUAACCUAUGCCAGUUCCAAGUGUUUUGUGAGGCUUAUCUGCGGAUGGAACCCUCAGUUCCCUUAUUCUGGUACUUUUUCCACUUAAAUCGCCAGACGGAAUUUCACAAUGGCCCUAGCCUGGAACUUGGCGGCGUAAAUGUUCAGCGCCACAGGGAUAGAUCGUUUCCCUCACUCGCCCUGCCAAGCCAUCCCAAAGGCUGGGGCGAGUCUUGGUUCUACUGUCAAGAGACCUCACCCGCAGGAGAAAACAAGCUUCCGGGUUAUAGGAAAGACCGCCUUCCAACAAACUUCAAACUUCCGGACAAGCUCACCAAAGAGGAUGAAUCAGAUUUUAUCCCAGUAUUUUCCGAGUUAAGAUCUUUGACAAACAACGGCCUUACUGGGGUCGACUUGAUUCGCUGAUGGGUCGAAUGGCGGAUCCUUCCUUUGAGUCGCCGGGACGGGCUAAUGUGCGAGUUUGAUGGCACCUUAGAUCAUCCUCAAUGUUAUUUCCAUACGGCUUUAACGAAAAAGGAUAUUGUCACCAUCAACAAGAAGCUGACCGGCGAGCCUGCGAGAAAAUGUGGCCAAAUCGGCCUCAAACCCUUCUGCAAAAUUAAUCCGGCGCCCAAGGUAAGCGAUUUUAACCCACCCUUUGUCUCUAUUUCUUAUGUUUCAUUCAAGUUGUGGCAUUUUAUAACAUAUACCAUUCCAGAAAGGUGAGAAAUUUUGGUCCAAGAAACCCAAAAGGCCAACCAUGAAGCAAGCUAAGCCGCCCCCAAAGAAAACCAAGGGCAAGGGCAAAGCUGCUGUGGCUGAGCCAUGCGAAGCCGAUGAAUCCCAAGUCGGCGACGCACCUUCAGAGGUAAAAACCUAUCCUCUUUUCACUCUCCAUCCGCUAUUGUUAAUUUUGUAUUUAUGCCUCUGCCUCUCUUGAAUAGAAUGAACACAACGAAAGCCAGGAGGAUUCUGUAGAGGUAAUUUCUGUUUCUUCCGAUUCAUCUCCUUCUCCACCUAAGCCGGCCAGGCAAAUUUAUGGGAAAGUUCCCUUCUCACAUCCAAAUGCUUGUUUGGACCCCAAUUUUCUAUUGAAGAAAGCACAACAUACCUCAAAUCGGAAGACCCGAAGUUACUCCGGUGAUCUGGUGUCCGGCUUACCAGCAAAGAACAAGAGGAAACCAAACGAGGUACCCAUGAACAAUACUUCCUCAUGUUUCUUUGGAUUGCAUCCAUAAUCCGCCUAUAUCUUUGACGUAUAGUUCUUGCAGAAUUCUCCUCCUACAUCUGGCGACUCAGUAAUGUCGACACUUCCGCCAAUGAUUCGAGUCCCUGGGUAAGUCCUUUGACAAUUUUACUUUUGAAUCUGAGGAUAAUGAAUUACCAGUUUUUUAAUGCACCGUUCCCCUUUUUUAGGGCACAGGCGAAGAAGAGGAAGACCAGCGGGUCAACUCCUGUUAUAAUUUCAGAGCCCAUCAAAGAGUCAGUGCCAAUCCAAGAUGACCCGAAUCAAGGCGAGCCUGAGGAUCGAAUGGAUCUUCCUAGCUCGCCCAAGGACACAACGGAUGCCCCUAAGCCGCCAAGUCCAUUGACAACAGCAGAAGACCCGGAUGUUGUGGUUAUCACUGGCACCAGCUUCUCUAAACCGGCCACAACGGUUUUAUCAAAGCAUGCACCAUCAUCCUCUCAAAACAUUCCUGAAUUUGGACUCUCCAAGGCUAAGCUUUCUGAGUAUGAACAACUGGAAUUCCAAGAACUCUGCUCUGGUUUUGUGAGUCGCCUGGAGGCGAGUUAUGAGAUGGAGAAAAGCCUGCUCUGGAUGCUAAAAAAUAAACAUGAGGUAAGCUUUGUUAUAUAUUAUAUUACUCCCAUUAACCCCCAAGGGCCGGGUCAUCAGUAAAAAGAUGAGCCGGGUCUUGAAAAUUAGAAAAAACUUUCGACCAGUAACCCCCAAGGGCCGGGUCAUCAUUAAAAAAGAUGAACCGGGUCUUGAUAACUUAGAAAAACUUUCGACCAGUAACCCCCAAGGGCCGGGUCAUCAGUAAAAAAGAUGAGCCGGGUUUUGAUGAAUUAGAAAAAACUUUCGACCAGUAACCCCCAAGGGCCGGGUCAUCAGUAAAAAGAUGAGCCGAGUCUUGAUAUUGUAUAAUUUUAUCUGAAAAAAUUAUACAUUAGCCCCCAAGUGUCAGGGAUAUUGCUUGCAAUAGUUCUGAGACUUGCCCCUUAUCAUGUACUUUCAACAGGAAACUCUUACUCAGACUGAAUCGGCGCUUGCGAUUUAAAGAAAAACUUAUCUCAUCAGCAAGAUGCCCGAACUAAGUCGGAGGAGAAGUAUCAAUUGGUCCUGGCUGAAAUGGAAAAACUCAAAGCUGAUUUAAAAAGGGCUCAAGCUGACCAAGAUGCUGCAACAAAAAGAACAGAGAAGGCUGAAGUCAGGCUGGCUACUGUGCAACAAGAAUUGUCCGGCUUGAAGCGUCAUAUCUCAAACAUGGCGCAAGCCAUCUUUGGUAAAAUACUCAAACUUUUGAUCUCUUUUUUUACCAAUAAUUCUUAUUGUGAGUCGCUGAUUAUCAUGACCCCUUACACAGGUCCGAGAGCCGCCAACCUUCAGGAUGAUUGCGUGCUGAUGUUGAAGGCGAUUUAUACACUGACAGAGCAACUGUAUACCGGCAGUGUAUUAACUGUUAAAGCUGUGAUGGGUGCCAAUGAGCCUAUAACUUCCAUAAAGAAGAUGCUUGGCUGCCUAUCAACGCUUCCCCCUCAGAUUGGCGAGUUGACUCGGUCAGCCGCCCGGAAGGGGGUACUGACUACCUUAAGUCGCUGCUUGGCGUAUGCUCUAGAGAUCAACCCGGAAGAGGUAGCGGCAGGCUUUCCUCAACUCAAAGAUGACGGGUCAGAAUUCGUCGAAGAGGACUAUCAACGUGUCGUCAAGGACUCCCAGCUGGCGGUGACUCAACUUGCUGCAAGUCUGGACUUAUCAAAGUAUCAGGCUGCUUAUGACAACAAGAACAAGAAGGUCAACCCGCCAACCUUUGUGACGACCAGCUUAACUCCACGGAGACCCAAGAACCCUUUUGACUUGGACGCAGAUCUUGCAUCAAUCCUGACCGAUGAAGAUGACUUCGCGGCUCUGGCCAAGUGUAACUGGGUACUGGGCGACUUGCAAACUGAGGUCGGCCAAAGCUCGCAACAAAAUGAUCCAAGGGCGCCAGCACAAUAAACUUCAUUGAUUUGGCCUGAGAGCCAUGUAAUAGGUCUUUUUCAUGAGUCGGUACUGCUUUUGUGAUACUUUCGAAAGAAUCUUUAUAUCGCCCUUAAGGCGAUUUGAAAUAUUGGAUCCGCCGUUUGAAAAUCCUUUAUAAUGCUUAACCCACCAUGGAUGAAGUGAUUUUGAUCAUCAACCUGUUUUAAACUUGAAAAAACAUAUGUUAACCAAAGUCGCGACAGGAUGGGGCGAGUCAGAAAGCUCAAGCACGCACCCUAAGNNNNNNNNNNNNNNNNNNNNNNNNNNNNNNNNNNNNNNNNNNNNNNNNNNNNNNNNNNNNNNNNNNNNNNNNNNNNNNNNNNNNNNNNNNNNNNNNNNNNUGGUUUCUAUAGAAGGUUCAUUAAAGACUUCUCUAAGAUUUCUAGGCCUCUUAUCAAUCUCUUGCAAAAGGAUAUUCCUUUUGUUUUUGACGAUGAUUGUGAGGAAGCCUUUGAAAUACUUAAGAGGGCUUUGAUAACUACACCUAUUAUUCAACCACCUGAUUGGAACUUACCUUUUGAGAUCAUGUGUGACGCUGGUGAUUAUGCUAUUGGUGUUGUUCUAGGGCAAAGAGUUGACAAGAAGUUGAAUGUUAUUCACUAUGCUAGUAAAACUCUAGACACUGCCCAAAGAAACUAUGCUACUACGUAGAAGGAAUUUUUAGCAGUCGUGUUUGCAUGUGAAAAGUUCAGGUCUUACAUAGUUGAUUCCAAAGUUACUAUUCACACUGAUCAUGCUGCUAUUAAGUACCUCAUGGAGAAGAAGGACGCUAAACCUAGACUUAUCAGAUGGGUUCUCUUGCUACAAGAGUUUGAUUUGCACGUUGUCGACAGAAAGGGUGCUGAUAACCCCNNNNNNNNNNNNNNNNNNNNNNNNNNNNNNNNNNNNNNNNNNNNNNNNNNNNNNNNNNNNNNNNNNNNNNNNNNNNNNNNNNNNNNNNNNNNNNNNNNNNUGUCCAAAUCCACCAUUGGUAAUGCAAAGUAGAGUAAAACAUGGGAAGCCGCCGCCGCUUGGGUCCUAGGAAGGCCACCACCGACGUCUUUCCGGAACUCACAGCCAGUGAGCUUGCCCGGAGCUUCACAGAACCCACUACUCUUCAUGUCCUGCUAAAGCUUCACUUCCCGAGGCUCAUGACCAGCCGGUGGGCUUUCUGUUGGACAUGGGGAACACAUGUCAUGGUGGGUGAUCAUUUAGACAAGGUUAGAACAGCCUAGUCCGCUACAAUUUAGUUGAAAUAUGUCGGAAUGUUAGGCCAUGUUUGGUUUCAAUAAGUCAGGUGACUUAUAAGUCAGGUGACUUCAAAACAGUGACUUAUAAGUCAUGCAUGUUUGGUUGUCAUCUGACUUAUAACUCACCUUUCCAUGCAAAAGUGGAUGACUUAUAAGUUUUAAGUUGGGGUGGAGCAACUUAUGACUUAUAAGUUGGGGUGACUUAUAAGUUGGGUCUGUUUGGCAAAAUAAGUCACUUUUUGCACUUUUCAACUUAUAAGUUGGUGACUUAUUUGGAACCAAACAGGGCCUUAUUAUUGCGCCAUCUUCUCCCGUCACCAAGCUCUGCCACUCCGGUGCAUCUUCUCGAUACAAAACGACGGCGGCGGUCGGUGUGCAGGGGCUAGAUCUGAGCACGAAGGGGGCAAGGGAGAAGGAUCCGGAGGUGGGAGGCAAGGCAGGGUNNNNNNNNNNNNNNNNNNNNNNNNNNNNNNNNNNNNNNNNNNNNNNNNNNNNNNNNNNNNNNNNNNNNNNNNNNNNNNNNNNNNNNNNNNNNNNNNNNNNCAAGCCCAGUCUCCGUCAACGUGUCAAUUUCUGGCACUGUUGUUUGAGAAGUAGCAGAAGGAUUUCUGGCACCGUUGCCGGGGAGGAAGAUCAAGUCAAGAACUCAUCCAAGUAGGUGUCGCAAACUCAUCUCUUGCAUUUACUUUGUUUGCCAGUUGCCUCUCGUUUUCCUCUCCCCAAAUUCACCAAUUUGCCGUUUUCAUUUGCCUUUUUCGUUUGCCUUUCCUUUGCUUGUGUGCCAUGUGCCUUCAAAAUGCUUGCAUCUUCGCUUGCUAAGAAUCUAGUGGCAUGGAUCCUCAUCCACUUGCUAAUAUUUUCAAGAGGUCCAACUAUGUUGAACCAACUGCUAGUGAGUCUUGCUUACUAGAUUAUUUUUAUGGAGUUUGGCUUGAGAUGCGUGAAUCUGAAAAUCGUGAUGAAUAAAUUUAUGAAGUGAUUCACGAGGGCUCCUUGAAUGAAAAGCAUGAUUGCAAUGGCUUCACUAUAAAUUCUAUUAGUGACAAUCAUGCUAAAAAUAUGCAAAACCCUAAGCUUGGGGAUGCUAGUUUUGCUAUGUCCACUACUUGUUGCAAUGAUCAUGAUUGGGGUGAUGAUUUUUCUUAUGAUCUUGAAAUUUUUUUAAGCCUCAUGAUGAGUAUGAUAUUUGCAACAAUAUUGAAAGUGGGAUUGGAGAAGUCAUGACUUUAUUUGAUGUUAAUCCCACUAUUUUUGAAGAGCGUCAACUUUGCAUGCAUGUGGACCAUGAAAAGAAUAUCCUUUGUGAUAGCUAUAUUGUUGAAUUUGAUUAUGAUCCCACAUGUAAUUGCUUUGAGAGAGGAAAAUAUUGUGGUAGAAACUUUCAUGUUACCAAAUUACCUCUCGUGAUGUUGAGAUUUCUCUUGACUCUUUCUUCUUCCUUGCAUAUGGUAGUUAUCGCUCUUGAUAACUUGUUUUCGUAUAAAAUGCCUAUGCAUAGGAAGUAUGUUAGACUUAGAUGUGAUUUUCACAUGCUCUAUGAUGCUCUCGUUGUGCUUCAAUUCUUGUCUUUUGUGCGAGCAUCAUUGAAAUCCUUAUGCCUAGCUAAGGGUGUUAAACAAUAGCGCUUGUUGGGAGGCAACCCAAUGAAUUUAUCUUUUUUUCUGUUUUGUUGCGUCCACACCAUCACAAUUCUGUUGUGAUUGUGUUUUUUGUGUUUCUUUUUUGUGUUUGAGCCAAGCAAAACCUUUAUGACUAGUCUUGGUAAUGGUUGUUUGAUCCUGCUGGAAAAAGGCACAAACUUUGCGCUCACGAGAUGAUUUUUAAUUUUUAUUCAGAAAGAGAUUUUGAUUUGAUUCUUUUUGCUGCUUGUUGAUAUGCCUUUUUCCCAGGCAGUCGUAAUUUUUCAGAUUUUUUUAGGUACCAGAAGUAUACGAAGUAUACAGAUUGCUACAGACUGGUCUGUUUUUGACAGAUUCUGUUUUUGUUGAGUUGGUUGCUUGUUUUGAUGAAACUAUGGUUAGUAUCAGGGGGUACUAGCCAUGGAAAAGUGAGAAUACAGUAGCCCAACACCGAUAUAGAUGGAAUUCAAGUUUUCUACAGUACCAAAAGAAGUGGUAGUUUGUUUUCUUGUGCUAAUGUUAUCACGAGUUUCUGUUUAAGUUUUGUGUUGUGAGGUUUUCAAGUUUUGGGUGAUGUUCUCAUGGACAAAGAGAUAAGGAGUGGAAAGAUCUCAAGCUUGGGGAUGCCCAAGGAAACCCAAGCCAUAUUCAAGGACACCAAAAAACCUAAGCUUGGGGAUGCCCCAGGAAGGCAUCCCCUCUUUCGUCUUCAAUCCAUCGGUAACAUUACUUGGAGCUAUAUUUUUAUUCACCACAUGAUAUGUGUUUUGCUUGGAGGGUCUUGUAUCAUAGGAGUCUUUUAUUUUUUGUUGUGUCACAAUCAUCCUUGAUGCACACCUUUUUGAGAGAGAGAGACGUGCACUCAUCGUGAUUUUGCUAGAAUGCUCAUAGUGCUUCACUUAUAUCUUUUGAGCUAGAUACUUUUGCUCUAGUACUUCACUUAUAUCUUUUAGAGCACGGUGGUGCGUGAUUUGGUAGUUGGCUUAUGCUAUGAAAGUAGUCCCAAAUGUGAUNNNNNNNNNNNNNNNNNNNNNNNNNNNNNNNNNNNNNNNNNNNNNNNNNNNNNNNNNNNNNNNNNNNNNNNNNNNNNNNNNNNNNNNNNNNNNNNNNNNNUAAUCAUCCAUCACCGAUCCAAUGCCUACGAGUUUUUCCUACUCGUCCUUGCUAUGUUACUUUGCCGCUACUGCUGUCACUGCUGCUACUAUUAAUUUGUUGCUACUGGUGUCACUUUGUUGCUACUGGUUACUGUUGCUACUGCUGCUAUCAUACUACCUUGCUACUGAUACUUUGCUGCAGACACUAAAUCUUUCAGGUGUGGUUGAAUUGACAACUCAACUGCUAAUACUUGAGACUAUUCUUUCGCUUCCCCUUGAGUCGAAUCAAUAAAUUUGGGUUGAAUACUCUACCCUCGAAAACUGUUGCGUUCCCCUAUACUUGUGGGUUAUCAAGACUAUUUUCUGGCGAUGUUGCCGGGGAGGCACAACUAUAUUCUCCGAGUCACUUGGGAUUUACGUAUGCUGGUCACUAUGAGGAAUCCGAUAGAUCCAAGAACUAAAGUCUUGCCCUCAACUACAAGGACAGGUAAGGAACUGCCAUCUAGCUCUGCACCUGAUUCACCUUCAGUUAUGAGUAAGUUUGCGACAUCACCUCCUGCUAGAAAUCUUGAUAUGUCGCAUGUGCUUGAUGAUGCUACUUCUGCUGCCCAUGAUACUUAUGAUGAUGCUAUGCUUGAUACUGCUUUGCCUGAUGAUGUCAUGCUUGAUACUGCUUUGCCUGAUGAUGCGAUGCUUGAUACUGCUUUGCCUGAUGAUGCCAUGCUUGAUACUGCUUUGCCUGAUGAUGCCAUGCUUGAUACUGCUUUGCCUAAUGAUGCCAUGCUUGAUACUGUUUUGCCUGAUGAUGCCAUGCUUGAUACUUCUUUGCCACUAGGUGCAUUCCUUGAUGCACAAAUUGCUAGAAUUGCUGCCAGAUGUGAUGAUACUUCUGAACUGCUGAUACUAUUGAAGUAGAACCUGCUAUUUUGCCUGCUAGAACUAGCUCUCCUAGACCUGAAUUACCUGAUACGCCUGAGUGUUAUGUUAUGGAGGGAGAGAUAGCUGAGGACUUUCUUGCGUGUAAGGAUAGCUAUGAUGUUGAGAAAUUGCGGCUCAAGUGGAAAGAAAAAUCUCUGAACGCUAGGAUGAAAUACGACCCAAAGUUUGCUACUUCACCUAUCUUUGUGACCGAUAAGGAUUAUGAAUUCUCUGUCGACCCUGAGUUAAUCACUUUGGUCGAAUCUGAUCCUUUUCACGGUUAUGAGUCUGAAACGGUUGUAGCCCAUCUUACCAAACUACACGAUAUAGCCACCCUAUUCACUAGUGAGGAAAAGAUCCGCCACUACUAUAUCCUCAAGCCGUUUCCUUUCUUGCUAAAGGAUGAUGCUAAGACUUGGUUCACUUCUCUUGCUCCUGGUUGUGUGCGUAGCCCCCUGAUACGUCCAUUUUGCAUCAUGCUUUCAUGUUGAUAUUUAUUGCUUCUUGGGCUGUUAUAUUACUUAUGGUACCAUAUUUAUGCCUUUUCUCUCUUAUUUUGCAAGGUUUAUUAGAAGACGGAGAAUUUAGGCAGCUGGAAUUCUGAACUUGAAAAGGAGCAAAUCCUAGUCCACUAUUCUGCACAUCUCCAAAUGCCCUGAAAAUUUACGUGGAUUUUUUCUGGAAUAUAUUAAAAAUACUCGGCGAAAGAACUACCGGAGGGGGGCCACCAGGGCCCCACAAGCUUGCCCACCGCCACCACACCCCUAGUGGCACAGGGCAGGCUUGUGGGCUGCCUGAAGGCCCAUUGGCCCCCCCUAUUUUGCUAUAUGAAGCGUCCUGGUCUGGAAAAAAUCAGUCGGGAGCUUUUUCGUGGUUUCGCCGCCGCCACGAGGCGGAACUUGAGCAGAUCCAAUAUAGAGCUCCGGCAGGACGANNNNNNNNNNNNNNNNNNNNNNNNNNNNNNNNNNNNNNNNNNNNNNNNNNNNNNNNNNNNNNNNNNNNNNNNNNNNNNNNNNNNNNNNNNNNNNNNNNNNGCUUGGCUGUGGGCCUCCCUGAGGCCCCUGUUCAGGAAAACCGCCGAAGGGGUUCUUUCGUUGGUUGGGUGCGGCGAACUGCUCCUGGCGUUGGUUCGGGUCAUCGCUUUGGCUUUUCUUGAUCGCCUCCGCCCGAAACUCCCGCAUCACGAAGCAGUUCUCCCAGGAGUGAGUCGUUGGACCGUCCGCCGUGGCAUGGUGCGGGCAAGGGCCUUUGAGUAGCUCUUCAUAGUUACGCGACCUCUUCCCGCUAAAGCCCCUGUUUUUCUUCUGGCGUUGGUUGCCAGUGUUGGCGUUGGUGUUGGCGACUAAAUACGAGGGCUCCUCUUGCGGUCUUCGCUUGCCAUUGGCUCCUUGAUUGUGGCGAUUACGUCCCUGGAACCGGGUAUGAUUUUUGGAUGACUCGCCCUUCUUGGGCGAAUUGGCCUUACCGCCCUUGCCAGGAUCUUUGGUGUCAUCCGCUUCAGCGUACCUAGUGCGGGUGUCCAUCAGUUCUCCCAUGUCUUGGACCUUUCGCUUGAGUCGCCCUAAUUUUUGCACCAAGGGUUCAUAGUGGCAAUUCUGCUCGAGGAUCGACAUAGCCUGAGCCGCCGUAAUACCGUCUCACGAAUGGAUAAUUUCCGCAACCCGCCGUGACCAAUGCUGGGCCGACUCAUUAGGGCGCUGAACGCAAUGCUGCAGAUCGACGAUCGUCAUCGGAUGUUUGCAAGUUCCACGGAAGUUCUUGAUGAAUCGCUCUUUCAACUCGGCCUAGGUCUGGAUGGAGUUGGGGGGUAAGUUUUUCAACCAAGUACGUGCUGACCCCUCGAGCAUCAUCGUGAAGUACCUGGUGCAAACUGCCUCGUUUACAUCGAGCAUGUCCAUGGCGAUUUCAUAACUCUGGACCCACGAUGCCGGCUCAAGGUCCGGGGUGUAGUUAGGCACCUUUCUUGGUCCCUUAAAAUNNNNNNNNNNNNNNNNNNNNNNNNNNNNNNNNNNNNNNNNNNNNNNNNNNNNNNNNNNNNNNNNNNNNNNNNNNNNNNNNNNNNNNNNNNNNNNNNNNNNAAUUAUAUUUAUAAUUUUUGGCCUUGUGACAGAGAAAGCAUCGCUCAAGCUUGGGGGAGGCUUAAAUCAAUGUUAUACUCAUGCCCCAAUCAUGAGCUCUCGAGAGAAAUUAUCAUUCAGAACUUCUAUGCUCGGCUUUCUCAUGAUGAUCGCACCAUGCUUGACACUUCUUGUACCGGUUCUUUUAUGAACAGAGAUAUUGACUUAAAAUGGAAUUUAUUGGAGAGAAUUAAACGCAACUCUGAAGAUUGGGAGCUUGAAGAAGGUAAGGAGUCAGGUAUGAAUUUCAAGUUUUAUUGCGUUAAAUCCUUUGUUGAAACAAAUACUUUUUGUGACUUUAGCGCUAAGUAUGGACUUGACUCUGAGAUAGUAGCUUCACUGUGUGAAUAUUUUGCUGCUCAUAUUGAUCUCCCCAAAGAGACGUGGUUUAAAUAUCAUCCUCUGUUAGAAGUCAAUGUAGUUAAACCCACUCCAGUUGAAGAGAAAGUCAUUGCCUAUAAUGAUCCUGUUGUUCCCAGUGCUUACAUUGAGAAACCACCUUUCCCUGUUAGGAUAAAGGAUCAUUCUAAAGCUUCAACUGUGAUACGUAGAGGCUAUAUUAGAACACCUACACCCCCUGAGCAAAUUAGAGUUGAACCUAGCAUUGCUAUUAUCAAAGAUCUUCUGUCCGACGAUGAUGAGGGACAUAAUAUUCACUUCUGUGAAGAUGCUGCUAGAAUUGCUAAACCUCAUGCUAGAGACAAACAUAGGCCUAUUGUUGGCACGCCUGUUGUUUCUGUUAAGAUAGGAGAUCAUUGUUAUCAUGGUUUAUAUGUCGUGGGUGCUAGUGUUAGUGCAAUACCUCAAUCCUUAUAUGAUGAAAUCAAAGACGAGAUUGCACCUAUUGAGAUAGAGCCUAUUGAUGUCACUAUUCAGCUUGCCAAUAGAGAUACUAUCUGCCAUGUGGGAAUUGUUAGGGAUGUUGAAGUCUUGUGUGGUAAAACGAAGUAUCCUGCUAAUUUCCUCGUUCUUGCUACCGCACAAGAUAGCUUUUGUCCCAUCAUAUUUGGCAGACCUUUUCUCAAUACCAUCAAUGCUCAUAUUGAUUCUGAAAAGCAAACUGUCACUGUUGGCUUUGAAGGUGUGUCACAUGAGUUCAAUUUCUCCAAGUUUGGUAGACAACCUCAUGAAAAAGAGUUGCCUAGUAAGGAUGAAACUAUUGCCUUAGCUUCUAUUGCCGUGCCUCCUACUGAUCCCUUAGAGCAAUACUUGCUUGAGCAUGAAAAUGAUAUGCAUAUUGAUGAAAGGGAUGAGAUAGAUAGAGUUGUCUUAGAACAAUAUCCUAUCCUUAAGAAUAAUUUGCCUGUUNNNNNNNNNNNNNNNNNNNNNNNNNNNNNNNNNNNNNNNNNNNNNNNNNNNNNNNNNNNNNNNNNNNNNNNNNNNNNNNNNNNNNNNNNNNNNNNNNNNNUCGAAAUCAUGCAUGCAAACCGACACCAAUAGGAGAUAUGGUGGAGUCCGAAUGUCCAUCACGUCAGACACCGGUAACGCGGACCCACUGAAAACCCCAUCUCACCGCAUCCGCUCCAUCUGGCUUGAACCUUAACCACAUGGAGCCGUGUUGGCAGAACAAUGGUGUUGGAGCACAUUGUUGGCGGAACAAUGGUGUUGGACAUACCGACUAAAUGAUAUACUAUGUGAACACAUCAUCACAAUGUUAUUAGUAUAAUCAUGAAAGUGUUAGCGUAUACUCACUUCCUUAGACCAUGGGAAUGCCAUGUACCUUCAUGGGCGAUGGUGCGCUUUAGGGUUGUCAAAGUUACCCAUAUCAGGGUGAUUAUAAUAAUUUCCAAGUACAUCAAAGAAUUUGUCUAGGGACUUGACUAUUCAAAACUUGGAUUUUCUGCUCCCAUAAUAUCUUUAGACCCUCCAGGUAUUGCAAUAUGCCUUCAGGUGCAUCCACAAUCUUACACGCUUGUUUCUUUCUUAAAUAUUACCUUCGGUGACUUGGACAUCCCCAACUUUAGUCUUUGACGCUCCUUAUCCUUCGUCUAUCGUAAUCUCACUUAAAAUUAANNNNNNNNNNNNNNNNNNNNNNNNNNNNNNNNNNNNNNNNNNNNNNNNNNNNNNNNNNNNNNNNNNNNNNNNNNNNNNNNNNNNNNNNNNNNNNNNNNNNAUCUUGUACCUUUACUUUUUGCCCUUGAAAGAGUCAUGGUGAUCUUCACCAAUUCCUUAUUCCGCCUUUAUCUUGGCUAAUGCCAUAUGCUUGGGAAAGAUCUAUAUUCAUAUGUCAACUUGGAAGUAAGUAUUCAUGAAUUAUUAUUGUUGACAUUACCCUUGAGGUAGCAGUUGGGAGGCAAAACUAUAAGCCCCUAUCUUUCUCUGUGUCCAGCUGAAACUUUGAUCUCAUGAGUACCACGUGAGUUGUAGCAAUUGUAGAGAAGGAAAGAAAGAUUGAGUAUGUGGAUUUGCUUUACAAGCUCUUAUUUUACUCUUUCUGAUGUUGUGAUAAAUUGCAAUUGCUUCAAUGACUAAAGGCUAUCGGUUGUUACUUCUCGGUAAGGUUCUUGAUCCAUGCUUUACUUUGUGAAGCAUUUAUCACUUUAGCAUGACAGAUUAUAUGUUGGUAUUGUUGUUCUCAUCAUGAUCAUGAUGCAUGCAUGUUCGUAUCUUGUGUUGCUGACACCUUUCUCCCUAAACAUGUGGACAUAUUUAUUGAGCUAGGCUUUCGCUUGAGGACAAGCGAGGUCUAAGCUUGGGGGAGUUGAUAUCUCCAUUUUGCAUCAUGUUUUCAUGUUGAUAUUUAUCGCUUAUUCGGUACAUGAUACGUCUCCAACGUAUCUAUAAUUUUUGAUGGUUUCAUACUAUUAUCUUGUCAAACUUUGGAUGUUUUGCAUGCCUUUUAUAUAUUUUUUUGGGACUAACUUAUUGACUCAGUACCAAGUGCCAGUUCCUGUUUUUUCAUGUUUUUGACCCCUUUCAGAGGAGAUUUUGAAACAGAGUCCAAACGGAAGAAAAUNNNNNNNNNNNNNNNNNNNNNNNNNNNNNNNNNNNNNNNNNNNNNNNNNNNNNNNNNNNNNNNNNNNNNNNNNNNNNNNNNNNNNNNNNNNNNNNNNNNNCAGUUGCCUGAUACUCUUAAGUAUGCUUAUCUUGAUGAAAAAGAGAUAUAUCCUAUUAUUAUUAGUGCUAGCCUCUCGGAGCAUGAAGAAAAGAAGUUACUAAAAACUCUGAGGAAGCACUGUGCUGCUAUUGGAUAUACUCUUGAUGAUCUUAAGGGCAUUAGUCCCACUCUAUGCCAGCACAAGAUUAAAACCGAUUCUGAUCUCAAACCAGUAGCUAAUCAUCAAAGGAGAUUGAAUCCUAAGAUGAAAGAAGUAGUAAGAAAAUAAAUACUAAAGCUAGUGGAAGCAGGUAUUAUCUAUCCUGUUGAUCCUAGCGAUUGGGUGAGUCUGGUGCAUUGCGUCCCUAAGAAGGGAGGCAUUACCAUUGUCCCUAAUGAUAAGGAUGAAUUGAUCCCACAAAGGAUUAUUACUGGCUAUAGGAUGGUGAUCGAUUUUAGGAAAUUGAAUAAGGCCACUAGGAAAGAUCAUUACCCUCUCCCUUUUAUCGACCAAAUGCUAAAAAGACUGUCUAAACACACACACUUUUGCUUUCUAGACGGUUAUUCUGGUUUCUCCCAAAUACCAGUUGCUCAAUCUGAUGAGGAGAAAACCACUUUCACCUGCCCUUUCGGUACCUUUGCUUAUAGAUGUAUGCCUUUUGGCUUAUGUAAUNNNNNNNNNNNNNNNNNNNNNNNNNNNNNNNNNNNNNNNNNNNNNNNNNNNNNNNNNNNNNNNNNNNNNNNNNNNNNNNNNNNNNNNNNNNNNNNNNNNNGCAGAUGUCCUUGUGAAAGGACUUAGUACUGGAGCCAUCGCACCUUGGUGGCGACUCAAAAGGGUUGAGCAGGAGAGACACGACGAUUUACCCAGGUUCGGCCCCUCGUGAGGAGGUAAAUGCCUACGUCCUGCUUGAAGUUGUAUUGAUGUAGUUUCGAUUACAAGGAGGGCGUAACUCGCCAAACCUAGCACUCGAUGAUUUCUAACCUGCCCUCUUCUUCCCUGGGACUCGCCUUUAUAUACAGGUCGACCCCCUAGGGUUUACAAGGGUAUUUUCCUUCCUACAAAUCGUGACCUCUGCGGUCUCUAAGUCGCCAUCCUCUAAAGCUUGGAGACCUUUCGAAAAUUAUAAACCGCCAUACAACCUUUGGUCUUGCCAGGCCAAGGCCCAAACCACGCUCAGGUGAAUCGCCUGAUUUGGUGACCCGGCCCAACUAGGGCGGGUUAUUAACAGGUAAUAUCCCCAACACCUUCGGUACCUUUGCCUUUAGACGUAUGCCUUUUGGCUUAUGUAAUGCACCUGCCACCUUCCAAAGAUGUAUGAUGGUUAUAUUCUCUGGCUUUUCUGAAAAGAUUGUCGAGGUUUUCAUGGAUGACUUCUCCGUUUACGGGUCUUCCUUUGAUGAUUGCCUCAGCAACCUUGAUCGAGUCUUACAGAGAUAUGAAGAAACCAACCUCGUCUUGAAUUGGGAGAAGUGCCACUUUAUGGUUAAUCAAGGUAUCGUCUUAGGACACAAAAUCUCUGAAAGGGGCAUUGAAGUUGAUAAGGCUAAGGUUGAUGCAAUUGAGAAAAUGCCGUGCCCCACAGAUAUCAUAGGUAUACGAAGUUUCCUAGGUCAUGCUGGUUUAUAUAGAAGAUUUAUUAAAGACUUCUCUAAGAUUUCUAGGCCUCUUACCAACCUCUUGCAGAAGGAUGUUCCUUUUGUUUUUGAUGAGGAUUGUGAGGAAGCUUUCGAAAUACUUAAGAAGGCUUUGAUAACCGCACCUAUUGUUCAACCACCUGACUGGAACUUGCCCUUUGAAAUCAUGUGUGACGCUAGUGAUUAUGCUGUNNNNNNNNNNNNNNNNNNNNNNNNNNNNNNNNNNNNNNNNNNNNNNNNNNNNNNNNNNNNNNNNNNNNNNNNNNNNNNNNNNNNNNNNNNNNNNNNNNNNAAAAUUGCUCUCUAAUAUGUAUGAUCUAUUAGUGUGUGGAAAAUAAGCUUUGUACGAACCUGUGAUGAGGAAGACAUAAAAGCGACAGACUGCAUAAAAAAGUUCUUUGUCACAGGGGGCAAUAUAAAGUGACGUUCCUCCGCACUAAGAGGACAAGCAUUCAAACCUCAAAAGCGCAUGCCAACCUCCGCUUCCCUCUGCGAAGGGCCUAUCUUGUACCUUUACUUUUUACCCUUGUAAGAGUCAUGGUGAUCAUCACCAAUUCCCUUUUUGCCUUUGUCUUGGUUACUGUCACAUGCUUGGGAAAGAACUAUAUUCAUAUAUCAACUUGGAGUUGAGUACUCAUGCUUUAUUGUUGUUGACUUUACCCUUGAGGUAAACCGUUGGGAGGCAAAACUAUAAGCCCCUAUCUUCCUUUGUGUCCAGCUACAACUUUGACACCAUGAGUACCACGUGAGUUGUAACAAUUGUGGAAAACGAAACAAAUGAUUGAGUAUGUGGGUUUGCCUUACAAGCUCUUAUUUGACUCUUUCUGAUGUUGUGAUAAAUUGCAAUUGCUUCAAUGACUAUGGAUUAUUGUUGAUUACUUCUCGGUAAGGUUUUUGCUUCAUGCUUUGCUUUGUGAAGGAAUUGUUACUUUCCCAUAAGAAUCUUUAUGAUAUAUUGCUGUUCUAUGUGUGAUCANNNNNNNNNNNNNNNNNNNNNNNNNNNNNNNNNNNNNNNNNNNNNNNNNNNNNNNNNNNNNNNNNNNNNNNNNNNNNNNNNNNNNNNNNNNNNNNNNNNNUCGAGUAGGGAAGUGAUAAAGAAUGAAUUUUUGAUGUGGAAUGCUACCUAGCAUAGUUGUCCUUUGCAACUUAUUUCACGUGACAUGAAUGUUCAGAUCCGUAAGAUUCAAAACAAUAGUUUUCUAUUGACAUGAAAACAAUAAUACUUCAAGCAAACUAGCAAGGUAAUCAUGAACUUUCAAAAUAACUAGCCCAAGGAAAGUUAUCCCUACAAAAUCAUAUAGUCUGGCUAUGCUCCAUCAUCCUCACACAACUAAUGUAAAUCAUGCACAACCCCGGUAUUGGCCAAGUAAUUGUUUUCGCACUCUUACUUUCUCAAACUUUUUAUAACUAUCACUCAAUACAUGAGCAUGAGCCAUGGAUAUAGCACUAUAAGUGGAAUAGAGUGUGGUGGUGGUUGUGAGACAAAAAAGCAGGAGAUGAUCACAUUGACUCGGCGUAUGAAUAGGCUAUGGAGAUGCCCAUUAAUAGAUAUCAAUGUGAAUGAGUAAGGAUUGCCAUACAAGAGAUGCACUAGAGCUAUAAGUAUGUGAAAGCUCAAAAGGAAAACUAGUGGGUGUGCAUCCAACUUGCUUGCUCACGAAGACCUAGGGCAAUUUUGAGGAAGCUCAUCAUUGGAAUAUACAAGCCAAGUUUUAUAAUGAAGAUUCCCACUAGCAUAUGGUAGUGACAAAGCAAGAAGCUCUCAAUCAUGAAGAACAUGGUGCUAUUAUGAAGCACAAGUGUGGAAAAAGAUAGUAGCAUUCUCCCUUCUCUCUUUUUCUCUUUUUUUAUUUGGGCUCUUAGGCCUCUCUUUUUUCUCCUUUUUUCCUUUUUUUUUAUUUUUGGACUCUUUGGCCUCUUUUUUUCCUCACAUGGGACAAUGCUCUAAUAAUGAUGAUCAUCACACUUUUAUUUACUCACAGCUCAAAGCUCACAAUGAUGAUGGCUCCAUAGGAAAUGCCUCUGGCAGUGUACCGGGAUGUGCAACGAUCUAGCAUGGCGUAUGACGUCGAAACAUCUCGCUAGCUAUCUGACGAUCAUGCAAUGGCAACAUGAGAGUGACGACACAAGUCACGAGACGGAACGGUGGGAGUUGCAUGGCAAUAUAUCUCGGAAUGGCUAUGAAAAUGCCAUAGUAGGUAGGUAUGGUGGCUGUUUUGAGGAAGGCAUAUGGUGGUUUUGUGUACCGGCGAGAGUUGCGCGGCACUUAGAGAGGCUAGCAAUGGUGGAAGGUGAAAGUGAAUAUAUACCAUGGACUCACAUUAGUCAUGAAGAACUCACAUACUUGUUGCGAAAGUUUUUAUUAGUAAUCGAAACAAAGNNNNNNNNNNNNNNNNNNNNNNNNNNNNNNNNNNNNNNNNNNNNNNNNNNNNNNNNNNNNNNNNNNNNNNNNNNNNNNNNNNNNNNNNNNNNNNNNNNNNCCUGUGGUGGAGAACGCGCACGGAUAAGGGACCGGUGGAGGACAGUUUUUUUUUUUGGAAAAUACGAAACUUUUUUUCCACUUAAUGAAGGACUGCGGGUUGAUUACCUGAAACAUCAGGGGGGUUUCUGCAAAAUGCAAAAAAGGUUCGUUUUUUGACUAAAAACGGACUACAGGUUGGAAAAGUGAGGGGUGUUUUUGCAAAAUGACCACGACGGACGACAGAAGCACUCCACACUUUAUUAUUAGGGAGAGAUAGGUAAAGAUUUGUAAUUAUUUUUGCAAUGUUCCUCGUAUUUCUUACGAGAAAGCACUGUUCUAAUGUUUUCUAAAAUAAAAAUUCAAGAUUUUUUUCAAAAGGGAAACACUUUUGUUGUGAUAUAUUACAUUUUAUUUGUAAUUUUUUGCACUGUUUUUUGUGCUUAUACAUCCCGCACACACUCAAGGAGACAACAAUCUGAAGCCCAUAUUUGUCGGAAAAAAAACUGAAUCAGUGCAGUGCUUGAUGCGAAUCACGCGGAGGAACAAAUUGUCGAAGACAAAGUGAAUAACAAUGUCGUCAAGACUACGAUGGCAGACGGUUCGGGCCGACUACGAUGGCAGACGGUUCGGGCUUCCUGGAUAAGUAGCGGGUGUUGCUCCUAUCCUACCGUUGCACGUGCAGAUCCGCCACGNNNNNNNNNNNNNNNNNNNNNNNNNNNNNNNNNNNNNNNNNNNNNNNNNNNNNNNNNNNNNNNNNNNNNNNNNNNNNNNNNNNNNNNNNNNNNNNNNNNNUUGGGUUCGACACUCUUACUUAUCGAAAGGACUACGAUUGAUCCCCUAUACUUGUGGGUCAUAAAGACUCUUUUUUGGCGCCGUUGCCGGGGAGUGAACCGCCUUUGGUAAGUGGAAAUUGGUAAGGAAACAUUUAUAUAUUGUGCUGAAAUUUAUUGUCACUUGUCACUAUGGAAACUCUUCCUUUGAGGAUUUUGUUCGGGGUAUCUUCACCACGAACGGAAGCACGAGGAGUUGCUCAUCAACCCGAGGUACCUACUGAAAAUCAUAUUUAAAGCUUACAGUGAGGAGAAAAUCAUAGCUUUUAGUGAUCCUGUUGUUCCUUGUGCUUACACUGAGAAACCACCAUACCCUGCUAGGAUGAAGGAUUAUUCUAAAGCUCCAACUGUGAUACGUAGGGGUUACAUUAGACCACUUGCACCCCCUGAGGAGAUUAGAGUUGAACCUAGUGUUGCUAUUAUCAAAGAUCUCUUAGCCGAAGACAUAGAUGUGCAUGUUAUCAAAUUCUGUGAGGACUUCGCUAGAAUUACUAAACCUCACGCGAAAGACAAGCACGGACCUGUAGUUGGCCUGCCCGUUGUUUCUGUUAAGAUAGGAGAUCAUUGUUACCAUGGUUUAUGUGAUAUGGGAGCUAGUGUUAGUGCAAUACCCCGUUCUCUCUAUGAUGAAAUCAAAGAUGAGAUUGCACCUGCUGAGUUAGAACCCAUUGAUGUCACUAUUACGUAGCUAAUAGAGACACUAUCUGUCCUGUGUGGUAAGACGAAGUAUCCUACUGAUUUCCUCGUCCUUGGUACUGCACAAGAUAGCUUUUGUCCCAUCAUAUUUGGUAGACCCUUUCUCAACACUGUCAAUGCUCACAUUGAUUGCAUUUAGGAGACUGUCACAGUAAGUUUCGAGGGUGUGUCUCAUGAAUUUAACUUCUCCAAGUUUGGAAGACAAACCCAUGAAAGAGAGUCGUCUGGUAGAGAUGAAAUCAUUGCUCUUGCCUCUAUUGCCGUACCUCCUACGGAUCCUUUAGAGCAAUAUCUGCUUGAGCAUGAAAAUGAUAUGCAUAUGGAGGAGAGAGAUGAGAUAGAUAGAAUUGUCUUAGAACAACAUACUAUUCUCAAGAAUAAUCUGCCUGUUGAACUGCUUGGGGAUCCUCCCCCACCAAAGGGUGAUCCUGUGUUCGAGCUUAAACAGUUGCGUGAUACUCUUAAGUAUGCCUAUCUUGAUGAGAAGGAGAUAUAUCCUGUCAUUAUUAGUGCUCUCCUCUCAGAGCGCGAAGAGAAGAAGUUACUAAAAACUCUGAGGAAGCACCACGCUGCUAUUGGAUAUACUCUUGAUGAUCUUAAGGGUAUUAGUCCUACUCUAUGUCAGCGCAAGAUUAAAACCGAUCGUGACUUUAAACCAGUUGCGGAUCAUCAAAGGAGAUUAAAUCCUAAGAUGAAAUAGGUCGUUAGAAAAGAAAUAUUAAAGCUUUUGGAAGCAGGAAUCAUUUAUCCUGUUGCUCAUAGUGAUUGGGUAAGUCCAGUACAUUCCGUACCUAAGAAGGGAGGUAUCACCGUCGUUCCUAAUGAUAAGGAUGAACUAAUCCCACAAAGGAUUAUUACUGGCUAUAGGAUGGUGAUAGACUUCCGGAAACUGAACAAGGCAACCAGGAAAGAUCAUUAUCCUUUGUCGUUCAUCGACCAAAUGCUAGAAGGGCUAUCAAAGCACACACACUUCUGCUUUCUAGACGGUUAUUCAGGUUUCUCGCAAAUACCUAUUGCAUAAUCUGAUCAAGAUAAAACCACUUUCACCUGCCCCUUCUGUCGUGGUUUUGUCACGACAGAUGUCCUCGUGAAAGGACUUAGUACUGGAGCCAUCGCACCUUGGUGGCGACUCAAAGGGGUUGAGCAGGAGAGACACGGCGAUUUACCCAGGUUCGGCCCCUCGUGAGGAUGUAAAGGCCUACGUCCUGCUUGAAGUUGUAUUGAUGUAGUUUCGAUUACAAGGANNNNNNNNNNUCACUAGAGGCGGUAGAAUGACCCACGAACCUUUGUAUCUUGAGGGUCAUCCUAAGAGAAUUGAACAAGAUUCUCAAGGAGUUAGCACUGAUGCACCUAGUCAUCCUAGAAAGAAGAAGAAAGAUGAUAGGAACCUGCCCGCUAGCAACCAUGUUGCUGCUACACCUGAGAGUCCAAAUGAUGUCUCUGCCUCUGAUGCUGAGACACAAUCUAGUGAUGAACAUGAUCCUAAUGAUAAUAUCAAUAGUGAUGUUCAUGAAGAUGCUCAACCUAGCAAUGAAAAGGAUGUGGAGACUAAACCUGUUGAUCUUGAUGACCCACAGCCUAAGAAUAAAAGAUACGAUAAGAAUGACUUCGCUGCUAGGAAGCACGGUAAAGAAAGGGAACCAUGAGUUCAGAAACCCAUGCCCUUUCCUCCCAAACCAUCCAAGAAAAAGGAUGAUGAGGAUUUUGAGCGCUUUGUUGAAAUGAUUAGACCUGCCUUUCUGCAGAUGCGUUUGACAGAUAUGCUCAAAAUGUCUCCGUAUGCUAAGUACAUGAAGGAUAUUGUGACUAAUAAGAGGAUCAUACCUGAGGUUGAGAUAUCCACCAUGCUUGCUAACUAUACCUUCAAGGGUGGAACUCCUAAGAAACUAGGUGAUCCCGAUGUGCCCACUAUACCUUGCUCCAUUAAAGGAAACUAUGUUAGAACUGCUUUAUGCGAUCUUGGAGCCGGUGUUAGUGUUAUGCCUCUCUCUCUUUAUCGUAGACUUGAACUUGAUAAGUUGACACCAACUGAAAUCUCUCUGCAAAUGGCUGACAAAUCAACUGCUUUCCCUAUCAGCAUUUGCGAGGAUGUGCCUGUUGUGGUUGCCAACGUCACUAUCCUAACAGCCUUUGUUAUUCUGGAUAUUCCCGAGGACGAUGCCAUGGCGGUCAUCCUCGGAAGACCCUUUAUAAACACUGUAGGGGCUGUUAUGGAUUGCAACAAAGGCAAUGUCACUUUCCAUGACAACGGUAAUGAGCAUACGGUGCACUUUCCGAAGAAACAAUAUCGGGUACAUUACAUCAAUGCUAUCGAAAAAACUUCAUCGAUUAUUAUUGGGAGCUUUCAAUGCCCUAUUCCUCCCAUUAAGAUGAAGUAUGAUUUGCUUGUUGGGGAGAUACACAUCCCCAUUGAGGUGACUUAGUGACUGUUUGAAAAUUCUCCGUUCUCUUUUGCGAUUCGAAAAGGUUUGUCGAGGAGACUUGAUCAACCUCACUGACGGAUUUCUUUCGAUGACCAUGAGAUGGAUGAAUCGAGGAGUCACAAACCUAUGUUCCAAGCUUUCACCUUCGGUUGCUUAGAAGAAAAAUGAUAGGUUUAGUUUAUUUUCCCUGUUUUCUGUUUUAGCGUCCCGUAGAAAAGUACCCCGAAAAUAGAAGUUCUCCGAACGUCCUGAAAAUCAAGUAUGAUUUUUUUUCUGGAAUUUUUGAAAAAUACUAAGACGAAGAGCUAGUCUGGGGGUUGCACCAGUGGGCCACAAGCCCUGGAGGCGCGGGCACCCCCCUGGCCGCGCCUACCUGGCUUUUGGGGGCCACGUGCACCCCCUCCACUCAUUCUAGCUCCCAUCUAAUUCUCCUACCUCCAGAAAAAAUCGUUUCACAGCUAAAACCCAUGUUCUUGCUCCUCUUGCUGGGAUUUUCGAUCUCUUUGCUCAAAGCACCAUUCUCCGAACUGUUUUGGGGAAAUUACUCCUUGGUAAGUGACUCCUCCAUUGGUCCAAUUAGUUUUUGCUCUAGUGCCUUAUACUUCACGUAUUUUUGCUGCCUUGGUGACCAUGUUCUUGAGCUUUGCAUGCUAAUUUAGCUGGUCCCAAGUGGUUUUGAUGCGUAAUAUGGCCUCUAGGCACUUGUGGGAGUAGUUGCUACGAGUUUCGUUGAGCCUUGUUCACUUUUCCUUAGAAUCACUAAAAUUUCAGAAAUUUUCAGAGAUAGAAAAGGGAAAAGAUGAGGAGGUUCUUAAGAGGUUCUUCAAGCCGUGANNNNNNNNNNNNNNNNNNNNNNNNNNNNNNNNNNNNNNNNNNNNNNNNNNNNNNNNNNNNNNNNNNNNNNNNNNNNNNNNNNNNNNNNNNNNNNNNNNNNCGCCUAGCAGGCUUGUGGCCACCUGCUGGCGCCCCUCUGGCGCUUCUUCGGCCCAGUAUUUUUGAUAAAUCCGGGAAAAAAAUCGUCGUUGAUUUUUACGGCGUUUGGAGUUGCGCAGAAUAGGUAUCUCAAACUUGCUCAAAUUUCAAGCCAGAAUUCCAGCUGCCGGCAUUCUCCCUCUUCAUGUAAACCUUGCAAAAUAAGAGAGAAAAGGCAUAAGUAUUGUAUCGUGAAGUGAAAUAAUAGCCCAGGAAGCGAUAAAUAUCAACAUGAAAACAUGAUGCAAAAUGGACGUAUCAAGCACGUGCGAGGAAAGAACUGAUUUGACAAAGGUGGUGCGUCCAAUGGCUGUGAUGUUGCCACCAUCCCAGGGGUGAGCUUAGUCGCGACCUUCUCCUCCGAGAAUUGAAAGUCUACUUUUUUCAACUUCCACACUCAAAGGGGCAUGCCCAAACAUCUCAUUGGGAAGGAGGACCUUUUGACCGGCAAGUUGUGAAGGACAGUCCUUAGAUUUCUAUGACCACAUCUAAUUGGUAUGACAGAGCUCUUCUAGAAGUUGGUUGUGAGGCCCGUGACCUCACUAAAGCAGUGUAGAAUCUGCGUUAGACGAUCAACAUCACUCUUGAUGGGAGCCAACAAGACCGCCGCAUCAUCUGCAUAGAGAGAGGUGCGUACUGUGGCACCACGACCACGAAUCUUGGGUAGGAGUGAUACGUCUCCGUCGUAUCUACUUUUCCGAACUCUUUUGCCCUUGUUUUGGACUCUAAUUUGCAUGAUUUGAAUGGAACUAACCCGGACUAACGCUGUUUUCAGCAGAAUUGCCAUGGUGCUGUUUUUGCACACAAAUAAAAGUUCUCGGAAUGACCUAAAAAUUUACGGAGAAUUUUUCUGGGAUUUAUGAAAAAUAUUGGCGCAAGAAUCAGCGGAGGGAGUGGAGCCGUGAGCCCACAAGCCCAUNNNNNNNNNNNNNNNNNNNNNNNNNNNNNNNNNNNNNNNNNNNNNNNNNNNNNNNNNNNNNNNNNNNNNNNNNNNNNNNNNNNNNNNNNNNNNNNNNNNNUAGUCCCCUGCGGCGUGCGGCCCUGCCCGGUCCGCCGUCCGAUUUCGGACCAACGGCCCGGAUGCUGACCGUAGGAUUCCUCGCUUUUUUUUUCCUUCUGAAGAAAAUACUAUUGGUUGGAUAUACAGUAUAUAUAGAAGAUCGGCUUCUAGGGUUGCUCGCCUGGUCUUUGCAUGACUCAUUGUUUUUCCUUUUUUUUCAAACCACGGACUCUAUUUUUUUUAUUUAUUCAUUUAUACUUCCUCCGUUUCUAAAUGUAAGUUUUUUCAGGGAUUACACUACGAAUUAUGAGAAAAAGAAAAGGAUUGUAGGACGUAGUACUAAGAGGAUAUUUCUAUUUAUAUAUGGGGGGGAAGAGAAUACUACUGUAGUGGUGGAGGUUUGUUGGAGAUUCUCCUCUAGCGGGCAGUGGUGGUGGAGCUUCAUCGGCACAAAGGUGAACGCAAGCAUUUCCAUAUAAACCCAUAGGGGUGGUGCUUUCAACUGUUUUCAGAACUUUAAAAUGUGGACUGUUUCUUCUUUACAAAAGCCAGAAAUGUUUCUUUCGAGAUUUUCUUUGUAUAGAACUAGUGUGACUUUAAUAUUGGUCCUCAACAAAAAAACUACUGUGAGAUUCAUGCGUUCCUAACAAUCACCAGACAGGAGAUGUUGGCCGCUAAACUUCAGUACUAAGCGAGAAUAGAUGUUGGCCGCUAAACUUCAGUACUAAGCGAGAAUAUUCGUUUGCUGAUGAUCAUUUAUCGUUCAGAUUAGAAGGCACGUAACAGCACUUCUAAGGUAAAUAACCCCAGCAAACAUGCAAGAAAAGAGAUGAUAACAGCACUUCAGAGUUGCCAACCAGAUCAGCAAGUCGUUAUACUUUUUUAUAGCAAAAUGAGAAACAUUAUCGUCUAAAUUCACACGAAAGUAUAGGAAAACAGACCGGCUAAUAACGGCUCUACGACGAAAACUAGUCACCGUAGCUUCCACCAAAGACCAUUCCAGGUCAUCACAGCGGCACUUCUCCGCUGUCAGCAAUGACAACUUUGCUCUUUGGUGUCCCGUUCUGCUUGCCUUCAGCCUCAACCUUGUAUACCACGUCCAUCCCAGACAACACCUUGCCGAACACGACGUGCUUGCCAUCCAACCUAGCAUACCAAGCGUAGAUAAUCAACAACAAAUCCCCAACAGAACAGAAAGUCUAGCACAAACUGCUGCAAUCACAAAGAAUCGUGAAGAAUUACCAGCUCGUAGUCACAGUGGUGAUGAAAAACUGGGAUCCAUUGGUAUCUCUCCCAGCAUUGGCCAUGGAAAGGUAGCCUGCACCGACAACCAGUCAAUGAAAAGGGCGGACGGAUUAACACGUGCUAUCAUUCUAAUGGAGCACUUUCCAGUUGCAAAAUGGAUUUCGAGAAGCACGGAUCAUUACCUGGUCCAGUGUGCUUGAGCUUGAAGUUCUCAUCGGCGAACUUUGUGCCGUAGAUUGAUUCACCACCCCUUCCAUCGCCAAGGGUGAAGUCACCUCCUUGGAUCAUGAAGCUGGGGAUAAUUCUGUGGAAUGAACUCCCCUUGUAGUGGAGAGGUUUGCCACUGUUGCCCAUACCUUUCUCUCCUGUAUGACAAUGAAGUGGGACAAGGUCGGCAACCACUAGCAGAUACCAUAGAGAAGCUACUAUACAAACUGUAGUACUAAUAAAGCAGAUAUUCUGAAUAUAAUAAUAUAUGCGGUACAUAAUGAUAGGCUUUCAUGAUACCCUAUGGUGGAAUAUGAAGAAUGUGACGACAGUUAUCCACCAUUCUUUUCAUGAAGUAAUAUAGACAUAUUAUACCAGGUGUGCCAACUAUAAAUUCAACAAGUUUCUUAAUUUCUACUCUUCUUUUUUCCUAUUGACACCUAUAUUUGGGCACUUGAAUGACCAAAGGGAUGAACAAUCAAAAUCCUGCACACAGGGCUACUCCUAGAUACUGCACAGAACUCAAGACUUAGAAACCUUCAGUGAUGCUUGAGAGAGCUUGGGAUUUAAACAGAUUAUCCCCAAAAAUUUGCAGGCAAACAGGCUGCCACCAUACUCUCAACGUCAUUGUGUCUAGAAUGGUAAACUUAGAUUUGAAAUAAUGUGGGAACAAUCCCUGUUUUUGAGUCGAACGACUAGUAAAUGAGUAGCAAAAGAAAAAGAAAAAAGUCGACUCAACAACGUGUCGACGAGUCGCAACUGCAGGGUCGACUAUUUAAGAGUCGCUACCCCGGAACGACUCAUUGACUCGAAAACCUUGGGAACAAUAGAGAUAGCUGCUUUCUUUUGAAAGGAAAAGGUAAGCAGCUUUGCCAUGUUACAAGCAUAGCAUGCACCGAAUCAGUUAUAUAAUUUCCACUGUGCAAUUACGUUUUGACUUCCUGAGGAAGCCAAUUAUAUUUGAUUGGAUAAAUUACUUGAAGAUGUGAGCCAAAAUAACAAUUGAGAUUGGAUAGAGCGAAAUUAAUUCCAACAGCCAGCCUUGCCAUCAGACUAAUUAUCUAGAAAAUUCAAGAAACAGGCAGCUUAACGCUUUUAACGUAUAGGAAACAGAACAAGCGGUAGAGAAGCAUACCUGUGCAGAGUGCUCUGAAGUUCUCUGUUGGAAAAAAGAUAUCAAGCCAUUAGCAUUUGUGCCAUCCAAUAAAAGAGUGCAUGGCUACUAGCCCGAAGAGUAAGGAGAUGAUACCUGCAGUUUUAGGAACAGCCUUGCCAAAAAGUCCCAUGACAACCCGACCUAUGAAAUUUCAGAAUUAAUUUAAAUGCUAAUGAAUCGACCAAUCAAACAAUGGGAGGAGGUACACUAUAAGAAGACACUCCAUGAAUAGCGCCCCAGUGAAUGUUUUUCUCACUAAACAUAAAACAAGAUUAGGUGCAGUGCGGCCAUCUAAACAUGAAGAUUCAGCCUCAAAGUCGAACUCACAUUUUUCAACGAUCCUAAUCAAAAGGAACCACUGGACUUGUAACUACAAACCAGAUACCUGGGCUAGGAAAUUAGGCACGCAAUAUUGGCUGUAUCAGCAGUAGUAGUCUACUGUCUGCCCCGUACUAGAGAUGACACACGUCGCCGAUCUGAAAACAAGGCUAUGGGCGGGGGUUCAGCAGCACAGACCUGCGGGCUUGCCGUCGAUCUCGAUGUCGAAGUAGACCUUGUGCGUCACCUCCGACAGGUUGGACUUCUUCCCCUGGAAACCAGAAAGACAAUUGUAAGCACGACACCAGAUCAAACCCUAACAAACCAGCGACCCCAAACACAUCCAAUCCGUGCCGAUCCACGGCAGACAGAUAUCUGCGAGAGAGUGGCGAGCAAUCCGUGGCGGAGGAACGAUCAGAUCGGCGCACGGAGGAACGAGAGGGGGUGGGGGUGAAAAGUAAGAGGAGGGGCUUGCGGAAGACGGACGAGGUGGAUGNNNNNNNNNNNNNNNNNNNNNNNNNNNNNNNNNNNNNNNNNNNNNNNNNNNNNNNNNNNNNNNNNNNNNNNNNNNNNNNNNNNNNNNNNNNNNNNNNNNNACGUCAUUCAUGAAGACAUGCAUGAUAGUCAUGAUGAUGAUGCAUUUAUUGAUCAUGAUUAUUAGUUUGUAAGAUUCCCAACUUAAAUUAUAUAUGUACAUAUUAUUAUUCAUUAUAGUGAUUAUAUUGUACUAAUUUCUUUUAAUCUUUAUCAUGGCAGGUCAAGUCCCUCCACCGAUGCUCGUCUUCUCUGCGAUUGGCACGGUGAGUUUUAUUUCAAUGGUCAUUAUAAACUAGUAUUAACAAGAGGAUAAGAGGAGAAGAAAUAGGAAAAAACAUUGGUUAGCUCAUGAAUAUUAUAUUCUUAGCUUGUUUUCCUCUAAAAUGACAUAAUUAGCCAGUUAGCUCCAAAAACACAUAAUUAGAUAAUUUAGCUCCAUCAAGAGGAGAAGAGGAGAAGAAGUAGGAAAAAUGAAAAGAAGGAAGAAGAAGAAGAAUGAGAGAAGAAGAAGGAGAAGAAGGAGAAGGAGGAGAAGGAGAGCUCCUUCUCCUCCUUCUUCUUCUUCUUUUUCUUCUCCUUCUUCUUGAUUUCUUCUUCUUCUUCUCCUUCUCCUCUUUCUUAUUCUCCUUAACUUAUAUUCCCCAACAAUGCUCCAAAAUGACCUAUUUUACCCAAGUUAGCUCCGAAAGGACCUAUAGUUAGCUAGGCUUCCACCUAAAUGACAUAAUUAGCUUAGUUAGCUCCAAAAUGNNNNNNNNNNCCUAUUUAAUAAAAUUGACCUAUGCUUAGCUAAGUUCUCUCCUAAAUGACAUAAUAAGGCUUACGUAGCUCAAAGAUAACAUAUUCCCCCUAACUUAGGUAUUAAAUGGCCUAUAAUUAGCUUAGCUAGCUCCAAAAUGACUUAAUAAGCAUAGUUUGCUCCGAAAUGACCUAUUUUACCCAAGUUAGCUCCGAAAGGACCUAUAGUUAUCUAGGCUUCCACCUAAAUGACAUAAUUAGCUUAGUUAGCUCCAAAAUGGUCUAUUUAAUAAAAAAUGACCUAUACUUAGCUAAGUUCUCUCCUAUUUUAAUCAACUUAGCUCCGAAAGGACCUAUACUUAGAUAAUUUAGCUCCAAGAAGAGGAGAAGAAAUAGGAAAAAUGAAAAGAAGGAAGAAGAAGAAGAAGAAGGAGGAGAAGGAGGAGAAGGAGGAGAUGACCUUCUCCUCCUUCUCCUCCUCCUCCUUCUUGAUUUCUUCUUAUUUUUCUCCUCCUCCUCUUUCUUCUCCUCUUUCUUAUUCUCCUUGCUUUAAUUAACCCAACAACGAAAUAAUUAGCCCAUUUAGCUCCAAAAUACCAUAAUAAGCUCAAAAUGGCAUAAGAACCUUGGCUAGCUCAUUAAUAUUAUAUACUUAGCAAGUUUUCCGCAGGCCGAACUCCGUCCUUGGUGUACUUUGCCGGACAAAUUUCCCGGGGUUUGUCACGUUGCCUGGUGAGGGUCAGGUUCCUACACUAGGAUUACCUAGGAGCACUACCAGGCUGUGCAGGCCCCGCCGGAGGAGAUUAUAGAUGGUGUCUUGUGCCACACGAGGGCCGAGAUGGUGAUCAAGAGAUUUUGGGUAAAUUAUCCUUUUACAGAAUCUAAAAUUAACAAUAUAGCUAAUUAUUGUACUAAUCGGUGUUUUCACGUUUGAUUGCAGACCUUCUAUAGGUGUGAGGAUGGAUAUGAGGAGGAGGCGGCCAGGGUUCUCGAGGUCGAGUGUAGGCGGUUACUACAGAACUUGCGCCACGAGGCUCGGCCGNNNNNNNNNNNNNNNNNNNNNNNNNNNNNNNNNNNNNNNNNNNNNNNNNNNNNNNNNNNNNNNNNNNNNNNNNNNNNNNNNNNNNNNNNNNNNNNNNNNNCCAGGGGGUGGGCCCGCGCCUGGCAGGCUUGUCGCCUCCUCGCGCACUUUCCGUACUACUUCCAAUUUUUGUAUUUUUUUCAAAAAUUCCAAAACGGAGAAAAAUUCCUACUGGAAAAGUUUUGGACUCUGUUUUCUUACCGAAUCACAUAUCUCUUCGUUUUCGGAGUCUGAAACGGGCUGAUAAAUAUCCCUUAGGUAUUCUUCUGGAGUUAUGGUAUUGAUAAUAUUUCUUUCAACAUUUAUGGGAGUACCUAAGAUAUAAUGCUUGAUUCUCUGCCCAUUUACCACUCUCGGACAAUUACCUUCCAUGUUGUUGAUCUUGAUAGCAACGGAACGAUAUACUUCCUCAACAACAUAGGGACCUUCCCAUUUAGAGAGAAGCUUGCCUGCAAAGAAUCUUAAACGAGAGUUAUAUAGCAAGACAUAAUCACCUACAUUGAACUCACGCUUUUGUAUCCUCUUAUCAUGCCACCUCUUAACCUUUUCUUUGAACAGAUUGGUAUUCUCAUAUGCCCGAGUUCUCCAUUCAUCAAGCGAGCUAAUAUCAAAUAACCUCUUCUCACCGGCAAGUUUGAAAUCAAAGUUGAGCUCUUUGAUUGCCCAAUAAGCUUUAUGCUCUAGCUCAAGAGGUAAAUGGCAUGCUUUACCAUACACCAUUUUGUAUGGAGACAUGCCCAUGGGAUUCUUAUAGGCAGUCCUAUAAGCCCACAGUGCAUCAUCGAGCUUCUUAGACCAAUUCUUUCUAGACCUGUUGACAGUGUUUUGCAGAAUUAGUUUAAUCUCUCUCUUGCUUAGCUCUACUUGACCACUGGACUGAGGGUGAUAGGGAGAUGCAAUUCUAUGGUUGACAUCGUACUUAGCAAGCGUUUUACGGAAAGCACCAUGAAUGAAAUGUGAACCACCACGGUCAUUAGAUAUCUAGGGACUCCAAAUCUAGGGAAAAUAACUUCUUUAAGCAUCCUGAUAGAGGUGUUGUGAUCAGCACUACUAGUGGGGAUAGCUUCUACCCAUUUAGUGACGCAAUCAACAUCAACUAGGAUAUGAGUAUACCCGUUGGAUUUUGGAAAAGGUCCCAUAUAAUCAAAAACCCAAACAUCAAAUGGUUCAAUGACAAGUGAAUAGUUCAUAGGCAUUUCCUGACGUUUGCUAAUAUUACCUAUUAUUUGACAUUCGUCACAAGACAAGACAUACUUACGGGCAUCCUUGAAGAGUGGGCCAAUAGAAACCUGAUUGCAAUACCUUGUGUGUAGUUCUAUCUCCUGCAUGGUGUCCUCCGUAGGCCUCGGAAUGACACUUCUGUAAGAUCUAUCCAUGUUCAUGUUCAGGUACACAAUGUCUAAUAACACCAUCUACCCCUUCCUUAUAAAUGUGAGGAUCAUCCCAAAAGUAGUGUCUCAAGUCAAAGAAGAAUUUCUUCUUUUGCUGGUAUGUGAAACUAGGUGGUAUAUAUUUGGCAACGAUAUAGUUUGCAUAAUCAGCAUACCACGGUGCACUACGUGAAGCAUUGAUGACAUUCAAUUGCUCAUCGGGAAAGCUAUCAUCAAUAGGUUGUGGGUCAUCAAGAAUGUUCUCUAACCNNNNNNNNNNNNNNNNNNNNNNNNNNNNNNNNNNNNNNNNNNNNNNNNNNNNNNNNNNNNNNNNNNNNNNNNNNNNNNNNNNNNNNNNNNNNNNNNNNNNACCACCGGUGCCAACAAGCGUCCAAGGGAACGUGCGACGGGUGGAUAAACACGGGGAAUAUGGGAGAGUUACUUUCGUCGAUGCUGCUGAGAUUGAUGAAGCGAUAGAGACUGCAUCAGUGAAGCACUGAAGGUUCUGAACUUUUACUGAAUUAGUUUCACAGAUAGAGGCUACAGUGCACACAAUGUCCUUGAUCAAUUGAAAUUAGCACAUGGAAAAUGUUUUUGGAGCUGAAAAUUUAUGAGAUGGCCUCUCAUUGAGUGCAGAGAUUAUGUGCAAAUUUUCAGAAUUUUGGAAAUGUUUGAGACAGGUUUUUAAUAAAAACAGAAUUUUUUGGUCAAACUUGAGUCAAAUCAAAUUUGAAAUUUUCAAACUUGUGAACCCAAGGUUUUUGGUGAAAUUGGUUGAGAAUACUAAGGUGUUCUAAGUAUAGGAGUUUGGGUCUCAAAUUCCAAAAAAAUCGAUGAGUAGCUUUGAAAAUUUGUUGGGGUCAAAUCUGAUUACAGAAAAUCCUUUUAAUUGAAAUAAAAUAUGAAAGGUUGUAAUCAAUAAAAAUGAAAACCUAUAUGUUAGUGAAGUGCCAUAGGAUAGAAAUCAGGAGGGAUGGAGGGAAACAAAAUAUAGAAGGGGAUUGACAAGUGAAACUAUGGAAAUUAUUUCCAAAGGUUUGUUAAAACAUAAAUACGGGUUCCCAACCAAAUUAUUUUGAGAAGAGGCAACCAAAAUACUUUUCAAACCAGACUUUAGGGUUUUUAUCAAAGCCAAAAUUUUCAAUCCAAUUUAAAAUAACUCAAAAUUCAAAGAAAUCCAAUUUGAAAAUCUUGGGUGUUACAACACCUACCCCUUAAGAAAAAUCUCGUCCCGAGAUUUCAGCCAGUCCUCAAGAAGUUGUGGUUGUUCUUUCUGCAGAAAAUCUUUCCUUUCCCAAGUGGCCUCAUCGUGUGAAUGGUUGCUCCACUGUACCUUGAACAUUUUGGUGACUUUCUGGCAUGUCCUCCUUUCUGAUUCCUCUAGUAUUCCUACAGGGUUUUCCAGAUAGGAUAGGUCUGGUUGCACUUCUAUACUAUCAUGGGGUACCUGUUGAUCUGGGUUCCUCAGACACUUCCUAAUUGCGAAAUAUGGAACACGUUGUGCACAUCUGACAGUUAUGCAGGUAGGUCGAGAUGAUAGGCAACUUGGCCCCAUCGAGCCGUUAUCCAAAAUGGUCAGAUGAACCAUGGCGCAAGCUAGCCCUUGACCUUGAAACUUUGUAGUCCUCUCAUUGAUGAUAACUUGAGAUACACAAUCAUUUGGAUCGAAGCUGACAUCAUGGUGAUUUUGAUUGUAAUAGCUCUUUUGAUGACUUUGAGAUGUCUUGAGUCAGUCUCUUAUGAGCUUUACCUUGUCCUCGGCCUCUUGAAGCAUUUGCGGGCCGAAUAUACGGGUAUCUCCGAUUUCUGACCAAUUUAGAGGCGUACGACACCUUCUUCCAUAUAAGGCUUCAAAAGGUGACAUUUGCAGACUUGGUUGAUAGCUGUUGUUGUACGAGAAUUCGGUGCAAGGCAAACUGUCCUCCCAACUAUUCCCAUAUGUGAGUACAAAAGCCGUGAGCAUGUCUCCGAGAAUCUAAUUCACACAUUGAGUCUGUCCUCUAGUUUGAGGGUGAUAUGUUGUGCUGAACUCUAACUGGGUUCCCAAUGCUUGUUGUAUAUAAUCCAAAAACUUUGAUGUAUAUUGCGUGCCUUUAUCGGACACAAUGGUUUUAGAUAUCCCAUGUAAGUAGAUGAUGUGGGCGAGGUAUAAUUUGGCCAGCUUCUGAGUGGAGUAAGUAGUCAUUACCAGAAUGAAGUGAGCCACCUUGGUGAGUCGAUCUGUGAUAACCCAUAUAGCAUCGUGUCCGUGUCAGGACCAGGGUAGUUCUACAAUGAAGUCCAUGCCUACCUCAUCCCACUUCCAUUCGGGUACCUUCAUAGGUUGUAACAGUCCUGCUGGCUUCUAGUGUUGUGCCUUGAUUCGUUGGCAUGAAUCACAGCGGGCAAUGAAAGAAGAAAUAUCCAUUUUCAUCCCGUGCCACCAAUAUUUUGCCUGUAGAUCCUUUUGUACCUCCAGGAUGGAUUGAGUAUGGCACGUUGUGAGCUUCUUCCAAAAUUUGAGGAUUGAGGUCCUCUUGGUCUGGUAGGCAUAGUCGAUCUCCGUACCAUAAUAUUCCUUGUUCAUCAACUCUAAACUCGGCGACCUUUCGAAGGUCCACUUUUCACUUUAUGCCUUCAAUGCUGGGGUGCUCCUUCUAAGCCUUCUUGAUAUUGUCAUCCAGAGUGGGUUGUACUUCUAGUUUUGCCACAGAGUCUUCUAGGACGAUAAGUAGGUUUAGUAGAGCGAACUCUCUGGCAAUUUCGGGUCUUAGCUUUGGUACACGAUCUUUGUCUGAGGUGGGGUUCCCGCUGAGAGCAUCGGCUACCAUGUUACCCUUACCAGGAUGGAAAUUAAUACUCACAUCAUAAUCUUUAAUUAAUUCCACCCUACGGCAUUGUCGUAGGUUGAGAUCUAGCUACAUGAAGAUAUACUUGAGACUCUUAUGAUCUGUAUAUAUCUCACAACUAAUUCCAUGUAGGAAGUGUCUCCACUCCUUGAGGGCAUGUAUCACGUCGGCCAAUUCCAAAUCAUGAGUGGGGUAAUUUUCUUCGUGUCGUUGUAAUUUUCUUGAGGCGUAAGCCAUGACUUUCCCUUCCUGCAUAAGUAUGCAUCUGAGCCUUUCCUUGAGGCAUCACAAUAUACCUCAAAAUCUUUAUUUAAGUCUCGAACAAUUAAUAUUGGUGCCGUGGUUAGUGUGUUCUUUAGCUCUUGGAAGCUAUUCUCAUAGGCUUCAAUCCAUUCAAGCUUCUGGUCCUUUUCGAGUAGCUGGGUCAUGGGUUUUGCGAAAGUGGAAAAACUUUCAAUGAACCUUCGCUAAUAUCCCGCCAUUCCGAGGAAACUUCACACAUCUGUCAUGUUAGCGGGUUGCGGCCAUUCAUUUACGGCCUUGACCUUCUUAAGAUACAUGGCUAUGCCUUCUUGGGUCAUUACGUGGCCCAAAAAUCCGGCUUGUUUUAGCCAAAACUCACAUUUGCUGAACUUGGCAUAUAAAUGAUGCUUACGCAGUUCUCCUAACACAAUCCUGAGGUGUUCUGCAUGUUCUUCGGGGUUCUUGGAGUAGACAAGUAUGUCAUCGAUGAAUACUACGACAAACUUAUCCAUGUACUUCAUGAAUACCUUAUUCAUUAAAUGCACGAAAUGAGCCGGCGCAUUUGUUAGUCCAAAAGUCACCAGAGUAAACUCAUACAAUCUGUAUCGCGAUGUAAAUGUUGUUUUGGGAAUGUCUUCUCGACGUAUCUUGCGCUGAUGAUAUUCUAACCACAAAUCAAUUUUUGAGAAUACUUUUGCUUGUGCUAACUGGUCAAAGAGCUCAUUUAACCUGGCGCAGUGGAUAUUUGUUCUUGAUGGUGGCCAUGUUGAGGGCUCGAUAAUCGACACAAAGCUUAGUCUCUGAUGCCGAGAUGAUGUAUAUACAGCUCGCACCUCGUUGGUUACCCCAAGUGGAAGGUUGAGAUGUAGUCAGCAGCAAGUUUUCCCUCACACGGGAACUAUGAGGUUUAUCGAACCAGGAGGACUCCUAGGAUCAACAAGUAGGUGUCUUCCACCCUAGCGCUAGCAAAAGACGUGGACCUGCACACACAGAAAUAACUUUGCUCCCAACUAGUACAGAGAUGUUGUCAAUCUCUGUGGCCUUGUAGUUUGCAAAGGAUCAAGACACAAGUGCGAUAAUAAUAGUGAUUGCAACGGAAAAGUAAAUGAAACUGGUAAAUGAUGGAGGUGUAAAAAAUAAUGGUGAUAUGGACCGGAGUCACAUGAUGUGCACUAGUGAUGUCUCUGUCCCAAAAGACGGUAAACAAUUGUGCUUGGGUAGACAAAUCACAGUUGGCAAUUAACAGAAUUAUGAACGCACCGCAAUGCUAAUUAUGUUACUUGAUAGUUAGCGGUUCAAUAGUAAUGUGCAGUACGCCAAGACAAGUAGACCGUUUAUUCAUCAGCAUCUACUUACUAAUCAUCCACCUUGAGAUAUCUAUCCAGAACAUCUCGCCGGUAUUAAGUUGCGAGCCCCACCCAAUGUGUAGACUCAAAGGAACGGACAACUGCAUUAACGAACUAUGCGUAAGGUAAACAAUCCUUGCAACCAUGGUCACAAGAACCAUUGUUUUCUCCCUGGUGGCAGCAGCACAUCCCCUAGUCUCAUGUUUUUGUCACUCAAGCUACACAUCGAGGGGCAUGAACCCACAAUCAUGCAUAACACUCCCUCUUGGAGUUAGAAUCUACUACUCGGCCAAAGCAAUAAAUAGCAACGGAGAACAUGCAUGAAUCACUAAGGAACAUAACAUAAAAGGAUAAUCAAAUAUAUAACUCAUAACAAUCUGAACAUAAUCUCAUAAUCCAUCAGAUCCCAACAAACCGAGCAUAGCAAUAGCAAGAUAAUUACAUAGAUACCUAGAUCAUGUAGGGCAGCACACAAGGACUAACCAUUGAAGCACAAGAUUGGAGAGAAGACAUCUCAUACUUACUAGUCAUGGACCCAUGGUCCAAGGAGGACUACUCACGGCAGGUCCGGGAAGCGUCCAUGGCGGUGGAGAAGCUCCUGGAGGUCAAUCCUCCCUCCGGCAAGGUGCCGGGAAGAGGUCUCCUCACACUCCCGAUCUCGGAAGCGCUGUGGCGGCGAAACGAUGGAGUAAUUUGCGAUCCUAUAUGUGAUGGAAGGUUUUUCUUGCGGUGGAGUAAAUAUAGGCCAAACGAGGGCACCGGAGGAUGUGGGACCCAUCCAGGCGGCCUCCUGGCGCGGCCAAGGGGCUAGGCCGCGCCAGGUGGUCGCCUGGACGGCCCUUGCCCCCCCCCCUCUGGCCGAUCUUCGGUGAUCCAGAAGCUUCCGUUACACUGGUUUUUUAUGUAUUUUUCCUGGAAUUUUUCGGGCUUCGGAAAAGUUGGUAAAAGCCCAUGCAAAAUAGGCAUCGGCAGACAGAAACUGGUACUGGGUGCAGUGAGUUAGUAGGUUAGUCCAAAUAUGUGUAGAUAUAGAAGUGUAUCAAAACACAUAACAUUGUCACCCAAAAGAUCAUGGAACAAGCAGAAAUUAUAGAUACGUUUGGGACGUAUCAACAUCCUCAAACUUAAUUUCUUCUCGUCCCCGAGUAGAAAAAUGAUAACACAAUAAUUUCUAUGGUGACAUGCUAACACACAUAUAAGAACUUCAAAGUAAAGCAAGUAAGAUAUGCAAUUCAAGUCAAGACAACAACAAGCAAGAGUUCAUAUCUAGUAUUGAAGUUAGCAAAGUAAGAACAUAAAGGUGCAAGAGCUCUCGCUGUCCGUGACUUGAAUGUCUCCAAAUGGUGUUUGCGUGCAAGAAGUGGGAGAUGGGUUUUGAUCAUAAAAUAUAUAUUUUAACUGAGAAUUCAAUCUACUAAAAUUUCACACUUGGUCUCCUUCGGAAUCUGAUUUAGACUCAUCCCGAGACCACUAGUCAGGCACAAGUCAAAAUGAUCCUCUCCCUUUCGACUUUGAGCACUCAUGCAAUGGAUGAGCGUAAGCAAGAUAUGUUGGCACUUAGGAUGGCAAAUAGAAUAAUGAUGGGGAAGUAAGACAAAAAGGUGUGAAAGGCUCACAUCAAUUAGGACAACCAUAGGCGAGAGAAAACCAAAUGAUAGAUAUGAUGUGAGGAGUAGGGAUUGCCAUGUAAGGAUGCACAUAUGAGUUAAGGUAAGAUCUCGAAUGGAACUAGUGUGGGUGCAUCCAACUUGUUUGCUCAUGAAGACCUAGAGAUCAUUUGAGGAGGCUCAUCAUUGGAAUAUGUAAACCAAGUUCUAUAGUUUAAGGGUCCCCACAUAGUUAUGCAUGAAUGAUAAUCUCUAUGUAGUACAAAUAUAGCAAUGGAGUACGAGUGUGGAUCUUCCAAAAGGAAUAGUAGUGUUGCCCCCUUCUUGUUUGAAAUAUGCCCUCGAGGCAAUGAUAAAUAGUUAUUAUUAUAUUUUCUAUUUAAAGAUAAUCGUUUAUUAUCCAUGCUAUAAUUGUAUUGAAUGAAAAAUAGAUACAUAUGUGGAUACAUAGACAAAACAAUGUCCCUAGAAAGCCUCUAGUUGGCUAGCCAGUUGAUCAAUGAUAGUCAAGGUUUUCUAGCUAUGUGCAAGUGUUGUCACUUGAUAACUGGAUCACAUUAUUAGGAUAAUCAUGUGAUGGACUAGACCCAAACUAUGAACGUAGCAUAUUGAUUGUGUCGUUUUAUUGCUAUUGUUUUCAGCGUGUCAAGUAUUUGUUCCUAUGACCGUGAGAUCAUAUAACUCACUGGCACCGGAGGAAUACCUAGUGUGCAUCAAACAUCACAACGUAACUGGGUGACUCUAAAGGUGCUCUACAGGUAUCUCUAAAGUUGUCCGUUGAGUUAGUAUGGAUCAAGACUGGGAUUUGUCACUCCGUAGGACGGAGAGGUAUCUCGGGGCCCACUCGGUAAUACAACAUCACACACAAGCCUUGCAAGCAAUGUGACUAAGUGUAAUUCACAGGAUCAUGUAUUACGAAAUGAAUAAAUAGACUUUUCGGUAACGAGAUUGACAUAGGUAUGCGGAUACCGACGAUCAAAUCUUGGGCAAGUAACACACCGAAGGACAAACAGAAUGACAUACGAGAUUAUAUGAAUCCUUGACACUGGGUUCAACCGAUAAGAUCUUCUGAGAAUAUGUAGGAUCCAAUAUGGGCAUCCAUAUACCGCUAUUGGAUAUUGACCGAGGAGUACCUUGGGGCAUGUCUACAUAGUUCUCGAACUCGCAGGGUCUGCACACUUAAGGUUCGAUGAUGUUUUAGUAUAGUUGAGUUAUAUGUGUGGUUACCAAAUGUUGUUCGAAGUCCUGCAUGAGAUCACGAACGUCACGAGGGUUUCCGGAAUGGUCCGGAAACGAAGAUUGAUAUAUAGGAUGGUUUCAUUUGGUUUCCAGAAAGUUUCGGGCAAUUCCGGCAGUGUACCAGGAGUGACGAAUGGGUUUUGGGAGUUCACCGAGAGGGGCCCACCCACCCGGGAGUGAGCCCAAGGCCAUAGGGUGGCGCCACAAGUCCCUAGUUUACUGGUGGAGUCAGCCCAAGGGGCCCAUGGCGCCACUUAAAGAAAUUCCAAAAGAAAAGAAAAAGAAAAAGGGAAAUUGGGAGGUGGGAAGGAAGAGGAGGACUCCUCCUUCCCAAACCGAAUUGGAGGAGGAGUCCUCCGCCUCCUUGGCCGGGGCACCCUUGAGGGCUUGGCCCUCAAGGCAAGCCUCCUCCCCCUCCCUCCUAUAUAUAGUGGUGUUUUAGGGCUGAUUUGAGACAAGUUUUGCCACGUGCAACUCAACCCUAGACCACAUAGUUUUACCACUAGAUCGGAACGGAUCGUCGGACGGAUCGCGGGACGGUUCAUGGGGCACAUCGAGCGACGUGAAGACAUUCCACUACAUCAACUGCGUUUCUUAACGAUUCCUGCUGUGCGAUCUACAAGGGUACGUAGAUCCAUAUCUCCUGUCGUAGAUGGACAUCACCAUGAUAGGUCUUCGUAUGCAUAGGAAUUUUUUUGUUUCCCAUGCAACGUUCACCAACACUUCUCUCUUUUUAUUUCUCUCUUUUCUCUUUUUUUGUGGCCUCUUUGGCUCUUUCUAUCUAACUCUCAUUUUUCCUCCUUGGGAUCUUUUGUUUGUCCUCUUUGGGAUGUUUUCGUCAGUUAAGGGCAACACUCCAUAUUUUACAUGAAUAAAAAUAAGAUCAUCACACUUUAUAAGAAGUACUCAACAUAAAGACAAGUGAAAACUAUCAUGAUGUAUGCAAAUGUAUGCCUCUGCCAGUGUACGAGGAUAUGCAAUGAUACUAACGCAUCAUGUACCAAUAAUUGGGGCAAGGCCCAGCUAUCAUGCGGCUCUACGAUCAAGCAAAAACAUGUAUGACAUGACGAUCAAGUCAUGAGAUGGUGGAUGUUGGAUGUCAAUGUAUCUCAAAAAGGCUAUGUAAAUACCUUAAUAGGUAGGUAUGGUAGCUGUUUUGAGGAAACAUAUAAUGAGUCCUAUGUAUGACAGAGCGUAUCAUGUCAUGGGUUUGGAUGCACCGGCGGAGUUUGCACCAACUCUCAAUGUGAGAAAGGGCAAUGCAUGGUAUCGAAGAGGCUGUUGGCAAAAUAUGGAUGGUGGAAGUGCUAACAAUUAAAUACUCACAUUAGUCCGAAGAUACCAUACACUUAUUAUCGUAACUCUAUAUAUAGUUAGAAAAUUCUCAAAGAGACAAGUACCCCGAGGAGGAGUGUUUGGGGGUUUGUUUAUCCUUGUGCAUCCUCGACUCAUGGUAACAUGAGGGUACUCUAUAUAUUCCAACCCCUCUAGAGGUUAGCGAUCAAUUUAGUAGCUAGAGUUCUCAACUAAUUUUUAGUUUUAGAAAAACACACAGAUUUCCCAAAAUACGACACCUAUCACUAAUAGGCUUAAGCUCUUGGCACCAAUAGUCCAAACAUUACUCCAAUCAAUACGUCAAAACUAUUGCAAGUUACUACUAUACUUAAAAAGCAAUCUCAAUUACCUACUCAUGCAAGACACACAACUCUGUGGAACAAGCCAACUCUCUAAACAAGAUCAGCAUGAUUAACUCAAGAGAGUUCCAAAAGCAACCUAAAUAAAAGCUCUUAAAAAGAUAAGCAUGAAAACUAAGAGCUAAGCAUGAUAGUAGCUAUAGAAAGAUGAAGAACACACAAAAAGGUUAAGCAUGAAAACCUAUGUUGUGUUCUAGAGUGGAAUGGAGUGUGUUUCUCUCCCAAACAUGGUAGGCUAGGUUCCGACUUGUUAUUAACAGCAAGAAAAACUAAAACAAACUAAAAUGUAAACAGCGGGACGCUCCAAGCAUAGCACAUAAGAUAUGAAGUGAUAAAAAUAUAGCAUGGAGAUGGACGAACUGAUGAUUGUUGAUAGAGAAGGGGAUCCACGGGGGCAUCCCCAAGGUUAGACGCUUGAGUCUCCUUUGAAUAUUUCUUGGGGUGCAUGGUGUCAUCCCCAAGCUUGAGCGCUUGACACUCCCAUAUCUUCUUUCAUCUCCUCCCAUCACAUACUUGAAAACUCCCUUCAUACGAAACUCAUCAUAAGCUGAUUUGAGUGGUUAGGACCCUUAAUAAAAUAAUUCAUUACCUGCUGGAAAUAAAGAUUUUCAUGAAAAGCUACUGCUUCUCAUGAUUUCCAAAAGGUUUUUGCAAAUAAAAAUUAAGCUUAUGAUUUCCAAAAUGAUGAAAACGCAGAACAUGGUAGAAUCUGUGAAAAACAGAACAACAGGUAGAAAAUAAUUUAUUCGGGCCACUUCUGCCACUCAAAUAAAAAAACUCAGAACAGAUUCCAGAAAGGAAAUUAUAUAGAGCAUGUUGUAAAAUAAAUUAAUAUCAAAAAUAUGAUCUUUUGAUUAUUGGCGAAUUGUGCCAUCAAGAAGACAAAAUCUGUUUCUGGACAACAUGUCACAAUUUUUGAACUUUCUUGCAAUCGGAGGCUAUAACUUGGCACAAAUCUUAAACAUAAAGAAACAAUGAUGUUUCUACAGUAGUAACAAGCAUCAAGACCACUAAAACUGAAAGUAAAAACAAAUUGGGUUGCCUCCCAACAAGCGCUUUCUUUUAUGCCUUUGAGCUAGGCAUAAUGCAAGAAGGUCAAGUGUUAUCAACUCCAAAAGAAUAACUUGCCCGAGUAACGGACUCAUAACGUAACUUAAUCUUCUUUCUAGGUAAGUUUUCCAUUCCCUUUUUGAGGGGAAAUUCGAAUUUAAUGAUUCCGUCUUUCAUGCCAAUGAUAGCACCAAUGGUGCGGAGAAAAGGACGUCCCAAAAUAAUUGGACAUGAAGGGUCACAUUCAAUGUCCAUAAUAAGAAAAUCAACGGGCACAUAUUUAUCAUUGACAAUAAUAAGCACAUCAUCAAUUCUCCCUAAAGGUUUCUUUAUGGAAGAAUCAAUAUUACGAACACCAAAAGAACAUGGAUCAAAAGGUUUCAAAUCAAGGAUAUUAUACAUCCUUUUGGGCAUAACCGAAGCACUAGCUCCAACAUCACAGAAUGCAAAGCAAGAGAUAUUAUUCAAUUUAAUUUUGACCAUAGGAUCCCAACCAUCUUCUAGUUUCCUAGGAAUAGAAGACUCGAGCUUGAGCUUCUCCGCCCUAGGUUGGAUAAGAGCAUUGGUAAUAUUCUCGAUGAAGGCAAUAUUAAGUGUACUAGUGUGGGGGGUCUUCAGCCAUUCUUUGCAAAAAGGUGAUAACUUCGGAAAGACUACAAUUGUCAAAAUCAAAGUUACUACCAUUAAUUAAAGUGGUAGUGAUGUCAUCUAAGCUCAUUAUUUUAGUUGUCUCUAAAUUCAAAGGACCUUCUUGUCCUAUAGUUGAGGUCUUAGCAUCACCAUUAAUAGGUCCAUCGGGACUAGGAGUGCGAUGGGUGCCAAAAGUUUUGAGAUCCUCAACAACUUGUAUAGUAGCAAUGGUAGUGUGUGUAGGAAGGCUCUUAAUUUUCUCUUCCUAUUCCUUUUCGCUAGCCCAUCUAUCCUUAAGUUUGGCUAGCAUCCUUAUGUUCUCAUUAAUUUGGACUUCGAUAGCAUUCAUGGGUGUAGUGUUCUUUCCUCAAGUGGGGAAGUUCUAAUUUUAAGCAUCACUACAUCAUGAGCUAUGUUGUCCACCUUCAAAGAGAGACUAUCUAUUUUUUGUAGUUUCUCUUCUACAUUCAUGUUGAAGGCUUUUUGAGAAGUGAUAAAUUCUGUAAGCAUGCUCUCUAAUUCGGAAGUGGAGUUUUUGGUUCUAGGAUAAUUGUUGUAGUUCCCAUAGUUGUUGGAUGGGAACGGUCUAGGAUUGCUACCAAAAUUACUCCUAUAAGGAUUAUUUUUGAAGUUGUUCCUAGAGAUAAAAUUAACAUCAACUUUCUCUCUUUCUUGAGCAACCAAAGAAUUUAAAGGAACAUCAUGAGGAUCGAUAGGAGCUUGCUUAGUAAGUAGAGUCAUGAUCAUGUCAACCUUAUCAUUAAGGCAGGAGAUCUCCUCAACAGAGUUUACCUUCCUACCUGUUCGAGCUCUCUUGGUGUGCCAUUGAGAAUAAUUUGUCAUUGCCUCAUCCAAUAGCUUUGUGGCAGCACCAAGUGUAGUUGACAUAUAGGUUCCUCCCACGGCCGAGUCUAACGGAUUCCUCGAGGUAAAGUUCAAUCCUGCAUAGAAAGUUUGGAUAACCAUCCAAGUAGUCAAACCAUCUGUAGGGCAAUUCUUAACAAGAGAUUUCAUACGUUCCCAAGCUUGAGCAACAUGUUCAUUAUCCAGUUGUCUAAAAUUCAUAAUGUUACUCCUCAACUGGAUAAUCUUUGCAGGCGGGUAAUACUUCCCAAUAAAGGCAUCUUUGCAUUUAUCCCAAGUAUCUAUGCUAUUCCUAGGAAAAGAUUGAAGCCACACUUUAGCUCCUCCUCUCAAGGAGAAAGGAAAAAAGCUUAAGUUUAACAAUAUCACCAACUACUUCUUUAUAUUUUUGCAUAUCACAGAGCUAAAAAAAUUGUUCAAGUGCAAAGGAGCAUCAUCUCCAGCACUGGAGAAUUGAUCUUUCAUAACAAGGUUCAGUAAAGCAGGUUUAAUCUCAUAGCACGUAGCCUCAGUGGCGGGAGCAAAAAUAGGAGUGCAUAUAAAGUCAUUAUUGUUGUGACUACUGAAGUCACACAACUUGGUGUUCUCAGUGGAACCCAUAGCGGAGGCAACAAGCAAGAACAAAGCAACUAUUUUUUUUUGUGGUUUUUGGUAUAAUACUCUAAAGCAAAAACUAAAAACCAAACUAACAAGACUGAAAAGCAAAGGUAAAGGAUAGCGUGCAACUCCCCUAUCUUCGAGAUAGGAGUCCCCGGCAACGGCGCCAGAAAACUUUGCUUGAUGACGAGAUGAUGUAUAUACUUCUCGCAUCUCGUUGGUUACCCCAAGUGGAAGGUUGAGAUGUAGUCAGCAACAAGUUUUCCCUCACAUGGGAACUAUGAGGCUUAUCGAACCAGGAGUACUCCUAGGAUCAACAAGAAGGUGUCUUCCACCGUGGCGCUAACAGAAGACGUGGACCUGCACACACACAAAUAACUUUGCUCCGAACGAGUAUAGAGAGGUGGAUUAAAACACAAGCGGCAAAGUAAUAAUGAUUGCAACGGAAAAGUAAAUGAAAACAAUAAAUGAUAGAGGUGUAAACAAUUAUGGUGAUAUGGACCGGAGUCACAUGAUAUUCGCUGGUGAUGUCUCUCUCCCAAAGACGAUAAACAACUAUGCUUGGGUAAACAAAUCAUAGUUGGGCAAUUGGCAGAAUUAUGAACGCGCCGCAAUGCUAAUUAUGAUACUUGAUAGUUAGAUGUUCAAUAGUAAUGGGCAAUACGCCAAGACAAGUAGACCUUUUUUCAUUAGCAUCUACUUAAUAAUCAUCCACCUUGAGAUAUCUAUGCAGAACAUCUCGCUGGUAUUAAGUUGCGAGCCCCACCCAGAGUGUAAACUCAAAGCAACGAACAACUGCAUUAACGAACUAUGCGUAAGGUAAACAAUCCUUGCAACCCUGGUCACAAGCAUCGUUGUUUUCUCCCUGGUGGCAAGAUCACAUCCCCUAGUCUCAUGUUUCUGUCAAUCAAGCUAGACAUCGAGGGGCAUGAACCCACAAUCAUCCAUAAAGCUCCCUCUUGGAGUUACAAUCUACUACUCGGCCAAAGCACUAAAUAGCAACGGAGAACAUGCAUGAAUCACUACGGAACAUAAUAUAAAAGGAUAAUAAAAUAUAUAACUCAUAAAAAUCUGAACAUAAUCUCAUAAUCCAUCGGAUCCCAACAAACCAGCAUAGCAAUAGCAAGAGAAUUACAUAGAUGCCUUGAUCAUGUAGGCAGCUAACAGGGACUAACCAUUCAAGCACAAGAUUGGAGAGAAGACAUCACAUAGCUACUGGUCAUGGACCCAUGGUCGAAGGAGGACUACUUACCGCACGUCCGGGAAGCGUCCAUGGCAGUGGAGAAGCUCCCGGAGGUCAAUCCUCCCUCCGACAGGGUGCAGGGAAUAGGUCUCCAAACGCUCCCGAUCUCAGAAGUGCCACGGCAGCGGAACGAUGGAGAAAUUCACGAUUUUGGAUGUGAUGGAAGUAUUUUCUUGCAGAGGAGUAAAUAUAGGCCAAAGGAGGGCACCGGAGGAGGCGGGACCCUCCCAGGCAUCCUCCUGGCGGGGCUAGGGGGUAGGUCGCACCAGGUGGUCGCCUCGACGGCCCCUGGCCCCUUUAGCCCAUCUUCGGUGAUCCCGAAGCUUCCGUUACGCUGAUUUUUCAUGUAUUUUUCCUGGAAUUUUUUGGGCUUCGGAAAAUUGGGUAAAACCCCUACAAAAUAGGCAUCAGCAGACAUAAACUGGCACUGGGUGCACUAAGUUAGUAGGUUAGUCCAAAUAUGUGUAAAAUGAUAUAAAAGUGUAGCAAAACAUAUAACAUUGUCACCCAAAAGAUCAUGGAACCAGCAGAAAUUAUAGAUAUGUUUGGGACAUAUCAUUGUCCCAUCUCUCUUUUUGGAAAAUAGUACCGGCGAUCCCCAUGGCGAAGAGUUGGGUAUGAUGUAUCCUUUGUCCAACAUUUCUUUUAUUUGUUUCUUGAGUUCGACCAAUUCAGUGGGUGCCAUGUGGUAUGGUUUCUUGUAUAUUGGAGUUGUACCAGGUGCAAGCUCACUAACAAAUUCUAUUGCUCGGUCUACUGGCAUACAAGGUAGUUCGUUAGGAAACACAUACGGAAAUGCACAGACCACUGUUACGUGUUCAGCUCCAUGGCCUGUAUUUUAUUUAGUCGAGCUUGAGUUGGUUUCUUCCUUUCUAAGGCUGCAACUUUCACUCUUUUUCCCUGAUGGUGGGUGAGUGUGACCGUUCAGUUGAAACAGUCAAUAAAUCCCUUGUUGGUAUUUACACAAUCCAUUCUGAAAAUAAAAUCUAGAUUAUUGCUCUUGAUCACGAUGAGAUGCCCAAAAUAUCAAACCUUCAAUCUGAGUGGUAACAUCCUUGCAAUAUUUGUGUGUAUCCUGUUGUACUCUCGGGGCCUUAAUGGUCAUCGAAUUUUCCAAGGGAAGGAUUUAAAAGUUGUGUUUCAAGGCUAUUUUUUCUGAAAUGAAUGAAUGGGAAGCUCGAGAAUCAAACAAAACCAUGGCAGGAAUAUGGUUGACACGGAACAUACCGAGUACUAUUUCAGGUGCGUUCAUAGCAUCCUGUUUGGCCAGAAGAUUCAUGUGACACUUCUGGUGAUUGUUGUUGGGGUUGAAGUUGUUGUGCUUUGGUGCUAAGUCAUUGCUGGGGUGGUUUGUAUUAGUCACACCAUUAUCGGCUUUUGGGCACUGUCGAGCGAAGUGUCCAGCCUCUCCGCAGGCGAAAUAGGUAACACCGGGGCAGGGAGUAAAAUCCUUGUUCCUCGCAUAAAACUGGGUGUUAACUCUAUUGGUUGGGGUUGGGCAUGAGGAGUUGGAUUCUUUGUGUCCUCAGUCUUGUUCUUGAUGUUGCGAGUUGGUGCCGAGUUGUUAUAACAUCGCUUACGAAUGUUUUCCAGAUUGCAACGUUCGGCCCCAAGCAUGUUGGCCUUGUCCACAAGUGUUUUGUAGUCCGGAAAGGUGUGAAUGACCAGCUGGCAUUUUAAUGCCGGAGCGAGUCCAUCAAGGAACUUGUCCAUUCUUUUCUGUUUAGUCUUAUAGUCUUCACUUUCAUAACUGGAUAAUUGAUUAUACUGGUCCUAGUAUUCCAUUACAAUGGAACUCGUUUGUUUGAGGUCUUAACAUUCCCUUUCAUGACGUUAUUCGGAAUGUGCUCCCCACGAAAGCUCUCUUUGAAUUCAGCCCACGUGAUGUGGUUCUCAUCAGGAUGUACAAGGAGGAUAUUUUCCCACCAGGAGGUUGCGAUUCCAGCCAGAUAGUGAGGUGCGUAGAGUACCUUCUCAUGGUUGGAACAUUGUGCAAUAAUAAGCUUUCUCUCAAUAUCAUGUUGCCAAUCAUCGGCUUCCAUAGGUUUAUCAAUGUGCGAGAAAGUUGGUGGAUGUGUCUUCUGUAAUUCAGCCAACCUGGAGUGUUGUGGGUGUGGUCCACAUUGAUUUACCAUAUUAAUUAGCUGGUUCAGCAUCUCGUGGUGUUGUUGCUGGCUCUGCUCAUAAAGACAACAAACUUCUCAAAAUGUUGGGUCGCUCUCGCAUUGGCUUGACUAUCCUUGCGUGAAAUCAUUUCCUGUCUCAGUAGACUCAUUUUAUCCCUUCAUUCUUGGCAUGGAGCGUGUCCAUGGACGGCUUAUUUUCUCAAAGAUGGGUUAAUGUCGUAAAAACCAAAUGAUAAAUCCAAGUUUAUGCCAAGAUGGGUUCUUGGCACGGAGAAGGACUGCGAUACAUCUUAGAUCACGCAUAAUUAUACAUAUCACUCAGGUCGCACUCUCCUAUGCGUGACAUGUUAUUAAGCUAGUGCACUUCUCCUGGUCCUACAUGAUGCAACACAACUACUUCCCUUCAGUCUAAGAGCACACCAUCAUACAUAUCAUACAAGCGUACAAACGUUCUGUAGGACCAUCUCUACGUGGAGUCGGAAGGGACCUGGAUCAGCAGGCCCAGGGAAAGUCCCAGAUGAGGAGCCGGGGAGUCCACUUCCUCUUGCACGGGCUCUAGGCGGACUACACGAAACGGCAAAGCACGAACUGUACUAGAAGGCAUAGCAUCUCUAAUGGGGGCAUGAGCAAUGACAUGAUUGAACUCCUCAAUCGUAGGAAGCUGCCGGCGAAGCUGGGCUAGCGGAGUGCAUGAAGCAGAGGAAGAUGGGCAUGACCGAGGUGGUGUGGGGCGAAGGAGCUCAUUCCUGCUGUGAGGACGAGUAAGGGCUUCCAUGCAAGCAACCACCAAGUCAUUUACUAAGCCAUCAAAGGCUGACUCCAAGUCCAUAAGGUACUACAUGAUCAUCUCAAUAGCCUCGUCUUCCUCUCCUCUAGGGCAGGCAAAAGCAUAGUGACUGGUGCAUGGAACAUGGCAUGGCAGGUCGUGAUAAGGACGAGUCUUCAUCACUGGGAGGGUGUCCCAGAGACGGGCAAUCGCCUCCCUGGCUGCCAUCUGAAUAGCCUGCCUCUCCAUAGGGAUGGCUCUCCCGACGAAGCAAAAACAACGGGCCUCUGGUCGCCCACCAAUAAAAUGCACCGACGCCUGAUGCAUAGUCAGGGAGUCCCUGAUCUUGUGACAGACAAAAAUUCCAUAUAGUCAUAACACAAAUAUACGGUGACUAUAAGAAGAACAUCUACAGUAUGUGGAAAAAAUAAAAUCAGCUAAUACGGUUAGCGAUCGCGCCUAGUGGUUUCCUAGAGUCAGCCUGGCUAUGAUACCAAGGUUGUUGCUACCAGUUUCCAAAUAAAUAAUUUAUUGGAAAUCAGCCAUGAAUGUCACCAGUCUAGAAAACUAUUUUCCACUCAUAGACUCAUCUUGAUAAAUAAAACCAAUAGUACUUAAUAUUAAACAAAGUAGAGCCGAGGUCGCUCUACAAAUUAUUACAACAUGUCCAAGUCUCGCACGGACAGAUAUGUUACAGUGGUAAUGGGAUAACUCUACUCCUCGUAAUAAAGGGGGUACGUCACAUCAGAGUAAUGUGACAUGACAAGUACUACUAUGCGCCAAGAGUCAGAGUGAGGCUUGACGAUUUAUUCGCGGUGGCGGAAGCAGUGGAAUAAUACAGCGGCGGACUCCAAGAUCGCAAAACUGGUUGGGACUCCUCUAGACGUCGAACUCAGUAUCGAACUCUUGAUGCAUGAGGUCUCCUUCAUCCAUAUCUGGCCACAUCAACAAGCUAGUGAGUACUCGAAAAGUACUCGCAAACAAUUUGCACAAAAGAUGAGAUGCAUGCAGCAAAUUUUUAAUAUGCAUGGUUCAGAUCAUAAUUUAUCAUAAUAGAGAUGUUAGUAGCAGUUAAGUUAGUGAAUAAGUCAGGCGGUAAUCCCCGUGAAAUAUCCAAAGAAAAAAUAAAAUGCACCGAUCGGGUGUGUGGAGCGACGCCUCGAAAGGUUAACAGGUAAAUAAAUCAGCACCGUCGAGCGUCUAAGCGACACCUCAUACAGGGCAUCAAAUAAAUAAAUAGCCACAGUCGUGCGCCUUAGCGACACCACAGAAAGGGCAUCAAAUAAAUAACAAGCCGCAGUCAGGCGUCUUAGUGACACCGCAGAAAGGGCAUAAAUAAAUAACAAGCCGUAGUCGAUCAUCCUAGGGACAUCACUGAAAGGGCAUAAAUAAAUAACAAGCCGCAGUCGGGCGUCUUAACGACACCAUAGAAAGGGCAUAAUAAAAAUAAAGGAUUAUCCGGGUGGUACUACCAGCCUUCAGGAUAAUUUUAUAACUAGUAUGUUAUUAGUAAGUUUUUCCAUAACACCGUUAGAUGUCCACAACCAUCACCAUUAAACCUUACUUUUGCUCUAGGAAUCGACUCUAAGACCGACACUUGACCUGUCAAACGACCGUCCUUGACCGUGGACACAGCUACUCGAAUAGUUUUGAAUCUGCAGAGGUUGUACUCUUUACCCAUAGCUCACGGGGUCCGGUAGUCAAUAUGACUAAUCCCGGGUACGACAUUUUAGAAGCAGACGCUCAAAAUCAGCACACACCCAUUUUUACCCUCGCGAAGACCGGCUUCAACCGGACUACGUUGCUAGGGAAAAACCAUAAGACGGGAGGCUGCGACCUCGAUUAGCAUGGGAUCAAAUUUAUACCGCGCGCUACAAGGCCGUGCCCUCCCUCACAGUCCCAGACCGAAAACAUCCAUGCCCCCUCACCGUAUGACUCGAUUUCGUCCAGGGCCAUGGAUACCUUCAUCCCAGACCCUCUACCUGGUGUGUAAGUGAUAAUAGGUCUACGACCGACUAUACCCAAUCCUUUUUCACGAAAUGGUGGCAGCAUGAUAAUGAAAGUAGUACACAAACAAGACUCGAUCUAUGUCGAUACUGGACUUAUCCCUUUGUUUCCAUCACCGUCAUGCACUUUUCAUGUCCAGGCCACAACCUAUCACAUUAUGCAUGACUAGGUUAUCCACGGCCUCUCACAACCAUAACUUGCCAUAGUCAUAUUUUAACUUUGUUUAUGAGAGAUGCCAUAUACUUGAUUAAUGAAAUGGAUGUAUAUUAAAUUUUCUAGUGAGCCAGCAACACAUCAAAAGUUCAAACAUGCUUCCCUGGUUCCACGUAGUCGGGAUCAACCUCGGUGAAGUUAACGUUGGCGUUUCCUUCGUCGGAAUCUAUUUCAUACAACAUAUAUCAUCAUAAGAGGUAAGGCCUAGCUAAUGUCUCCAAAAAAAAUUCAGAUAAAUAUCAAAAUUUACUAGAUCCUCACAGAAAUAUUUUGCAAAAAGAAUCAAUUAAAAAGCUUUUAUAAAUUAAAAGUUAUUAGCAAAACAAGAUCAGGAAGCAUUUUGUAAUAAAAUAGAAUCUGGCUCGGGGCUAGCAUGAGAAAACUCAAAAGCGCCCGAAGGGGUAUGCGUUAACCAGUAGCGAAGUUAGCUUGUGGAGAAGGCGUUUUCAAAGAAAACGAUUUAGAAAAUAAAAGAACUCUGACGAGGGGGUCCCACCCUGUCAGGUUUGAAUCUCACAAGCGCCAGAGGCGUGCAGUGGUCGCAGUUGGUGAUAGAUGAAGGGAGAGAGCAAGCCGAGGGCAUCUGCACACUCACCGAGUUUCUACGCAUUGAUGGGAGGUUGAUUGGAUCGAAGGGAUGCUCUAUGUCGACGGCGGCCUUGCUCCGGCAGACGACAGUGUCGGGCACCACCAAAUCUCACCGAAGAGUUGUACUGCGACCAAAUUGGAGAGUGGCUUAGGAGGAGGAGCUCACUAGGAAACUACUGAGAGGCUCAGGGCUCACCUCUCCGCUUACCUUGGUCGAUCGAGACCAGGGGUGUAUCGAGUUGAACGGAGUCGGAGGAGAAGGCCUCUCCGAGGCCCUUCUCUGGCUUGAGAAAGGCUUCUGUGUGAGGAGGGAAGGAGACGAAGUGGAUGAGGGGUUCGGCAGCAAAGGAGGGGCUCUAUUUAUAUAGGCCCAAGAGGGGUGCCUCGAAGCUUAACUCCGUCGAUCAAUUAUGGUGAUCCAGGUGCUUAAUCAGAUGGUUAGGUGGCGGGUCAGUACCUACUCAGCACUGGGGUUCCAUUUUUGGUCAAAGGUUUAUCAACCAUCGGUGCAAGACGCGGCUUGAUGGUGCGGUUCUCCCUGUGGAUGAUGGCAGCCGAAGUCGUGCUAUGUGCUGACCGGGAUGUGGUGAUGGCGAACGCGGCACGCACUGAAGGCAAGGGACACGCGGAGCUCACAGGGCAAUGGGCGGUGCCGAAAUGGUGAGGGCUGCAGCAGGGGCGAGGCUCUAGUGGCCACGACAGCCGCUGCCGGUGGUGCUUCCGGUGCUUGCUAGCUCAGGCCAGCUGACCACCAACACGAGCAAUCGUCUAAGGUUAUUUGUGGUGGCUGGAUAAGAAUGGGGGACAGGGACGAGCUACUUCCAUCGAUACUGCUGAGAUUGACGAAGCGGUAGAGACUACAUCGUUGAAGCACUGUAGAUUCUAAACUUUGAGUGAAUCGGUUUCAGAGAAAGAGGCUACAGUGCACACCAGGUUCUUGAUCAAUUGAAACUAGCACGUGUAAAAGGUUUUUGGAGCUGAAAAUUUAUGAGAUGCCUCUCAUUGAGUGCAGAGAUUAUCUUCAAAUUUUUAGAUUUUUUUGAAAUGUUUAAGACAGGUUUUUAAUAAAAACAGAAUAUUUUGGUCAAACUAGAGUCAAACCAAAUUUGAAAAUUUCAAACUAGUGAACCCAAGGUUUUUGGUGAAAUGAGUUGAGGGUACUAAGGUCUUCUAAGUAGUGGAGUUUGGGUCUCAAAAUCCAAAGGAAUCUAUGAUGUCCUUUGAAAAUUUGCUGGGGUCAAAUCUGAUUACAGAAAAUCAUUCUAAUUGAAAUAAAAUAUGAAAGGUUGUUAAACCUUACUAAAACUUUGAAAAAUCAAUAAAAAUGAAAACCUAGAUGUUAGAGAAAUGCCAUAGUAUAGAAAUCAGAAGGGGUGGAGGGAAAAGAAAUAUAGAAGGGGAUUAACAAGUGAAACUAUGGAAAUUAUUUCCAAACGUUUGUUAAAGCAUAAAUAAGGUUUUCCAACCAAAUAAUUUCGAGAAGAGGCAACCAAAAUACUUUUCAAACCAUACAUGUUGGAAAAGAAAGCUCAAAAGAUUUCCUUAAAAACAUUUUCAAAGAAACUUCAGGGUUUUCAUCAAAACCAAAUUUUUCAAUCCAUUUUAAAACAACUCAAAAUUCAAAGAAAUCCAAUUUGAAAAUAUUGGGUGUUACACCAUGCCAGUGCGAGGGAAGGAUGGUGGUGGCGGGAAGGAGACGCCACAACGGUGCGAUUGGAGAGGAGGCACGGCAUCGGCGGAGGGCGAAAGCUAGGGUUCUAACCUAAAAACUGAUACCAUGUAUUAUGAUGGAAUUGCAUGACGUAUUGAUGUGGUGCCAUGACACCGUAUAUAUGAUGUACAAGGUGGGCCACAACCUCAACUAUACAAAAACUAGGAGGUGGGCCAAAUACACAAUAUGCACACACCAUAUAUAUUCAAUAGAGGUGAAGAAUAGAGCCGACAACGAAGGUGCCGACAUUGACAACAAAGCUUGGUUCGGACGCGCAGAUCGUGCCGAAGACUAUCCGAAUUCCCAUUGCACUGUGGUGACAACCAACAGGAUCUCAAUGAAAGCCCCAAUGUUGGUGCCAAAUCCGACAUAUCUCGUUGCUAGGCGUCUUGGAGCGAUGGUAACAUGGACACAUGGUUUUUCCCAGGUUUGAGCUCUCUCAAGGAGAUAAUACCUUAUGUACUGCUUUUGAUUGUAUUGAUAUGGGUAUAGUACAUAGUACAGGUAUCUACCAUGAGAUUGUUGUAAUGAAUGUGAGAUUGUCUAUUGACUAGCCUGGCCUCGGUUUUUAUAAUGUACUAUAUGCCUAGGGUUUAGAGGAGUCCUUGUCUUGUGCGCGAAGCCUUGUGGAAUGUCCCUUGUAUGCAUCAUGGGUUGUCCGAACUAGCCCAUUUAGUGAACCACCAUGAGGGUCCUCGGCCUGCCCUACUGGCCGGGAGACGACCUCGUGAGUAUCCCAUAGUCCAGGACACCAUCACCUGGUCAGGUGGAGCGGUGGCAUGGCUGCUGGGAUCUUGCCAGGCACCACGAGCGGACGAUUUUACAGCCUAGGGAGGGUCUUGCCGGCCCUCCUUGGCCUUGUACUUGACUUGCCUUGAGGCUCGCGACGAUCCCGGCAAGGAGUAGUUGGCCUAGGGCUGCAGUUGCCCUUGCUUAUAUCUAGGGUACUAAGGACCUCAUUUCUUAGUACACCGAUACCUGAGCUGGCGUAUGUACUCAGGAUGGUGAUAGACUUGCGUUGGCAUGAUUAAGCGCUAGUGCGUGACUAAGUGAUCCGACCUGGAUAAGCAUGGCAUUUGACGAGGAUUAUGAGAUAAUCCAAAGUGUUGGUCAGAUUCAUCAAAACGAGGAAGAGGUCAUGCUACAACAAGGAUGACCAUGUCGCCUUGUGCAUGACAACAUAUAUCUUGUGGCAAAGGGAAUAGGAGUAUGAAGUACAUGUUCGCCUAACCAGCUUCAUCACACACUUGGAGUCGGCACGCUUUUCUAGAAGUCGCUACCGACUGGUCGAGUCGGAUGUGAUCUGACUCAUGACCAAGUGAACGAGAACCUAAGGGGUCGCACACUAAAGGGAAGGAACCCAUGGGUUUUAGGAUCCGUGCAAGGCCCAAGAGUUGAGCCCGUGGCGAAUGCCUAUAAGUAGUGGAAGUGCGGUACACUUAUUCAGUUGAUCGCCUUGGUGUCGGCAUUAGGGCAUUGCAUGUGUUGUAUCUAGCCACCUCCAUUCGCCGGUGCCGACUGUGUGAUCCGGACCUAGCGGUCCGCCGCACGGUGUUCCUCCUGCACGCGUGAAUACCGUUAGAGGAGGUGCACUUGCACCGCUCCAGCAAACCUAUACGUGGGAUCGGACGCCCUAAUUUUCAACGGAGAGGAUCCGGCGAGAAACUAUUCGAGGGAGAUCGUAUGAGGAAGAGACGGACCAUGCAGAUGCGCUUCCGAACUCUACUUAUGCUAAAUGGUAUGCAUGUAUAGUGCAACGAUCUAUGACUCAUCUCCGUAGCAUGUUCUUGGAUGUUGUGCGCAAAGAAAAACUAUUGGGCACUAUCUACUAAAUAUUCAUUUCCUAUUAUGUUUNNNNNNNNNNCAAAUGGUUGAUUUCCACUUAUCCACAAUUUCAUACUUGUAUAUUUUUUAUCUCUAUGCUUGCUGGCAACGGGUCCUUAGCGGCAUGCCAAAGAUGUUGUUGCCGGAUAGACCGCCUUCACGUCCUUGGCGCGACUACUUUGGUUGUUGAGCGGACUCGGAACAACAAAGAAUGCAGCCAAAUUCAGCAAGGGUCACUUGCAUGCAUGUUUUCUCAUACAAUGGAGUAGUUCAAGUGGAAAUAGCUUACAACGAAAAAACUCUUAAAGUUUCUUGCGACCUAGCUUUCUCUUUCUUGUAUUCCUUGUCGCACGCUUGCGGUCCUUGAACAUGCUUGUAGUUUCCACCGUCACCCCCCGGGAAGACUUGCACACGACGGCCCCUUUUUUCGUUUUAAGAAAAAAAGGAGAAAAAACAAAGGAGGCUAGGAACCUUGGUGGUUCUAUGGUCACCAUAUGCAAGUUCAAAGUUAUCACAACAUUUCAUGUAGGAUACAUAAAUAAAUAUGUACUUCAUAAGAAGAUGUAGAACGCUUACCUUUAUUCACUAUGCUCACUGUCUUCGGCUGGCUUUGUACAAAGGAUUACAAGCCUUGUCAGGCUGACUUGUACAAAAGGGGUUGCAGGGUGGCCUGGCAGCCGCGCGUGACGGGUACAACUUGAGAAGAUGCUAGAUAUUCCAAGAGUUUUGUGACGGGGUAUCAUCUUUGGUCUUUAGGUGGACUGCACCAUGCCUAGUGAAUUGUACAACCUGGUAAGGGCCUACUCACCUUGAUGUCAACAUGUUUGAUUCCUUCGCGGACUAGAUUUGACGAAGGACAAGGUCGCUUUCCUUAAUGUUUCUGACAUGCACCUUGAGGGUACGAUAGUAGUACAAGGCUUGCUGGUACCGAGCAGCACGCAGGGCAGCCUGAAGACGAUCUUCCUCGAGGAGUGUUACAUCGUCUUGCUAAAGUUGCUCUUCUAGUUUUCUUCAAAGGCCUUCACUCAUGGUGAACCCUACAUGAGUUCCGUAGGGAGUACCUCUUUUGCACCAUAGACUAGGGAGAAGGGUGACUUGCUGGUAGCUUGAUUUGGCAUCAUCCUAAUCAACUAAAGAACCACCAGCAGCUCAUCAUUCCAGCGCCUUUCGUGUUUGCACAACUUGCUAAAAGUCCUUGCCUUGAGGCCCUGCAACACUUUAGUGUUUGCCCUCUCUACUUGGUUGUUUCUCCUAGGGUGGNNNNNNNNNNAAAAGUAGAUCUUGGCGCUGCUGUUUUAAUAGUACUACAUGAAGUUUUCCCUAGUGAAUUGUGUGUCAUUCUUGGUGAUAAUCCUUUUGGGCACUCCAAAACGACAAACUAUUCCUCUGACAAACUUGAUUGUCGCUUGCCCUGCUACCUUCCUCACUGGCUCCACCUCUAUCCACUUUGUAAACAUGUUCAUAGGAAUGAACAAGAAUUGAAAGCCCCUGGUAGAAUGGGGGAAAGGGCCGGUGAUGUUGAUCCCUUGCACUUCAAAUGACCAGGAGAGUGGUAUGGUAUAAAGGGCUUGUGCUAGUUGAUAUAUUUGCUUGGCAUGGAAUUGGCAUGCUUCACACAUUGUUACCACCACCAAGGCGUCUUGAAGGGAUGUCGACUAGUAAAAUCCUUGAUGGAAUGCCUUACCAACAAGCACAAGGGAUCCGAUGUGAAAUCUGCAUAUUCCUUCAUGUAUCUCCGCCACAACUUCCUUCCAUCUUCUCGUGAGAUGUACUUAAAUUUCACCCAAUUUGGCCUUCUUUUGCACAGAGUGUUGUCCAUGAACUGCUACAUGCUUGAUUGUCGGGCUACUCUUUCGUCUUGCUCUUUUUCCUCGGGGAGAUCUCCUAUCUAGAGGUAUCGGACGAUCUAUUGUGCCAAUGCUGGAGCUUGUAGCUUGAAGACAAGGACCCAAGGUAUUUCUUGUUCCGCGGGAGCACUAGUUACCACGACAACGACCACUCAGUUUGCUGGAGCUUCCUGCUCACCGGUAGGCGUCUUGUCAUUCCGGUGAAUCUUCUUAGCGUCCACUAGUGGCUCAAUCGAGAAAUAGUGGCCAGAUUUGAUUUUUCUUUUCUUAUCUUACUCUACUGAUGGUGUGACUGAAGGAUGAGUUAAUCAGAGUAGAAAAGUGCUUGGCUCCACAGGUAGCUUCUGAUCAGCUUGCUUUGACAAGUCUUCAGUAAUGCUAUUUUCAACACGAGGGAUGUGAUCCAUCUGUAGACCGUCAAAGUGCUUUUCUAACUUCCUCACUUCGUAUAUGUAUGCUUCCAUCACAGAGCUCUGGUAAUCCUUGUUUACGUGACACACAAGCUGCAACUCUCCCUAGACUAUCAAUAUCUUGAUGCCGAGGUGCUAUCCGCAGACCAACAAGAAAUCCAUCAUCCCUGAAUGUGUUGGUCAUUGAUACCUCCAGGGGAAAAUGCAUCUGGAUCACAUUAUUGAGGUGCUCUCCUUCGAGUUCGACAAGAAAUAAUCCGGUACGGGUGCCUUGUAGCACGAAGGCCCCAUCAAAGUACAUGACCCAUUCCUAAGGUGCUUCAUUGUCAUGGAAGAUUGUUUCUUGAAUUUUUUCGUCUUGCGUUGGUGUCCAUUCGGAAAUGAACUCCACCAAGGGUCUGCUCUAUAUAGUCGUCGUUCUUUCAAAGCUCAAGUCAAAGAUAGCCAGUCCACUUCCCACUCGACAAUCCUGUCGGUUGGUUCUGGAUUCCACAAGAUGCGUUGCAAUGGAAAGCGAGUGAUGAUAGUGAUAUGAUGUGCUAGGAAGUAAUGGUGCAGCUUCCGAGAAGCCAUGAGAAUGCCAAAAGGCAGUUUAUGCAAGAGAGAGCUCACAAAGUAGACUGGUCGCUGCACCAUAUUCUUCUUUUGCACAAUCUGUGUUCUCCUCCUUAUGUUGCACUUGUGUUAUCGUCUCCUUAGCUUGCCGGAGUUGAAUCUGGCUUGCGGAUUGCCGGCUCGGUGGUUGCCACGUCGUCUUCGUCAGCUUCUAGCUUCGCCACUACUCGAAAACUAACACUAGGUUCUUUGCUGCCAAAUAUAGUAGCAACGACUCUUGUGGUUUAGGCGCGAGUAGUGUUGGUGCUGAGGAUAUGUAUUUCUUCAAAUCUUGCAACGCUGCCUCCGCUUUCGGAGUCCAUUUCAUUGGGCCUUCCUUUUUCCAUAUUCUGAAAAAUGGCAGGGCGUGCUGUCCAAAUUUGGAAAUGAGCCUGCCGAGGGCGGCGAUGCAACUCGCCAAGUGGCGUAAAUGCUUGCGCGCUUCGUUGCCUCUAUUUCCUCAAUUUCCUAAAUCUUGGCGAGGUUGGCUUCGAUCCUUGUCGGUGCACUAGACACCGGGGUCCCUUGUGCCACGCAGUUGUGCACGGGCAUCGGCGACGCCCUGACAGUAGUGCACCGGGAAGAGUAGAAGGAAGGAAGGUCAAGACCCACAAAGGCCACGCCCUUCCCUCUCUCUAGGUGCAUGGAUUACAAAGGCUCCGGACGCAAGGCCCUAACAAGCCCUCCUUGUCGGGAAGAUUCCCUAGGCCCCGGCAAGCCCACUUCGCCGGGAAGACUACCCAAAGAAUAGCAAGACCCCGGUAAGUCUCCCUUGGCGGGAAGGCUCGCACAGACGGACGAGGCCCCAGGCAAGCCCGCCUUGCCGGGAAAGUAUUCAAGCCCCCGGCAAGCCUUCCUUGAUGGGAAGAUGACCAAGUUCUCCGACAGGGACUCCAGCCAGCAAGCCCAUGUUCGCUCGCCAAGUGUCCCCCCAGUGUCUACCACAAUCCGACCACUCCACCACAUCCCUCGUGUGCCAACACAAGGCCCAGGUGUCGAUUCACCUGGGUACAUGUCGCAACCAUCUUGCGGCAGGUCAGGGGCUAGACCAGGCAUUUACUGCCCCUCACACCACCGAAGAAGUAGAGCGGUGAACACUAUUCACUAUGCACCCCGUCAGCACACUGUUGGUGACCCCUUUGCCUAUAAAAGGAGGCUCAAAGCUCAUUCUUAGGGGUUGGACCUUUUGGUGAUCGGAGACUCCCUAAUCACCAACUCAGUUACUAUAGCAGAACCACACUAUAGUGACCACACAAUACAAACCAAGCAGGAGUAGGGUCUUAAACGCCAGGAGGCCCGAACCUGGGUAAAAAGACCUUGCCGGUGUUGAUCGCUAGUUUCGCACUUGACGUCGUACCUCUCUCUCCCCGCCAAAAGAUCAAGGGACUCCUCGAGUUUCCCAUAGGUGUCGGUUUCCCCGACAUCUGUGGCGCACCAGGUAGGGGAAGUGGUGGUUGAGAACUUUUUCUUGGAUUCAAGCAAGGACCGCGUCUGAUCUUGGGAAGUAGCGCGUUCCACUGCGGUCCCUCGAAGAACGACGCGGCGAUGGUCACUCUGCUUCACCACGGCUUCCUAACACCUGCGCGGGUGCUCCGCUAUGUGAGUGCAGGCUGGGGAGACAGAGACCUCGAGCUUGGAGACAUCAGGCUGACACGCCGCUCCGGGACAGUGCGCUGUUGUCGAGGGAGUGCCUGGGUGCUUCGGCAAGGCCUCCGGCGCAUACUCCGGCCAACACACCUCCACGGAGAGGUACAUAGACGUCGAGAAUGCGCCUACAGGACCCGAGACCCACGCACGCACUCCAGCGGAACGCUUCCCCCCCCCCCCCNNNNNNNNNNNNNNNNNNNNNNNNNNNNNNNNNNNNNNNNNNNNNNNNNNNNNNNNNNNNNNNNNNNNNNNNNNNNNNNNNNNNNNNNNNNNNNNNNNNNNNNNNNNNNNNNNNNNNNNNNNNNNNNNNNNNNNNNNNNNNUCAGCAUGGCCAGGCAAGACAGGAAAAGGAGUUAUGCUCUAACGACCCCCUCUUAUACGACAACCAAGAACUGUCGGCUAGUACCUUGCCGAAGGGGAAGUUACCGGAAGACUAUAGUCUCCUUCUUGCCGCGGACCUGAAGCCCCGGCAAAGGACCCAAGCUCCGCAAGGAGAAGUGUCUCGGCACGACAGAUAACUAACAAAUAUUUCAGAUGAGAUUUGAGAGUAGAUAGGUUGUUUCCUUUCUGGAAGAUCCCAAACCUUGUUUGAGAAACAUGCGCGUAGAUGGAACCUUGUCAGGAUCAAUGUGCCUUAUUAUUGUUUCGAACUAGUUUAACGACCCGAAUGGCCACAGAGCGCCUUCACACUGUUUCAAACCUGUUCAAUAGUUAAAGUGGCUACAUAGCACCUUAUUUCACCUCGAGUCGCGCUCGACGAUCUAACGGUUGCACUGAGUGCGGCAAGGAUCCUUGCUGGUAACGAAACCGCAAGAGAAUUUCUAAGGAUCCUUUCCUCAAAGCACUAGCGGCAGGACCAGUCACACCGGCAAGCUUCCGGAAAAUGGAAAAAGCAUAUCAUACAAGGAGAAGGAUCAGACGCACGGGAAGCAACAUUUCAUUCAUUUGUUUGAAACAAACUCGGACAUAUUACACAUAUGAUUUUUGCUACUCUAACCCAUUGUACUGUCUUUUGGUGAGGGAUGUGCUCGCCGGACAGAAGUUCAUGAAGACAAAAAGGUGGAGCUCGCGGCGCGGCCAGGACUGGCUCCCCCAGGACCAGCACCGUGUCGACGAGAAUGGGACCAACCCUGACAAACAUCACCUGGCCCCUCUGGCUUGAUACCAGAGGGCAGGGCACAGGAAGGGGCGAAGGAUCCGGAUCCCACGAGCGCGCCUCCUCCUGGAUCCGGGGGGCAGCACCCGCUCCGGAGAGGUGGCCCAAGCAGAGGGCAUUGAGAAGUCAGAGGUUGCGGAGGUGCCUCCCUCUCGAACAUGAGGCACCGACGCCAGCUCCGGCAAGAUACCCCCGUCGAGCGGGGGAGAGAUGUGAGCGGGCCCCGGUGGCGGGGCCGACAAUGAGUCGAAGCUCGAGGAGUUGUACUCCGACUUGACUACCCGAGAUCCAUACCUGCCAAGAGUGCCACUGUCGCCGCUGUCCUCCUCGUCGCUAUCGCUAGAGAAGGGACAUUCGGCACUGCUCGAGCUCUCUUCACAGCAGCCGAGACGCACACGUGAGCACCCAUAAAACUUGACGGAUAGCAUAUUAUCCUCCGCUAGAUUAAAGUGGAGGAUAUGCCAUUCCUCGAGGCUGUGGGCGCGGGCGAAGGCUUUCCAGCCUUGCCCGAGCAACAUAGAGUGGCGUUUCGGGUACUCGACGUGGACUUGCAUAGCACCGUGGGAGCAACCUUACGCCCGCAACCACAAGACAGGGAGCUUGGCAGCCUCCAUCGCCCUAGAAAAAGGGCGAGGGAGAUGCAAAUGGCCCUGGGGGACUGCGUGCAGCUCCACGACGAACUCCGGUGAGGUCCUAUCUGAGUGCCCAUCCAGCGGAGGAGAGGACGGAGGUGCUGGAGUAGAACUUCGCCUCCCCCGGCCACGGCCUCCACGACGACCACGACCCCUCGUCCCUCCACCACCACAGGCGCUCGUGCCGCCCUCCGUGAAGUUGUGGCACGAUCGGAGUGGGAUCCCCUUGCCGCCCUGGCAGCCGAUGGUGGCAUCCCUCAUCUCCUAGCCAUCGUUGGGGGCAAGCGCCACCCGGAGCUAGAAAGAUUCUACAGAUGCAAGCUGGGGGUGGUGGAUGUUUCAGUGGUUGGUGGAUGAGCUAAACCCCCUCGCAAACUCCAUAAUUUAUAGGGCGAGGCGCGGGGGGCUAGAUCCCUUCACUCCAAAAACCGCCGCCCUUCUCGCCCAAUCACCCAUGAUCACGGGCGAACACGGAACCACCCUGCUGCACCGAUGCAUCCGGGGAGGGCCAUGCCAUGGCUGCGGCCUUUAUGGACACAAACACCACUUGCCUGACUAUUACUGCGCAUGCUUCACGCAUGGCAGUAACGUGUCGGGAUGUGGGGAGGCUAUUGUGCGUGCACUUCUCCACCUCGCACGCUGGAUACGCGACGUGGGGCAGGGCCGUCCACAACGGCUCCAAAGCUGCACAGUCCCAUGCCAAGGAAGCCCAUGCACUACUUUGGGCCCGGCCCAACAACGCCCCGUGCGUAUGCGUAGCCCAGGCCCAGGGGCUAUUAUCGGUGCACUAGAGACUGGGGUCCCUUGUGCCCCAGACUUGUGCAUGGGCAUCGGCGACGCCCCUGACAGAAGUGCACGAGGAAGAGCAGCAGGAAGGAAGUCCAGGACACACCAGGGCCACACCCUUCCCUCUCUCUAGGGGUGUGGACUACAAAGGCUUGAGAUGCAAAGCCCCGCCAAGCCUGCUUUGCCGGGAAGAGUACCCAAAGAAUAGCAAGACCCCGAUAAGUCUCCCUUGUCGGGAAGGCUCACACACACUGACGAGGCCCCCGGCAAGCCCUCCUUUCCACGAAAGUAUUCAAGCCCCCUGCAAGCCUUCCUUGUCGGGAAGAUGACCAUGUCCACCGACAGGGACUCCAAGCCGGCAAGCCGCUGUUCGCUCGCCAGGUGUCCCCCCAGUUUCUACCACAAUCCGACCACUCCAGCACAUCGCUCGUGUGCCAGCAUAAGGCCCAGGUGUUGAUUCACCUAGGUAGAUGUCGCAACCAUUUUGCGGCCGGUCACGGGCCAGACCACACAUUUACUGCCCCUGACACCACCGAGGUAGAGCGCUGAACACUGUUCACUUUGCACCCCGUGAGCACCCUGUUGGUGACCCCUUUGCCUAUAAAAGGAGGCCCAAAGCUCAUUCUUAGGGGUUGGACCUUUUGGUGAUCAGAGACUCCCUAAUCACCUACCACUAGUAGAAAUUGGCCCAUUUGUCCCGGUUCUUGAACCGGGACUAAAUGGUCGAGACAAAAUCCCAAAACCUUUCGGCCCAGUUCGCUUAGGAACCGGGACCGAAUGGUCUCCACGUGGCCGCUUUGGCGAGCCCGGCCAGGCGGUUCUUUAGUCCUGGUUGGUCACACCAACCGGGACAACGUGGCAUCCACGCGUCAGGAUCUGCCCGGAUAGCUACUAGAGAGAAGUGUCCUCUCUUUCUCUGUGCUUGGUCGAUGCUAGCUACUAUACAUAUAGAGAGAACAAGAUGCUAGCUAAUAAGAAAAUGAAGGAAACCAUUUAAAAUACUUAAGAUCUUUUACAAAGCCUAACAUCAUCUACCUAAGAUCCCAUCACAAAUAGCUCACAUGGUAUUCUCCGUCACUAGGUAUGAAGUGGUCAACAAGGAAUCCCGCCAAUUCCUCUUCAAUUUCUCGUAUGCCAUUAUCUGGUAGGGGUUCAUCCCACUUCUUCAAGAUCUAAUUUAAAGUAGGGGGUAAAUACAUGCACAUAUAUGAAUAAAACUCAACACAAUUGAUGGUAAUAUAUAAAAUAUAAUUGUGAAUAUUAUUUACGUACUUCAAAUUGUUCGUCAGAGAUGCCCCGCCCAAAGGUAGAGAGGCAAAUGAACUCGCAUACGUAGUAUGCACAUUUUUCAGUCCCAACUACCUGGUACAAGCACUUUACGAGAAUAUAUAGAGUUCAAUCAAACUGAUAUGCAAGCAUGGUAAUGACAUAUUGAUGAAAAUAUGAAUCAAUUAGAGAUGCGCGGAACUAGCUAGCUAGUACUACUUAGUAGGGGUGUGUAAAUUGCAACUCUUUGGGUAUACAGCGAACCUUAUUCGUGAACUUCUUCCAAAUCCUGCCAGGCAAAUAAAAUGAUUACUUGAUAUAAGGAAAUUAACGGAAGUAGCAUGCCGGUAUGGUCCCGGUAUUGAGUGAACUUACUUCUUGAGCAUUGCAGUCAUGUCCGCAUAAUCCUUGGGAUCUUUACGUAUCGAGUCUAAGACAAUUACUUUUGCCACGUCAAGCUUAAUGGAUAGCAGAAUCCAGUGGUAACUGCCCAUGCAUAUAACUCUCAUCAAUUACAAUUACUAAUUAACCUCGAGUAAGCAAAACCUAGUAUACAGAGAAGACAACAACACUCACCUGAAGUUAUAAGGAAAGAGUAUUUACCUUUUGUUUUGAUUUCUAAUCAAUGAAUUUAGCAACUUAACCUCGGUAUCUUUGGUUUCAUUUCGUACCGACAAUACAUUUACCAAUUCUGGGCUAAUGAACCCAACGUCGAAGAUUCCUGAUUUUUUAAAUUCGACGAUCUUCAAUGUGCAUAAUAUAUAUAGUGAGGAUAAUUAUAGAUACAUGCAAUGAACGAGCUGUGCUAGAGGCUUAACUAUAGAAGUAAUACUUACAAACAGUAGGAAGUCAGGAGUUGUUUGUCGAGGGCCAGGUCAUUGUAUAACUGAAAUAACUCCUGAAAUUCAACAAGCAACACUGUAGCUCUAAUGAAUUGAUGAUCUUUUAUUACUCUUGUAUACACAUUAGUUUUCUCCAUGAAGAUGUUCAUGUACCACUCAUGCAAUUAGUGCAUCCUCGGUGUUAGAGGAGGAUGACCAGGUUUAACGAGAGGCUUCCCGAGCACGAAUUUAUAUUUUACUUAUUUUGUUACCUCAGCCAUCUCAAAAGUUACUGAAUCGUUCAUGUAAUCCCCAGGAUUGGUACCGGGCAACAACCCCGAAUCAUUAGAAACGACGAUAUCGUGAGACACCUUGAGCGGGGGGGGGGCACAAUUGCUUCUUAUGUUGGCCGAGCUGGGGUAUUGUUUUCCUACUUCUUCGUUUUGCUAACAUUGCAUCACUGAUAGCCGCCAGAGUGGCCGCGGAGUCUGUCUUCCGCUUGAGAGAAGGAGGCAGAGGCGGCAUCCUUCUUACUUGUGUAAUUUUCGGCAGAGCGGCGACGACGUUUGUCUUCCGCUGUUGCGGAAGAGGCGGACUGCUCCAAUGCAUCUGAGGAGGAGCCGAAGGAGGAGGAGUGCUUUGACGCGGUGGAGGAGGAUCCGAAGAAGGAGGCGGAGUGCUCCGACGCGCCGGAGGAGGAGCCAAAGAAGGAGGCGGACUGCUCCGACGCGCUGGAGGAGCCGAGGAAGGAGGCGGAGUGCUCCGACGCGUCGGAGGAGGAGCCGAAGGCGAAGGACUGCGAGGAGGAGCCAAAGAAGGAGGCGGAGUGAUCCGACACGCCGGAUUAGGAGCCAAAGAAAGAGGCCGACUGCUCCAACGCGCCGGAGGAGGAGGCGGAGUAUCCUCACAUGCCGGAGAAGGAGUCGAAGAAGAAGGCGGAGGGCCCUCACGCGUCGGUGGAGCCGAAGUGCCUUGAUCAUUCGCCGUAGGAGGAUGAGGAGUGCCCUGAUCAAUGGCCGGAGGAGGAUGAGGAGUGCCCUGAUCAGUCGUCGUCGUCGGAGGAGGAGGCGUCAAGUUUGGAAGAUUGAUGUACUCCUUCGGCCAUAGACAUGUACUCCUCAAAGAAUGAACCAACUUAUUCUCAUCUUCACCUGUAGGGUGGUCAAGCUCGAGCUGCUCAAAAUCCUUAUUUACUUCAUCCACCAUCACCAGAGAAUAACCACGUGGAAUCGUACGCCAGUGAAAAGUUCUGUUGGAUUGAGGAGGUGCAACAACGCCGAUAGCUGCCUUGAAAGUGAGGUUCCGACAUUUCGUCAAAAGCUCGCAAGGUUGAGACUCCGUGAUAGUAUCCAUGGGGUAGCUAGGUGCCAUGAAGUCGGGCUGAACGAUCUCUAUGGAAGCCAUGUUGUUUCUCCGCUCAGAUGGCAGGGUAAAUUCUGGGGUAGUUUCGUGCCGCUGAGAUGGUUGGUCGACAGCUCGCUAACUCUGAAGUUCCUCUAGAAUUUAUAGUCUUGCAUUAAUCUUCUGCAUGUCGCUCAGCUCCACUUUCCUCUUUCUCGCUUGGCUUAUGUAACCGACUUUGUCGGGAAACCCAACCUUCCACGAAACGGAGACAUGUGUGCCUCGUGUUCGUCCAGGGUGCUUAGCAUUCCCUAGGGCCUCAGUCAGCUCGUCCUUCUCUCUUUUGGGAAAGAACGCCCCUUCUUGGGCUGCGGUGAUACAAUGUUGAAGCUUGUUGUUGGGUGUUGCAAGUUGCUCGUCCGUCCAAUGACACUCCCCUGAUUCAGGGUCCAAUGUUCCCACAACUCCGAAGAACCAAUUCCUUUAACGGGUCGGGGUAGUUCCAUGUCUGUGGUUGGACCCCUUUAGCAAUCAGGUCAUUCUCAGCUUUGUCCCACAAUGGAUGGCCUUUGAGGUAGCCACCUGACCCUUGUGAAGGUGAUACUACUUCUUUGCAGCAUUGUUCUUGUUUCUCCCUGACAUUUACUUACUCUUGUCCGAUGACUUCUAGGCCACAAAUGCGGGCUAGUGAUCUCUAAUCUUCUCAAAUCGCUCGACGAAUUCUAGAGUGUUCCCUUGGUCGACAUACUUUGAUUUCAACUCUUUGUUCCACCUCCUGAAUAGUUCUGCCAUCUUCUUAAGAGCACACGCCUUGACCUGUGGCUCUAUAACUGGCUUAUUCGGAUCCUCCUCUGGCGGUAGGGUGAAAAUUUUCUUCAACGCGGUCCAAAGAUCAUCUUUUAGCCUAUCGGUGACAUAAUCACCUACAUGGACGUUGUGGCCCUUAGGCUUAUUUCACUCCUUGAUGCUGAUCGGGAUGUUGUCCUUGGCAAUAGCUCCACAUUGAGAAGAAAAUGCAUCCCUGGUCCGCUUGGAUUCAAUCGGUUGGCCAUCGUUCGAUAGUUCAGUGAUCGCGAACUUUUGAUCCUUGCCCAACCUUCUCGUCGGGCCUCGUCUCGUUACCGAAGUUUGGCUCGAUCCAUACUUUUCAAUAGCUCCCUCCUCCGUUCGAUCACCAGAGCCGUCAUGAUGGUCUCCUUCCUCCGGGAUUCGGUAGUCACCGAGCCAUCAUGAUAAUGUCCUUCCUCCUCCAAUGUUCGAUCAUCUGAAGCCAUCAUGAUAAUGUCCUCCCUCCGGGAUUCGGUUGUCACCGAUUUCGCUGAGCAAAAAUUCGACAUUACUACCGUCGCCCUGGAUUAUAUCCCCCAAAAUUUCUUCUUUUUCCAUGGCUCUUGGAAUAUCCAUUGUUUCUGUAAAUAUUACAAAGUGGGGGAAUCCCUUUAUACAUAAACCCAAAUAUUAACAUAAAAACUUAAUUUGUAACUUAAUCUAAUCUAAAUAUUUUUAUAAUUUUUAUAACUUUAUUUGCUAUUGAAACUGAAUCUAAUCUAAACAUUUUAUAAUUUUUAUAACUUGUGUCACAUUGGGGAGUUCAAAAAUGUACCCAAUAUAUUCUAAUAUGACUAUAAUAUACACACACAUGGAUUCGCAAUUAGACUACGUCUUCUCACACACAUGGAUUCGCAAAUAGGGAGAUGGAGAGAUCGAUGGACGUGUUACCGGUGCGUCGACCGGCGACGAGGGCGGGCUUCGGAACGACGACGGGUGACAGGCGACGACGACGACGGCGAUGGGCUCGGGGGCUACGACAAUGACGGCGAUGGCAAUGACGGGUGGUGUCGGGCGAUGACGACGACAGCGAUGGGCUCGGGGGCGAUGGCGACGGGGAUGGGCUCGGGGACGACGACAACGACGAUGGGCUCGGGAACGAUAGCAACGACAAUGGGCUCGGGGGUGAUGGCGACAGCGACGGCGACGAUGAUGGGCUCAGGAGCGACGACAAUGAUGAUAGGCUCGGGGUGACGACAGGCUCGUNNNNNNNNNNNNNNNNNNNNNNNNNNNNNNNNNNNNNNNNNNNNNNNNNNNNNNNNNNNNNNNNNNNNNNNNNNNNNNNNNNNNNNNNNNNNNNNNNNNNNNNNNNNNNNNNNACGAUGGGCUUGUGGAGGAGGCGCUGGGCGGCGGCGACAGGCUCGGGUGCGACAGCAACAAAGAGAGAACAAGGGGGGCGGGGGAAACGAAAGUUGGAGGAAAUUUCGACAACUCAAGCAAUAUACGAACACCUUUGUUCCAGUUGGUGGAUCAAACCGGGACCAAAGUACACCUUUAGUCCCGGGUUGUUACACCAACCGGCUUUGAAGGUCAAUUUCGACAACUCCCACACUAUAUGCGAAACAUUUGGCUUUGGUUUGUGGCACCAACCAGGACCAAAGCCACACUUCGGAUGGCCCAAAAGGGCGGGAAGAAGAGGACUUUCGUACCGGUCGGUGGCUAGUACUGGGACAAAAGGACCGUCGGCCCAUUUGAUAUUUUUCAUACAUUUACUGAUUCUUGUUUUGAGCUAAAUGACCCUUAAAUUGAAAAGCACUACAAAUGAACUCUGAAAAUGUUGAAAGUUGGCAUGGUAUGAUCAUUUCACGCACAUAGCGUGUGCUAAAAAGUUGAGAGGGUUGCGGCAAAAACUGGAUGCACAUCAUGUACAAAACAGACAAUCUCUUUCAAUGUAUUAGGGUUUAAUACGAAAACUCAUCUGUUACAAAGGGAUUUCAUUUUUUGAACUUAUUUGAACUCCAGACUUUUUGUGUGUUNNNNNNNNNNNNNNNNNNNNNNNNNNNNNNNNNNNNNNNNNNNNNNNNNNUAGUUACUUAUUUUUUGAGCUAAAUGACCCUUAAAUUGAAAAGCACUACAAAUGAACUCUGAAAUUGUUGAAAGUUUGCAUGGUAUCAUCAUUUCACCCGCAUAGCAUGUGCUUAAAAGUUGAGAAGGUUGCGGCACAAACUGGAUGCACUUCGUGGACAAAAUGGACAAUCUCUUUCAAAGUAUCACAGUUUCAUACGAAAACUCAUCUGUUAUAAUGGGAUUUCAUUUUUUGAACUUAUUUGAACUCCAGACUUUUUGUGUGUUCAAAUGGACCAUUCAAAGACACAUCAUCAAUUUUUAACUAUUUUUGACUUCAUUUGGUACUUUUCAUGCAUUUAGUGAUUUUUUUAUGUAAAUGACCCUUAAAUUGAAAAGCACUACAAGUGAACUCCGAAAAGGUUCAAAGUUGGCAUGGUAUCAUCAUUUCACCCACAUAGCAUGUGCUAAAAAGUUGAGAGGGUUGCGGCAAAACUGGAUGCACUUCGUGUAGAAAACGGACAAUCUCUUUCGAAGUAUCAUGGUUUCAUACGAAAACUCAUCUGGUACAAAGGGAUUUCAUUUUUUUGAACUUAUUUGAACUCCAGACUUUUUAUGUGUUCAAAAUGCACCAUUCAAAGACACAUCAUCAAUUUUCAACUAUUUCUGACUUCAUUUGGUAUUNNNNNNNNNNAAUUUAGUGAUUUGUUUUGAGCUAAAUGACCCUAAAAUUGAAAAGCACUACAAAUGAACUCUGAAAAGGUUGAAAGUUGGCAUGUUAUCAUCAUUUCACCCACAUAACAUGAACAUUUUUCGAAGUAUGACGAUUUCAGUCGAAAACUCAUCUCUUACAAAGGGCACUUCAUUUCUUCACUUUUUCUUCGCAUGUGUUCCUUGCUUAUUGCACCGUAACCAUGGAUAAUCUUCAUCGUUUAACAGGGUGCUUGGGCCAGCCUUGACUUUGAAGGGAGGAAUUUCAUGAAACCUUUCAUAAUCUUCAGACAUGUCAGUCUUGCCCUCCAAUCCCACAAUGUCUAUUUUUCCUGAAAGAAUUAUGUGGAUCUUUGGCUCAUCGUAUGAUGUAUUCACUUCCUUAUAUUUUAUUUUUCUCGGUUUAGUGGACAUGUCCUUCAUACAGGAAACCUUCACCACAUCAUUGUCUAGGACGAAUGGUUCCUCUGCGUGCGCAAGAUUGCUCAGAUCCACUUUUGUCAUUCCGUACUGUGGGUCUAUCUAUACCCCACCUCCUGACAGAUUGACCCAUUUGCAAUGAAACAAAGGGACCUUCAAAUCAUGUCCAUAGUCAAGUUCCCAUAUGUCCACUAUGUAACCAUAAUAUGUGUCCUUUCCCCUCUCGGUUGCUGCAUCAAAGCGGACACCGCUGUUUUGGUUGGUGCUCUUUUGAUCUUGGGUGAUCGUGUAAAAUGUAUUCCCAUUUAUCUCGUACCCUUGGUAAGUCAAUACAGUCCAAGAUGGUGAAAGUGUGUUAUAUCGUCUAAACGGGGAGAAUAGGAUAUUUUUAGAAUUUCAUCGCUGAGGAAAUUCCUUUUGAGGAAAUUCUUCACUAAUGAAUAACUUGCAGCGGAAACAUCAAAGGAUUAGAGUGCAAAGUAUUACUACAUCAGUUUUCUCGAUGAGGAAUAUGAAAAACAGUUUGCACAGUACGCAGACACUGAGUAAGAAGGUGAGGAUUAACUAGCGUGAAUAAUUUGAGGUUGAGGAAAUUCAGAGAAAGUCUUCAGCAAAUUCUUCAAAGAGAGACAAUGAAAAUCUUCAACAUACAAUAUUGAGGAAUUGAAAGAGUUGAAGCAUAGAACCCGUAUCACAGUGAAGACAGUGGUGGAUCACCCAGUUCCAACUGUUGUGACAGUCGUACGUCUAUUUUGGAGCGGCUUGGUAUUGAAACCAAAAGACACACAGUCCCUACCAUAUUCUCCUUGAGCUAAGGACACACAGUCAUCGCAAAAUACUCGUGGUAAGUCUUCAGGGCAGACUUCCAAACCCUCACAAACUCGGUCAUCCGACGAUCCACAAUUGACUGCUGGAUUGCUCUAGACCAUGACGCCUAACCGUCUGGAGGAUGGAAAGUCCUCAAAGGUAAAAGGCUUCAGUUCCACACAGGAACAAAUUCUUCAGUGAUGCUCAAUCACUUGGUUAUUGGUUUAAGGUUUGGUGUUUGGGGUAUUUCUCGCUGAUGAUUUACUCUUGAAGACUCUGAGGAAUUUCGGUUGCUCUAAAUGAAAAGUGUCAGUUUCUCGCGGAGCAGCAACCAGCUAAUGGUUGUGGGGGGCCGCUAUUUAUAGCCUAGGGGCAUCCCGACAUGAUUUGACAUUAAUGCCCUUAAAUAUUAUGAUCGUUGGUGUAGAUAAGAUCAGUGAGGUGGCUCGAAUCGCGGCAAUGGUCGGGACUCUGAAUUGUGAGAGUCCAAAUGUCCCUCAUAUUCCUAAGUUGAGGCUUUUGUGGGUUUAGGCUUGCGUUGAGCAUCAUGAAGAAAUUCAUUCCAUUGUGUUACCUUGACCCCCUUUAACAGUACGGUGUUCCUGUGACUCAAGACUGAAGAAAAUGAAACAGAAAGAAUAAAUCUUAACGCUUCAAAGUCCUCGGACUGAUUUUCUUCAGGACGCACAGAGUUCCCCAUCUUCAGUAUCUUCAUGAGGAAUAUCAAUUUCAUCGCAAUUUCUUUGCGAUUCAAAUCUUCAGCAUAAAACCAAUUUCUUCAGCCGAAGAUAUACAUUUUAGGGGUCGAUAUUCUUCGUAUAACUCAAACUCCUCAGCGACUUAUAGAUCCUGUGUACACUCAUGAACACAUUAGAUACUUAACCUAUAAAUCUUCGAACCAGAAAAAUUACUAAGGGCACUAGGUGCACUUACAAUCUCCCCCUUUUUGGUGGUUGAUGUCAAUUAGGUUAAGUUUUCAACGGGGAUAAAAAUAUGUAGUGUAAACAAGAUACUGAGAGACUCCCCCUGAAGGUGUGCUUACUUGAGAGAUUUUCUUUUCACAGAAAAUGCACAUUGAUGAUUUAUAUCAUGGAGAUCUCCCCCUCUAUCUUAUAAAUCAUGCAUACAUAUGGUAUAUAAUAUGAGGAAUUUGAGAAUUCAUGAUGAGACAUGGUAUCUGAUGAAUUUCAGCAUGCGUGCAUUAAUAUUUGGAGGAAUAAGCAUGCGAAAAAAUGUUCAAAAGCGUCAGAGUACCAUCGGGCUUAAGUUACAAAUCAUGUCAUAAAACACUUAAGAAGAACCAAGAGGUUGUAACUUAAUAAAGUUUAUAAGCCCCAAAAAUUUUCCCGCGUGAAGACUAACUCAGAUUUCUCCCCCUUUGUCAUCAAGUGACGAAAAGGGACAAAACUGAGGACUAAGGCCCCAUGUAGACUUUCACUUCUUGGGUGAUGAAGAAGAUGCGUAAGGAUUCUUGGCGACAUGCUUCUUCCUUGGGACAGUAGCAGUUUCUUCUGUUCUUAAUCAGAUUCUGCAGUGCGGAAUGAAGAAACGGAACUGUCCUCAAGGUCUGGAACUAGACUUGGCUUGAAUUUCUUCUUGGGAGGCCACGACCAGUCGAAGUCCUGAGCAAACUCCAAUUCAUCAAGUUCUUCUUGAGUCUUCAGAUGAGCCAUGUCAAUUUUUCUUCACUACAUUCUGAGUCUCGUUGAGGGUUUUCACAAUGUCCCUGAAUUGACGUUUUAUCCAUUUUGAUUGCGAUCGACCAUCUGAUGAAGACUGAGGAGUAGUUCUCUGUUAGUCAUUAUCCUUGGGGCAACAUGGCUAGGAGGAUCCUGAGUUGAAGUGUCAUCAUAUCAAGAAUAUGCUUCUGGUUCGUGAAACUGGCCAUCAAGGGCCGACUUCCUUCAUCGAUGACAGAUUUUCCUUUUCCUUCAACGGGCUCAAAAGUAUUCUUGAUGACUCUGAUCGGAGGCAGAUAUCUAAUGUGAUUGUUGAAAUCAGCAUGAUAGUUGAUGCAUGACCUGCGUCUGAUGAAUCUCAUGAUCCACGAAGCGUAAAUCUUCAUGUUGAAGGGCGACAUAGCAUUAUUAGCCAGAGUCCUCAGGAAGAAGUCAUGAAGGUUUAUUGGUAUGCCAUGGAUGAUGUUGAAGAGGAUAUUCUUCAUGAUGCCUAUGACAUCUUCAUCAUCAUGGUCUUUGGUUGGAGCGAUGACGCUGCACAGGAUCAUGUAGACAGUUCAUGGUUAAUACUUGAAGUCUUGAACCGGAAAGGUAGUUCGUGGAGGUUGAUCCUUGGCCCAAGGAUUCAUGAGGACUUCCGUCAGUGGGUUGGCAACUCUUGUUCAUCAUACAUCAGCACUGCUUAUUCUGAGGGAAUUGAAACUGGAAGCACUCACAACAUUUCAGUGGGAGGAGCUUUGUAAUGAGUGUGCUGAGUCGUCCAGUCCAACACCCAAGUGUUGAUAUCCUUAGUGUCUCCAGAGAUGUGCAAAGUAGCAUAGAACUGAAGAAUUAUAUCACUGUUCCAAUCACUUAUAUUAGUGCAGAGAGGCAGCAGUCCAGCUUCAUGAAGAACAUUGAGCAUUGGGGCGAAGCAAGGAAUUUCUUCCAUCUCAACAGGAGGAAUAUACGUGUGUUGAAAUAUUCUGUUCCUCCCAUAGAACACAGAGGCAUACUAGUUGAGCUGAGUCCUUGUCCAAAACUUCCUAUGCCUGAUGCGAAGCUUGUCGUAUGGAUUUUCGCCAAUGCAAUACAUCCGUUCCUAAUAGAACUCUUCCAUUUGAAACUUUGGCCUCUUGGAAAAAGGAUGAUUUUGCUUUGGUUGAAGAUUAUGUUGCUGUUCUUGAGGAGAUACUAUCAUUGUCGUUUCAGUGUUGACCACAACAAUAGCAGUUUCGGUAUUGGGUGGAGGAGCAUUUUCUUUAGCCUUUUCCUCAUGUUGAGGAUUUUCCUUAGGUUGAGGAGUUUGCUUGGUGGAGGAGGCAAAAUCUUCAGCUGUUGCAGCUGAUCCUUGAGAAGUUUCCUCAGAUGUCUUGUGAGGAAUGAAGGACUCAGGAAUAUCAUCAAUUUGAAUUUCCUCAUCCAUGGUUUCAUCAGAUUCAACAUCUUUCAUUUCCUCAUCACCUUCAGGAAUGACAUAGUCAAUUCUGAAUGGAAUAAGUGAAUAUGAUGGAGCGACCUUCAGAGGCAUAGCAUCCACUGGAGCAGUUGAAGACUCUGUCUGAGCUAACUUGGGGCGCUUGGCCUCUCAUGAUUCUGAGGUCAUUGAAGCUUUUAUUUUCUUUGCUUCUUUCUUAGCACCCUUGGUUUUCUUCACGUCUGACGCAGGUGAAACCAUUUUCUUCACCUUUGAGGAUUUAGGUGAAGGAAUUAUCUCUUCAAGAGCUGUUGCAAUAACAGUCCUGGCAUUUUCCUCAGCUGAAGCAUUUUCUUAAGAUGGGGCAGAUUCAUCAGCUGGAGUGUCUUCAGGUAUUUCCUCAAUUACAGGUUCAUCACCUGGAAUAUCUUGAGGCAUUUCCUCAACUAGAGGUUCUUCAGCUUCAUCUUCUUCAGUCAGCUGAACAGAAUAGCUGGACGGAGGCAGGUUUUGUUUCACUCGAGGAGCAACCUUCUUGUUAUAUUCAUCAACUGACUAGUUGCAAACUUGAUGAAAUUUAACUUGAGACAUUGACGAUCAAAUAGAUUCGUGUACUUGUUAGUCACAGUCUUCAGUUCAGCCUGGGUGGACACAAUAUCUUCAGGCAUCAGAUUGAGGAGUUUUUGCGCGAGGAAUUUCUCCUUCUUCAGUUUUGCAGCCUUUGCUUGCUUGGCUUGCGUGUCUUUCCAUUUGGCCUCAUUGAUGAAUGUGGCAACCAUAUGACUGACACUUGGGGGAAGCUUCAAGUCAUCAAUGGGGGUGCUUGGAUCUUCAUACCAGACAUUGAUGAAGUCCAGCAGAACCUUGGGAACCAUGGCAAGAGGAAUAGAGCUGCCUGAGGCUUGUGCAACUAGUUCCUGCUUGUUUCUGAUGAUGGCUUGACUAGUUUGAUCAUCAAAUUCAUCACUUCCUUCUGAUGUAGAACGGAUGUUGAUGACUUUUCUUGGGCUGGGCCUGAUGCCUCUUCCAACAGUCAUUUUAGUCUUCAGGGGUGUUGGUGAAGACUUUGUCUCUGUGCUCAUGGCAGAUGGUACAGAGGAGCUGGAGUGAGUAGGUUGUUGCCUGAUAAUCUGCUUUUGUUCAGGCUUUGAGGCAUGUGUAGCAGUUGAAGGUUUUGGAGCAGGUGCAACUUUCUAAGGCAAUUUCUCUUUUGGCUUUGAGGCCUUCGAUUUCUUUGGCACAAACUUCACUUGAGGAAUAGUUGUACCCGAAGCUUUAGCAGCAGAAGAUGUGGCUGCAGUGGCAGUAGUAGAUUCCUCAUUGUAUUUCUUCACUGCAGCUUCUGCUUUCUUCUGAAGUUUGGACAAGUGUUUGUCUUUCUCCUCAGGGAAAUCCUCAACUGUUUUGAUGCUUGAGGGAUGUACAACCUGAUGUUCACCAAAAGGAGUCCUUUUGCAAGGUGGCUUGAGGGCAAAUUUCUUCUUCGCAUAUUUUGGGGUGAUGAAGCUAUAUUCCUUCCACUCCUUAAGUCCACCUGCGUUCUAUCCUUUGAAGCCUAAUUUUCCGCUUCGCCAUAGGUUCUUGCUCAUCUAGCGUACAAUAAUCAAAGUAUAUAUCCUCAGGGAUAUCAAUUGCAAUGUUCUGUUAAAUUUUCUUUCCACCCUUUUGCUUUGUGUCAUCUUCCAUUUUAUUCAAGUAAUGCUUUUGCUAAGGAAUUUGCACUCUUGAAGAUUCAGAUGACACUGGCAAAGUUUCUUCGAGCAACGCUGCAAAUGAGUUAAGUUGAUGAUAACCUAGAGAUUCAUCAACUGACAUUUUGUACCUGUGAACAGAGUAUAGGUGCGAGGAAUUUGGAGAGGUCAUAUGUGUUCUCAGAUUUAAAGAAAUUGAUAAUUUCAAAGUUGAGGAAUUGACAAGUGGGUUGAGGAAUUUGUCUAAGCAUUAUGAUCUUGGGUUCCAGAGUUGUGCAGAUUCAAAAAUUUGCACAAUUGAGGAAUCACAUGAAGAAAUUUAGUGGGUUAGUUAAAUUCAUCAAGUCUUUGAGGAAUUGAGUGUGCGAAGCUGAUACACACUGAGGAAAAACAGAUUUCUCGAAUCUAAGGUAAAAUUGUAGAUCAAAAGGGGGCAAUAAAAUAAGAUUUAAUUACCCUAUGUGGUGAAUAUGAAGAAUAUAGGUAGUAAUAGUAAGAAGCUCUUUGGUUUGAGUCCGCUGCACCCUAACUUGGCGAUAGAAGGCAGCUACGGCGGCGGCGGAUGUAGAUGUUCCGCUUUGAGCGUGAGUUCGGCGACGGAGAGGUCGAGGCAGUGAAGCUGUUCCUCACCGACGAUGAGAUUCCUAGCGGUGGCACUAGGUUUGUGCUGGAGGCGGAGAGAAGGAAGUGACGACGAAGAGUUUUGACAGAGGGGGGGGGGUAAGGACCUAUUUAUAGCUCAGGUGAAAACGGUCCGGCCGAAACUUUCAGACCGAACAACCCUUGCCCAUUCGUCUCCGCGCAACACGUGUAGCCUGCGAUAGAAGUGGUGGAGGUCGUGCUUAUCCCAGCGUGGGAAGUGGGUUCAGUUACGUGUAACGUCAUAAAAUUCAUUUUUGAAGAUUUGAGGAUUUCGUGGCAAAAUCCUCAGCUCACAAGGACACAGUGAGGAUUUUUAACAAAGUUUCAAGUAGACCGCAUAUGAAGAAUUGAAUAGACUGGGUUGAGUAUACCAUAGAGGGGAGUAGGGUCCGAUCACAUUCACUUAGAUGAAAUAUCUAAUUGAAGAAAUAGCUAUAAGUGAAUGCUAUUGAGGACUCUCAAAUCUCAGUCUAUAUAUAUAUAUAUAUAUAUAUAUAUAUAUAUAGGCAAAUGAAAAUCAACAAGUGUUUUAAAGAUAUUGAAGAUAUUGAAAAACUUGAGGAUUUUGUGACAAAUCGUCAGGUUGAUUAAUUUCAACUUUGAAGAAAAAGCAGCUUCAAGAUUUUCAAAGUUGGGUGGUGGUGUGUAAGUGCAUCUAGUGCCCCUUAGUGAUUUUGGUGGUUUGAAGACUUAUAAGUUAAGUAUCUAAUGUGUUUUUAAGUGUACACAGGAUCUAUAAGUCGUUGAGGAGUUUGAGAUAUUUGAAGAAUAUCGACCCCUAAAAAUAUAUGUCUUCAGUUGAAGAAAUUGGUGUGAAGUUGAAGAAAUGAAUCGCGAAGAAUCUGCGAUGAAAUUGAUAUUCCUCAUGAAGAUAUUGAUAUUGAGAAGAUCGGUGGUUCCUGAAGAAAAUCGUUCUGAAGAAAUUGAAGCGUGAAGAUUUUCCAUUUCUGUUUUACUUUCUUCGCAUUUGAUGAAUAGGAACACCGUACUAUUAAAGGGGGUCAAAGUAACACUAUGGAAUGGAUUUCCUCAUGAUGCUCAACCCAAGCCAAAUACUACCAAAAGCCUCAAGUGAGGAAUAUGAGUGACAUGAGGACUCUCACAGUUGAGAGUCCCGACCGUUUCGUUAAGCCACGCCAAGUCACUGAUCUUAUCCACUCCAACGGUCAUAUUAUUUAAGGGCAUUAAUGUCAAAUCAUGUCGGGAUGCUCCCAGGCUAUAAAUAGCCGCCCCCCACAACCACUAGCUGGUUGGCUGCUCCGCUAGAAACUUACACUUGUCAUAACAGCAACCCAAUUCCUCAGAGCUUUCGAGAGUAAAUCAUCAGUGAGGAANNNNNNNNNNAGUUGGCAGCUCCGCUAGAAACUGACACUUGUCAUAAGAGCAACCCAAUUCCUCAGAGCUUUCGAGAGUAAAUCAUCAGUGAGGAAAUACACCACCCACCGAAACCACAAACCAAACCUAGUGAUUGAGUAUCACUGAAGAAGUUAUUCCUGUGUGGGACUGAAGCCUUUUACCUUUGAGGAUUGUGCAUCCUCCAGACGGUUAGGCGUCAUGGUCUAGAGCAAUCCACCAGUCAAUUGUGGAUCGCCGGGUGACCGAGUUUGUGAUGGUUUGGAAGUCUGCCCUGAAGACUUACCACGAGUGUUGGGCGAGGACUGUAUGUCCUUAGCUCAAGGAGAAUAUGGUAGGGACUGUGUGUCCCGGGACUGGGUGUCCUUUGGUUUAAAUACCAAGCCGCUUCAAACCAGAUGUACAUCUGUCACAGCAGUUGGAACUGGGUCAUCACCAACAGUCUUCACCAAGAAUCGGGUUCUAAUUCCUCAACUCUUUACAUNNNNNNNNNNCCAAACCAGAUGUACAACUGUCACAACAGUUGGAACUGGGUCAUCAACAACAGUCUUCACCAAGAAUCGGGUUCUAAUUCCUCAACUCUUUACAUNNNNNNNNNNNNNNNNNNNNNNNNNNNNNNNNNNNNNNNNNNNNNNNNNNNNNNNNNNNNNNNNNNNNNNNNNNNNNNNNNNNNNNNNNNNNNNNNNNNNGGUUAACCCGCCGGUCCUGGCCGCCCCGGUCGAAAAGGAGCCCAUGCUUCUGUAUAUUGCGGCAAAUUCAAAAGCAGUAAGUGUGGCAGUGGUUUUUGAAAGAAAGGAGGAAGGGAAGGAGUACCCAGUGCAACGCCCGGUAUAUUUUAUCAGCGAGGUGCUAACCCUUUCCAAGCAACGUUACCCACACUGGCAGAAGUUAGUGUAUGGGGUGUUUAUGGCGAGUCGGAAACUUAAGCAUUAUUUCCAAGAACACCCUAUCACAGUGGUUAGCUCUGCUCCCCUUGGGAACAUCAUCCAGAAUCGGGAGGCAACAGGACGGAUAGCCAAGUGGGCGAUUGAACUUGGGCCGCAUCACGUGCAGUACACCCCCCGCACAGCCAUCAAGUCUCAGGCUUUAGUUGAUUUCGUCAAUGACUGGAAGGAGUUGCAGGCUCCGGAAGACAGGCCUGAUCUCACUUACUGGACUAUUUAUUUUGAUGGAUCUAGACAGCGGGAAGGCUCGGGGGCUGGUGUGGUAUUGGUGUCCCCUCAAGGAGAUAAAUUUUGUUAUGUUCUCCGACUCAUGUUUCCAUGCACUAACAAUGCUGCAGAAUACGAAGCUUUGCUUCACGGCUUGCGACUCACCAAAGAGAUGAAUCUAACACGAGUCAGUGUUUUGGCGACUCUGAUUUGGUGGCGCAGCAAGUUUCGGGUACCUGGGAUUCUCGGGACCCCAUGAUGGCGGCUUACAGAAGAGCUGUGUCUGACGUGGCGGGUCAUUUUCAUGGUUAUCAGAUGGACCACAUUNNNNNNNNNNNNNNNNNNNNNNNNNNNNNNNNNNNNNNNNNNNNNNNNNNNNNNNNNNNNNNNNNNNNNNNNNNNNNNNNNCCUCAACGAGGCGGCUGACGCCCUUUCACGGCUUGGUUCCCAGCGAAAGCCAAUUCCUCCCAAUGUUUUUCUGGACAUUUUGCAUAAACCAUUUGUGAUUUUACCAUCGGAGGAGGAGUUGGCAAUACCGGAUCCUGAGUCUCAGCUUGUGGCGGCUCUCCACGUUACGCCGGAUUGGGUUCUUCCUUAUCUGGCUUAUCUCGCCCGGGGCGAGUUACCAACAGACGAAGUUUCGGCUCGUCAGAUCGUUCGGCGCAGCAAAUNNNNNNNNNNNNNNNNNNNNNNNNNNNNNNNNNNNNNNNNNNNNNNNNNNNNNNNNNNNNNNNNNNNNNNNNNNNNNNNNNNNNNNNNNNNNNNNNNNNNNNNNNNNNNNNNNNNNNNNNNNNNNNNUUAUAUAAACGAAGCGCCUCUGGAGUCUUUCAGCGAUGCGUUUCCUCCGAAGAAGGAUGCAUAAUCUUAAAUGACAUUCAUUCCGGAGACUGUGGGCAUCAUGUCGGGUCACGCUCUUUGGUGUCAAAAGCUUUCCGUCAUGGAUUCUUCUGGCUGACGGCUCAUGCAGAUGCAGAGGAUAUAGUUCGUCGGUGCGAGGGAUGCCAGUGUUAUGGACGACAGGCUCAUGUUCCGGCUCAAGAAUUAAGAAUGAUUCCCAUCACUUGGCCUUUUGCAGUCUGGGGGUUAGACAUGGUCGGCCCCUUUAAAAUGUCAUCCAAUAAGAAAACCCAUUUGCUGGUGGCGGUUGAUAAGUUCACCAAGUUGGUUGAGGCGGAGCCUGUUGGAAGUUGCGAUGCGGAGACAGCGGUCAAGUUCUUGAAGAAGCUGAUCUUCCGGUUUGGAUAUCCACAUAGUAUCAUUACUGAUAAUGGUACUAACCUGUCCCAAGGGGCGAUGCAGGAGUUUUGGCGUCGAGAGCAUAUCCGGCUUGAUGUUUCUACGGUCGCUCACCCACAAUCUAAUGGGCAGGCGGAACGGGCGAAUCAGGAGGUCUUACGAGGAAUUAAGCCCCGACUCAUGGUUCCCGUGGAGAAAACCCCAGGAUGUUGGGUCGAAGAAUUGCCUUCGGUACUGCGGAGUAUCCGGACCACCCCGAACCGGUCCACGGGUUUUACCCCUUUCUUUUUGGUCUACGGAGCAGAGGUCGUUCUUCCUACUGACAUAAGGCAUGAUUCGCCUAGAGUCGCCGCAUAUGUGGAGCAAGACAAUGAUCUGGCGCGUCAAGAUUCCUUGGACGCCUUAGAAGAAGCACGUGACCUGGCUGCGGCCCGUUCGGCCAUCUAUCAACAGGAUCUACGGCGUUAUCACAACCGUCGGGUUAAGAGCCGGAUCUUUCAGGAAGGCGACUUAGUUCUUCGGUUGAUACAAGAUCGUGCUGGCAUGCAUAAGUUGUCAUCACCAUGGGAAGGACCGUUCGUCGUCAGCAAGAAUCUUCGCAACGGCUCUUAUUAUCUGGUGGAUCUUCGGCCUAACCGGCCAACCACGGAGGUUGAGUCAACUCGCCCUUGGAAUAUUGCCCACUUGCUGCCUUAUUACACUUGAGCUCUUAAGCUCUGCAUUUUGUAAGUUUUUCAGUUUAUUUAUGAAGUAAUAAAAUUAAAAUGCUUCCCGACUUGGGGGCUUCUUCAUCAAUUUUGUCAUCCUGUUGCGACCUUAUGAGCCGACAGAACUAUCAUCUUAGGGUGGCGCUUGAGCUUUCUGACUCGCCCCAUCCUGUCGCGACCUUAUGAGCCGAGGAAACCAUCUUAGGGUGCGUGCUUGAGCUUUUUGACUUGCCCCAUCCCGUCGCGACCUUAUGAGCCGACGAAACCAUCACUUAGGGUGCGUGCUUGAGAUUUCUGACUCGCCCCAUCCUGUGGCGACCUUAUGAGCCGACGAAAUCAUCACUUAGGGUGCGUGCUUGAGCUUUUUGACCCGCCCCAUCCGGUCGCGACCUUAUGAGCCAACGAAACCAUCUUAGGGUGCAUGCUUGAGCUUUCUGACUCUCCCCAUCCUGUCAUGACCUUAUGAGCCGACGAAACCGUCACUUAGGGUGCGUGCUUGAGCUUUCUGACUCGCCCCAUCCUGUCGCGACCUUAUGAGCCGAGGAAAUCAUCAUCUUAGGGUGCGUGCUUGGGCUUUCUGACUCGCCCCAUCCUGUCGCGACCUUAUGAGCCGAUGAAACCGUCACUUAGGGUGCGUGCUUGAGCUUUCUGACUCGCCCCAUCCUGUCGCGACCUUAUGAGCCGAGGAAACCAUCUUAGGGUGUGUGCUUGAGCUUUCUGACUCGCCCCAUCCUGUCGCGACCUUAUGAGCCGAGGAAACCAUCUUAGGGUGCGUGCUUGAGCUUUCUGAAUCGCCCCAUCCUGUUGUGACCUUAUGAGCCGACGAAACCGUCACUUAGGGUGCGUGCUUGAGCUUNNNNNNNNNNNNNNNNNNNNNNNNNNNNNNNNNNNNNNNNNNNNNNNNNNNNNNNNNNNNNNNNNNNNNNNNNNNNNNNNNNNNNNNNNNNNNNNNNNNNAUGAAAAGAAAGAAGAAGAAGAAGAAGAAGAAGAGAAGAAGGAGAAGGGGGAGGAGGAGGAGGAGGAGAAGGCCAAGGACCUUCUAUCCUUCUCCUCCUCCUCCUUCUCCUCCUCCUCAUUCUUGAUUUGUUUUUCUUCUCCUACCCCUCCUCUUUCUUCUCCUCUUUCAUAUUAUCCUUGCUUUAAUUAACCCAACAAUGACAUAAUUAGCCCAUUUAGCUCCAAAAUACCAUAAUAAGCUCAAAAUGGCAUAAGAACCUUGGUUAGCUCAGUAAUAUUAUAUACUUAGCUAGUUUUCCUCUAAAAUGGGAUAAUUAGCCCAUUUAGCUCAAAAAAGACAUAAUUAGGUAAUUUAGCUCCAACAAGAGGAGAAGAGGAGAAGAAAUAGGCAAAAUGAAAAGAAAGAAGAAGAAGAAGAAGAAGAAGAGAAGANNNNNNNNNNAGAAGGCCAAGGACCUUCUAUCCUUCUCCUCCUACUCCUUCUCCUCAUCCUCCUCCUUCUUCUUGAUUUCUUAUUUUUCUCCUCCUCCUCCUCGUUCAUAUUAUCCUUGCUUUAAUUAACCCAACAAUGACAAAAUUAGCCCAUUUAGCUCAAAAAUACCAUAAUAAGCUCAAAAUGGCAUAAGAACCUUGGUUAGCUCAUUAAUAUUAUAUACUUAGCUAGUUUUCUUCUAUAAUGGGAUAAUUAGCCCAUUUAGCUAAAAAAGACCUAAUUAGGUAAUUUAGCUCCAACAAGAGGAGAAGAGGAGAAGAAAUUGGCAAAGUGAAAAGAAAGAAGAAGAAGAAGAAGAAGAGAAGAAGGAGAAGGAGGANNNNNNNNNNUCCUCCUCCUCCUUCUUCAUUUCUUCUUCUUCUCCUCCUCCUCCUCUUUCUUAUCUUUUUUCAUAUUAUCCUUGCUUUAAUUAACCCAACAAUGACAUAAUUAGCCCACUUAGGUCCAAAAUACCAUAACAAGCUCAAAAUGGCAUAAGAACCUUGGUUAGCUCACUAAUAUUAUAUACUUAGCUUGUUUUCCUCUAAAAUGGGAUAAUUAUCCCAUUUAGCUCAACAAAGACAUAAUUAGGUAAUUUAUCUCCAACAAGAGGAGAAGAGGAGAAGAGAUAGGCAAAAUGAAAAGAAAGAAGAAGAAGAAGAAGAAGAAGAGAAGANNNNNNNNNNCGACGACGAGGACGAGGAGGAGAAGGCCAAGGACCUUCUAGUCCUUCUCCUCCUCCUCCUUCUCCUCCUUCUCCUCUUUCUUCUUAAUUUCUUCUUUUUUUUCCUCCUCCUCGUCUUUGUUCUCCUCUUUCAUAUUAUCCUUGCUUUAAUUAACCCAACAAUGACAUAAUUAGCCCAUUUAGCUCCAAAAUGCCAUAAUAACCUCAAAAUGGCAUAAGAACCUUGGUUAGCUCACGAAUAUUAUAUACUUAGCUUGUUUUCCUCUAAAAUGACACAAUUAGCCCAUUUUGCUCAAAAAAGACAUAAUGAGGUAAUUUAGCUCCAACAAAUGAUAUAUAGUUCACCACACAUAUACUUAGCUUGUUUUCCGCUAAAAAUGACAUAAUUAGCUGAAAAACAUCAUAUUUUGUUCUUCUUCUACCUUUCUUAUUCACAUUUUUUCAGAUUGGAUAUACUACAUGCAUGGAAGCUGCCAUUCAUGGAGUUGAACAAUGUCAAUGGAUGAACUUUAUAUGUAUAUCAUCUGGUUUUCAUUUGUGUUGAUGAACAAUGUCAAACUAUAUGUAUAUGUAUAUAUGGAUAAAGAGUGCAAUACUUGGUAUGUUGGUUCUUUGGAUAUAUGGGGAUGUACAUUGGUGAAUCAUAUAUGUGUGGUGAAUUAUAUAUAUGUGUUGGCAAGUAUAUGUGUGGUGAACUAUAUAUCAUAUAUGUGUGGUCAAUUAUAUAAAUGUGCUAUCAAAUAUAUAUUUAUAUAUAUAUAUGUGUGUGUGUGUGUGCGGUGAAAUAAUAUAAAACAAAAAAUAGGAACUAUAUGGGCUCUUUGCCGUCUGCCAGCUGAUGGCAAAGACCUAUGCCAUCAGCUGGCAGACGGCAAAGGUGCCACAUGGCACCCAGCUGUGCAGCCUCGGGUGUCUAUGUAAUCUCUUUGCGGUCAGCCUCCAGGGUGGGCAGACGGCAAAGAAGAGGGAACAGAGGAGGGGGGAGGAGGAGGCAGACGACAAAGAGCGGAGAGAGGGGGGAGGGGAGGAGCAGGCAGACGGGAAAGAUGGACGGGGAGGCAGACGGCAAAGAUGGAGGGGGAGGCAGACGGCAAAGCCUCCGUUAACC